rnacentral:lncRNA from 1 species
UGUAGGCUUGCUGAAUUUCUUUGAAAGGCCCAAUGGCAAUUUAACAUUCACAAAAUAAUCUCUAAAUACUGUAAAGACAAAAUCAAAUCCACAGCAGCAUUAGAGUUGAUUAAGCUAAGCAUUGGCAAAUAUUACUUUGAUUUUGCAUGCAAUAUUAGCAAAACCCCCUCUUACAUUAGAUAAACAACAUACUCCAUGAAACAUUGAUAGCCCAAAUACAAAUUUCAUCGACAAAAAAGUCUCUUUGUUUUGUAGAACAUGAUAGUAAAAAUGUGGAGUUUCGUUCUUCUUAUUGGCCUCCUUUAGUUUUCCUUGAUCAACAACCACUAGCCAAAAACACAAUUAGAUUAGAUUAUGAAUGAUACUGACAUUAUUAAAUAUAAAACACUCUAAAUAACUCUAAAUAAAUGGAAAGCAGCAAAUUACCUGACGAGGCAAGCUAGCUCAAUUAAGACCAUUGUGUUAUACUUGUCUCUGAAUUGAAAAAUUUAGAAGGAAAUAAAGAGAAAGACUUAGAAAAUAUUUGAAAACAGAUAAAACUUAUAUGUCAUUUAAAAUAAAAAUUUUGUAUUUAAGCCGUUUAAAAUUUUUAAGAUUUUUGAAAUUUUAAAAUGAUAAAGGUAAAAUUGUACUUUGGCACACCAAAAAUGAUAAAACUUUGAUUUAAUCCUUUAGAAAUUAUAAAAAUAUAGGCUAUUAAAAUGGUGAAAUUACCUUUUUACUAUAGUAAAAAUUACAAUUUAAUUUCACUUUAAGAUUUUCUGACUUCGCCCCUAAUAAAAUCUUUGGCAAAAGAUUAAAAUAAAAUUAUACCGUAAAUGGAAAAAGAAACAAAGAAAAUCCAAUCUAACAAAGAAAAUAACUUAUGUCCAAAAGCUACCAUAAACCGUAAUUCAUGGGAAGAGAGCAAAAGUAAAAACAAAUAGUUUAUAUGAUUAAAAUUCCAGAAUAGGUUAAAAAUGUUGAAUUAAAGAUAAAAUUAAGCGUGAAUUAAUAACCACAAGUGUACUCUUUACUCACCAUCUCUGUUAAAAAUGUUGGAUGUUGUUUAGCAACCUUUGUUUGAUUUUCUUCAGCUCAACCACAACAUCUUUCAUUUCUUUUCUUUCUUCUGGUAACUCAGCUGAACAAUUCAAAGCCAACUCCAUGAUAGAUGAAAUACAAUUUGCUUUAACAACAAAGUACUCAUCCUCUCUUCUUAGUAAAUCAACAUCUGCAAUUUCUAUCGCUCCUUUAGGCAAUGAACUUUCCAUCCAAUGCCUUAUAGUCUCUUCUUCAACAAAAACAUUAUCAGUUGGCUUUCUCUUUGUGAAAGUUUCUAUAAGGACGAUCCCAUAACUAUAAACGUCAGAUUUUAUAGAAACAAGUCCUGCAGAUCCAAAUUCUGCAUUUCAAGUAUAAUUAGAACAUCAUCAGUCCUCAAUUAUUUGAUAAAUCUAUGUAUAUCCACAUACACGAGAAACAAAAAUAUAAAACGCAAAUUAGGAAAAUAAUCGUACAAAGAUAAAAAAAGAAUUCACCUGGUGCCAUAUACCCGAUUGUUGCAAGAGUCAUGGUUUGCUUCAUUACUUCACCUUCUCCCAACAAUUUGGCAACGCCAAAAUCUCCAACAUGUGCAACCAUGUCUUCAUCUAGUAAAAUAUUGCUUGGUUUUAUGUCACAAUGAAUUAUAGGGGUUGGAUGUCCAUUGUGGAGGUGUUCUAUAGCCACCGCAACAUCUAUCAUUAUGUCGACCCUUUGUAUGAUAUCAAGGAAACAAUUUUUAGAAUGUAACCAUUUCUCAAGGUUUCCAUUAGACAUGUAAUCAAGCACCAAGGCUUUGAAGUCAACACUUGAGCAGCAAGUAAUGACCUUCACAAUAUUACGAUGAACUAUAUGAAGCAUAGCAUCACAUUCAAUGUCAAAACUCCUAAAUGCUCCCUCUGUUUGCAAAUUGAAAACUUUUAUUGCAACUUCCAUUCCAUCUGAAAGCCUCCCUUUAUAUACAUAUCCAAAACUCCCUGAACCAAGCAUAUUGCUUUCCUCAAGUCCAUUAGUUGCUCGUGAAAGUUCAGCAUGUGAAAUUCUUCUCGGUGUCUUCAAAGACAACAAAUCAUCUUUAAUUGGUAGAGCUGUACUCCUUCUUUGGCAUCUUCUAUACAUAAUAGUUAAGACUAUUAGUACUACGACAAUACCAAUUGUUGGUAAACCAUACCUAAAAGCAUGCAAUAUAAUCGUUUGGGAGUUUUUGUGGAUGUCGUUUUUACAAGGUGGGACUAGCAAUCUAGGUGGACCACAAAGUGCAUAAUUCUUCAUGAAUGAUGUGCUAGAAAAGUUUGAAAAACAUCCUUCGCUGGGAAUUUCCCCUUCAAGUCUAUUGAAAGACACAUUAAAAUACUUUAGAUAUAAAAGCUUUUCCAAAGAUUUGGGAAUGACUCCAGAGAGAUUGUUAUUGCAUAAAUCCAAGAAUUCCAAACUAAUCAACCCAUCAAAUGAUUCAGGGAUAUGACCAUGUAGUAUAUUAUUUGAUAAAUCUAAUGAAACCAAAGUUAUAAGACCCCCAAAUGUGGAUAAGAUAUCGCCCGUGAGAAGAUUCCUUGAUAAAUUUAGUUUCAGUAGACUCCUCAAAUUUCCAACAUCAAUAGCAUGUGAAUUGUGAAGAUGGUUUGAUGAUAAGUCUAUUUCUAAGAUAUCUUUAAGAUUCCACAAAGUUGAGGGUAUUGUAGAACUCAAUUUGUUGGAAUCUAAGUAAAGAUAUCCCAAAGAAGUAAUAUUACCCAAACAAGAGGGUAUGGAUCCAUGCAGCUUAUUCAACCCUAAAUACAUCUUGUAUAGUCUCUCCAAAUCACAAAGGCUUUAUGAGAUGGGCCCUCCUAAUUUAUUAGAGGAAAGAUAUAGACCUUGGAGAUUUCUCAUUCCUCCUAUUGAUGCUGGAAUCAAUCCACUUAAUUUAUUAUAGUCAAGUUGUAAAAGCAAUAGGUUGGUUAAGUUACCUAUUUCCAUAGGAAUAAUGCCUUGAAGCUCACACUCAUCGGCAUAAAAGUAUUGAAGGGAUUUUGAAAGGUUCCCAAUAUAAGUAGGAAGAACGCCACUCAAUGGAUUUCCUGAAACACCUAUUUUUCUCAAAUUCCUACAAUUCGUCAAAGAAGAAAGAAAGCUCCACUCAUGAUCAGUAGCAGAUCCUGUGAUCAAAUUAUUGUCAAAGAUUUUGAGCACUUCAAGGUGUUUUAAGCUGCCAAGCAUUUUAGGGAUUGGGCCAGAGAAUAAGUUUCGUGACAACUCUAGUUUCUUAAGCAUGGAAGCAUUGGAGAUAGAGUUGGGAAUGUUUCCGCUAAGUUUAUUUCUCCACAAUAAAAGAAUCUCAAGCUUUGGAGCAUUGGUGAUUGGUGGUAAAUCACCUGUGAAAUAGCAUCUUUUAGUAUACACAUUCAUUGAAUACCAAAUUCACAAAAUAUAUAAUACAUUAAAAUAAAAACUGUAAAACUUUAAAUCAAUUAAGAAUAAAAUUUUGGCAUGGAAAAAUGUGAUGAAAUCAAUUAGAAAGUUGAGACAUAAUAAGAAGUUUUGAGUAGUAAUUACUCAUGAUUUCUAUAGACAAAACAUAUAAUACACUGAUAAUUUUUUAAAAAAUAUUGUAAAACCUGAAAUAAAAUAAAAAAUAAAAGUUUGGCAUGAGAAUGUGGCAUCUAAUCAUUCUUAAAAAUAAGACUAACAUUGAAUAAUAAUUAGUUAUGAUUUGAGAAACAAAAAUGUUAAAGAUGUAAACUGGUAUGAUUUUUAUCUAUUGGGUUAAUUAUUUAUUUUUAUUAAAUUAUAUAUAGUGUAAAAUUUAAAGAUUAUUAUUUGCUCAAAAUUUUUGUAUUUUUCGUAUAUUUGAAAUUUAAUCUUUAUAUUUUUUAUUUUCUGUGAUUUAGUCUCUCUACUUUUUGAAUUGAAAAUUUUAAGUUUAUUUAUUAACACUGUUAAAAAGUUUUUGUGUUAGUAUGGCAUUUUGAAAAAUAAAAUAAAAUUGAUAUCUAUGUUUUUAAUUAUUCCAAAUAUUGUUUUACUAUUUCAAGAUAAACUUUUUGUGUCUAUACCAAUAUCUUAAGAACUAUUGUUGCAUGUUUAAUUAUUCUAAAGAUUUGUUGAUUGAGUCUUGGUUGAAGUGCAUUAUUCUCCUAUUUAUGAAUUGGGGAGUUGAUAAAGUACUUUAUUUUAAUAUAUUUUAAAAUAUUAAAAAUUUAUUAAAAUAUUUUUUAUAAAACUUGAUUGUACCACAAUAUACAAUUUUAAUAUCAAAUUUUUAAUUGUUUUUUAAAAAUAUUAGCGAAUAUAUACUUUAUUUCAAGUUACACAAUUUUUACUAGCUUUUAACUUUUUUUAAAAUUUUUAUCGUCUUUUAUAAUUUCUAAUAAUUUUUUAUAAUUUUUUACAAUAUUUACAAUUUCUAACAAUUUUUAAUAAUUUUAUUAUUUAUUUCAAAUUUAAAAAUUAACAAAUUUUUAUUUUUUUAAAACAAUUAUAUAUUUAUAAUGUAGUUAUUUUUUUAUAAUUUUUUUUUGAAAUUUAAAGAUUUUUUUGGUUUUUUUUUUCUAGAUGAUGAUGCCAUCAUGAUGCCAUCAUAUGCCACAUGCCUUCUAAUUUGUUGUCAUAUAGACAUAUUUCUUCGAGCGUAGUUGAAUUAAAAAUACUUGAUGGAAUCUGACCUGCACACAUAGUCGAAAAUUGAAGUGAAAAGCAUACCUUCUAAGCUGUUAAACUAAAAAUACUUUAAGCAUAUUUUAUUUUCCAUCAAAUUAACUAUUUUGCCUUGAAUGAAAUAAAAUGUUCUUAUUUUUGUUAUCUAUUACAAAUCAAACUCUUUUAUGAAAAAACUAUUUUAAAUUAAAGAAACAAAGAAAAUUCAAUAUCUUCUAAGUUAUUCCACUCCAAAUAUAAUCUUCAGUGAAGAAAUCUUGAAGAUGGAAGAUGGAACCUUACCAGAUAAUUGAUUGAAUCCCAAGCUCAAGGACUCUAGAUUAGACAUGUUAACAAGUGUUUCAGGGAUUGUGCCUAUAAAGUUAUUAUUUUUCAUUUUCAGCCUUCGAACUCCCUGUAAGUUCCCAAGCCAUGAUGGAAUUUCCCCAUUAAGACUGUUGUAUUUUAAUCGAAGGAUCCUCAAACGAUGCAAUUGGCCCAAUUCUUUAGGGAGAUGGCCAUAGAAAUGGUUUCUACUCAAGUCGAGAGAGAGUAGAAAUGAAAGAUUUCCAAGGUGUGGAGGGAUACUACCCCUAAGAUUCAUGCUUUUAAGUUUCAAAGCUAUAACUCUUUUAUGGAGGAUGCCACAAGAAACACCAAUCCAAUUGCAAACAGAGGUUGAGGCCGUCCAAUUGUUUGCCAAGACAUUUUGAGGACCGGCAAUGCGAUCCUUAAACUCGAGAAGUGCAAACUGAUCGGAGUUGAGAUUCCUGACUGUCAUACCCCAGCAAAGUCCGGAACAUGGUACGAAUAAAGCUAAAAGAAGAUGAAAGCAAGUGUUGUAGUUCAUGAUAGCAAGACGGAAUAAGCCAAGAAAAUAAAAAAAAGUAGGACAAGGGAAGUUGAGUUGAUAAAAUAGUUUGGAUGAUGAAGAAAAGCCCAGAGAGCAUGCUUUAAUAUGUUUUGAAGAAAUUUCAAAAUAAAUUUCAAAAUAAAUUUCAAAAUAAAAAUUUAAAAAGGAAAGCAAAGUUUUGAAGAAAUUUCAAAAUAAAUUUCAAGUCUUCUUCUUUAAAAAAUACGUACAAAGAGCGAAUUUUCAAAAUUUCUCCUAAAUUUUCUUCACAUUACUCCACAUAAUCCAUUAAAAAAACUUAAAAAAUAUAUUUUAUUAAUUACUAUACAUUCUUUUACUUUCAGAAUAAUAAAUUGUUUAAAAUUUGCUAUUAGUCCCUGUAAUUUAAAAGUUAAAAAAAAAAUUCAAUCCUCCUACUUUUCUAAUUUAAAAAUUCUAGUUCAAUCAAUUUUAAUUUUAAAAUCUUUGUAUAAAAGGUGUUUUUUUUUUGUGACCGAUCACACUUAACCAAUAUUUAAAAAUUAUUAAAAAAUAUUUUUUUUUGAAAUUUAAAGUGAUCUAAAAACAUAUUUUUAAGUACUUUGGACAGUCUAUUGUUGAUUUCCUUAUUAUAUUAAGUGUUUGCAAUCACUCCUAAUAUAUUGUGCUUGAGUUGUGACAAAGUCGAUCAUCAAAUUGCCAUAAUGAUCUAUUGAUGCUGAAAUUAAAGUUUUUGUUAUAUUGAUAGAGCUUGUCCUUCAACGCGUACAACGUGUUUGUUAUUUUUCUCCCUUCAAAUUGUAUGAUCUUAUUCAUUAAAUGAAUUAAUGAAUUUCCCUUUUAAAAAGAUAUAUUUUUAAAAAUUAAAUACUUUAUAAAAUAUUUAAAAAUUUGUAAGCCUUAAAACAAUCAACAAAAUAUUUUUGAAAUUUUAUAAAUAUAUUUUAAAAUUAUAGUAACGCUACAAAAUAUAUAUAUUUACUAAUUAUAUGCACCUUUUUUAUUUUUUUUCCUAACAUAUCAUUAUUUUCAACACUAUCGUAAUCCUGUUUUGAUAAUUCCCUUUCCAUACAUCCUUUUUCUACAUAGAAUUUCAAAAGAAAAUGUGAAUUAAUGUAAACGUGAGAAGACUUAAUUACAUUUAUUAGUUUAUCAAUCAAAACUUAAUUAGAAUCCAUCAAUAUUUCACACAUCAAAAACCCAAACAUAAAAUUCACUUUUAAAUUAUUUGAAGAUACAUUUGUAUUAUAGGAAAUGGAUUAAAUUAGUCUUUUAUUAUUAAAUGUAUUAUUUUAAUCUUUGUAUUAGGUAUGAAUUGUAUCUCCUAGAUUGAAGCCAAAGCUAUUCUUGAAAGACUGAAAUUAAGAUUCAGAUGUGUUGAGAUGGAAAGUGGCAACACAAUGUUGAUUGAAACUAUUUAUAACGGGUUGGCUACAAUAAGUAGUGCUGCCGAAGUAAGACAGAUUCACGAUUGGUGUUCCAAAAAUUGGGAAGUCAAAUUUCGACAUAUUCAACGAAAUGCCAAUAAAGUUGUUGAUUGCAUAGCUAAGGCAAAUGGAGGCGUAAUUGAGCAGCUGGUUAUCUUGGAAGAUCCUCUGCAUUAUGUGAGAUGCUAGCUUGAAGAAGAUAUUAGACAGUCACUAGUGACUGAUGAUAAUUUUCAUUUGGACUGAUGAGCGCUUAAUUUUCUAAGCUUAUGUUCAACAAAAAAAAAUUUAAAUACGUCUAAAUUGUAAUAGAGUUAACAUUUAGUGUUUAAAAAAUAUCUUAAAAAUUAUUUUUUUCCAAUUGCAGUUCAAUUCCACAAAUAUCGACGAUGAACCCGGACAUAAAAAUUACAGAAAAAAAAACACAUCUAUUAUCAAACCAGCAAUCCAUGUCUAAACUUAAAUUAACAAAAUUUGCCACACAACGCCCGGUACACUAUUAUAUAUCUAUACUAGAUUUAUUCUAGAUGCACAUGUUUUAUUAUAUUUAAAAAUUAAAAUGUAUGGUUGACUAAGUUUUAGUUGAGUUAGUAUUGAUAUUAUUGUCAGUGUAGGAAAAUGUGAGUUUAAUCACGCUCAAAUGUGUUUUAUCCUCCAAUUCAAGGGUUAGGAAAAGGUUAUUGAUAAUUAAAUUAUACCAACUUUUAUAAUAUUAAAAAAAAGGAUUUAUAAAUAAUAUAAGGAAAAGAAAAAAAGAGAAACAUAUUCAUAUUGAUGGGCUCUUUCAAUAUUAGACUUUUUUUUCUAUCACAAGUAAAAAUAUCAAAGGUGAUAAUAAUUAAAUUAUAAAAUUUAAAUUGAGAAAAUAGGGGAUAAAAUUUAUAAGUUUUAAAGUAUAAAGAAUGAAUUUAUAACUAACAACAUAUUUUAACCACAUAAUAAAAGUAGUUAUGGAGAGGAUCAUAUAAAAUGCAAAAAUGAAAUAAUAGAAAAGAAAUAAGUGUUGGGUAUAGUGGCAAUGUAUAUUAUACUUCUAAGGGGAGAUCAAGAUUUUAGACAAGGGAAGAAUUUUAAACCUGCUUUUUUCUCUAGAACUCAACGCAAACCUCAAAUUUAUCUUUUUAAAAGAAUUUAAAAAUAUCUAUAUAAAAGGUGAUUUUUUACCGAUCACACUUAACAAAAUUAAAAAAAAAUUGAAAUUUAAAGUGAUCUAAAAACAUAUUUUAAAGUGCUUUUGACCAUCUUGUGCUGAUUUCUUUAGUAAUUUGAUUUGUUCAAUAUAGAUUUUGGUGACUUAAAACAAAAUUAAUAAAAAAAUAUUUUAUCAGAUAUCUUUUUAAUGUUUAAUAAUAAGUUAAUUUAUAAAAUAUACUUUCAUUGGACACAGGGCCUCCAAGGCGGUGAACCACUAAUCAAAUUAAUUUUGAGAUACUUAAAUUUGUUUUCAUCAAUUAAGAAAUUAAAAAAAUUUGUUGAGACCUCAUGAUUAUGUUUUAUAAUUUCAGGCUUAUCAACUAUUUUGAAAAACAACAAAACGUCUUACACCAAAAACUAAAAAAAUAAAAACGUCGACAUUAAAUUUGUUGCCAUGCAAUCAAUUUUAAGAUGGUUUUUGGAGUUAUAUAUCACCUUAGCAUUGACUUACUUUUCUACACUUAGUCUUCUCCAACAAGUUAAAUAUUUCAAUUUUAACAACAUUGACAGGUCUUUGGGGUAGGGUCGAGCAAAACUCAAUAUAGGCUGAGUUGGCUCGGCCAAGUCGAGUCGACUUGUUCAAAUUAUUUAAAUUCGUAAUUUUUAAGGUGCAGUUAGAAUUUUUUGUUUUGAGAUGCUAAGAUUAAAAUAUUUCAGUUGCUAAAACAAAAUAUUUGUAUUUAAAAAGGCAUAAAUUAAAUAAUUAAGUUUUUCGAGUUUCCAUUUAAUCAAAGGUUAAAAGGACUAAAUUGAAGCUUUUUAUUUUUAAGAAAGGCUGAAUGACAAAUUGCCCAAAGCCAUGCCCCUAGCUAUACAACUAACUUCUCUAUGAUUAGUCCUUCGUUUGCUUUGGGUGAAAUCUUCCAACUAGCCUCAUCCUUGGUUUUACUUUCCAACAAUUAGUGUAUCACGAGUUUUGUUUUCUUUAAAAAAUAUUUGUGGAUAUUAGGAGAUAAUGAAAAUUAUUUUACUAUGAAAUUUUAAUAAAACUGGAAAAUAAGUAAUUUAUUUUAAGAGGUCGCAAUUAAACGUUAGAUUUCCAAUUUUUAAAUUUUAAUUUUUUUUUGACAAUUGCAUAAUAUUUUGAGUGUUGUAGGAAUGCCAUAAUAUAACCUUCCCUAAACAUAAUCGACUCUUGAGCAUGAUGGAUCCUAGAACUUCUCCUCUAUUCUCGUACCGCAAAUUGCUUCAAGUGUGGGUUCGAACAAUCACAAAUUAAACACAAAACCAGAAAUGAUUUAUUACUUUCAAUAGCAAGGUAAUUCUCUCUCAAUAGAAACCAAUAGAAGUGUAAUUCUUAGAAAAUAAAAUUUAUUUUUUGAAAAUAUAUUCUCACUACUUUCUAGCAGAAUAACAAUAUGUGAAACUUAUGUCUUGUGUUAAUAGCUCUACCAGUACUCUCUAUUUAUAGGGAGAGAUACGAGAAUCCUGGUUGAAUUAGUAAAACACGAAUAAUAUUUAUUUCAUAGAAAACAAUAUUCCACCCUAAGUAGAUCAAGUUUGUAUGACGCAUGGAUCAAAGCUCAAUCUAGGAGGAAAAAAAUAAAGGAAUUUUCUUUGUAAAGAAAAUUUGAGAUUGUACUAUUUUCAAAGUUAUAAAUAAAAUUAUACGCCAAAUUUUUAAGUCAAUUUCAACUCCAAUUUUGUAUGCACAAAUUUCUAGUACACUUGGUGGGACAUUCUUUGACUUUUAUCUAUUCUCUCAAAAAGUUAAAGUUCAAAGUUACAUUAAACUCAAAGAAGAUAAUCAUUAGUAAACCACCUCACAAGCCUGCUCAAACUAAUCCUACAACUCAUUCCACUUCAUCAUCAAACACCAAUGUUCUUGCUUAUCCUUAUGGAAUUAAACAGUCUCAUUUUCUGCAUUUUGGGUACACACCUGGUUUUAUUUGAUGCUAAAACAGUCCCCGAGCACUCCAAAGCCUAUAAUUGAACAAAUAAUACUAAUUUAAUCUUACAUAACAUGAUCCCAAAUUGAACUUGUAUCGAGGUUUUAACCCAUAAGUGACUAAACCUUACCUUCAACCGAGUGAACAGUAAUUCCCACACAAACUAAGACUCCGAUUGAAGAUUACGAGCCAUUGAAUCCUCCCCUAAUUGGCAUAAACAAAACACUUCAAAAGAAAGUCAACAAAUGGAGACAAAUCACUUAUCUAAAACUUACCGAACGAUCACAGACAAACGUGAAGCGACACGAGGCAGAGUGGGAAAAGAAAAAUCAAGAGGAUGAAGGGUGAAAGAGAGCAGAAAUUCGGUAGCAAUGAAGAGAAAAACGGCAAGAAAGUGGAGGGAUUUUGGGGAAAGUAAAAAAAAAGAUGAAUAGAAUAUUUGAUAACUACCCCAAUCCCUUAUUUCUCUCUAUCAAACUCCCCACUAAAUCCACUACUCAAAUUUUUAGUCCAUCUCAAACUCUCCUGGACGCACGAGCAAAAAAUAAUGCCCAUGCCAAAAUUUAAACAAAAGACCUCCUUCACACCAACACUCCACUUAUCCACCAGACCAAUAGGCUCAUUCUUUUAAUUAUUUUCCAACUUUUACUUAAAAGCCUACUGACCAAAGAUAGGGCUUAUUCAUAAAAAUACCAAAUUUUGCCCAAGACCUGGCUUGAACUUGGGACCUCCCAAACACACCCAGAACACAUAACCACUAAAGCAGACAUAAAUUUUGUGUCACACAUUCACAAUACCCAAAAUUAAAAUUUUAGGGCGUUACAAAAACACAUUAAAUAAUAUCGCAUAAAAUAAUCACAGUUAGAUAACAGUUCAGAAUGUCGAUUUUACAAUUUAACCACCAAUAGUAUCACAGUAUUCACAGUUGUAAUUUCAGAAUAUCAAAUUUCCACAUGAUUCACAAUAUUCACACAUAUAUAAAUAUAUCAUAAUAGAAUUCCAGAUUUGUAUGCACAUGAUUUAGAAGAUGCCAUACAAUUUUGGUUUUUAACAGAAUAAAUCCUACCCCACGUUACAUACCAUAAUGGGAGUUCCCCUAAACUCCCUUCUCCAACACACUAGGUUAUGGAUAAACCACUAUUGGUUCACAAAUAAUAACUGUCAUUUGGCUGUGGACACACAGCAAGUCCCCACAAUUGGAUUCUAGAUUUGGUUGUGGAUUCACAGCAAAAAAAUCCUACAAAUGAAGCCUGCUUUUGCCUGUAGAUUAUACAACAUAUACCCGCAGUUGGAAUCUGUCUUUGGCUGUGGAUGCAGUGUAACACCGCAAACUCGACCUGGACAUUAUGGCUGAAUCUUGAUGAUUUACUUUAACUCGCUAGAAAACCCACGAAUUUACUUUAAAAUCAUGUGGUUAAACUAGUGUUCACUUUGAUAAAUUGUUUUCCAGUUUUAGAGAAAUUUCUUGUUAAAACUGUUACUUUAUUACAAUAAAACAUUAAAGUAAUUGUAUCAUUUUGUAGUGGAAUCUACUAAGCUAUAAGGUUUUGAAAAUCGUGAUUUAGUUUGCAACAAAUCAUUUUGCAAAUAGAAAUUUAAUACUACUUAAUUUGGAAAAUCACGCUAAAACGAAAGCAAAGUCCAAAAUAAUUUACGGUUUGAAAUUCUAAAAAGCCCAAAUUAGACAUAAAGUCUAUUUAAACCAAUUUAUUGAAAGUGUAACACCCUAAACCCGGCCUAUAUGUUAUGGCCAAAUCUAGAUGUGUUACGAAAAAAAGUUUAUAAAAUGACUUCCUUGUUAUUGGCAAACCAUCGUAACCAUUAUUACUUAGUAUAUCUGAUUUGUUUGGAAAACUUAUUGAUAUACUUAUUUGAUUUAAAAUCGUUGCUCGCUUAUGCCUUUUUAUUAAACCAAAUAUUUUGCAGCGGAGUUUCUUUACAACAUCAUAUUUUGGAAAAUCAAAUUGUUUCUUGAAAAUCGUUAUUUUAGAAAAGUUUUCAUUUUCAGAAAAAUUAUUUUAUCAGUUGUUAUGCUGAGAAAACAAAAUAAAAUCCAAAACCAAAAAUAAUCGCAAAAAGUCUAGAGAGUCCCAAAAUGACAAUACUCUUAAAACUAGACAAGCUUAAACUAAUUUUAAAAGAAUGAAAUUUUACAGAAAUGUGGACACCACUGAGCUUCCGUCGCACCGACCCACCUAAAUCUGAGGGUUACUUGAACAGAACAAACAAACAGAGAGUGAGUUUUGAAACUUAGUGUCUAACGCAUAUAUAAACAAAAAUUCAGAAUCAAUCUCAUGCAGAACAGAUACAAGUGUAAACCUUUUAUAAAAUUAGAAUUGUACAGAUACAAAUAUGCAACAUCCUACCCUCAUCCUCUACACACCAACUCCGACCAUCCUAUCACACCACGUGGGGUAUAAAAUACCCAUCCAGCCCUACACACCGUAUAGUGUUUAUAUGACACUUUUUGGAAUAAUCGCAGCAGAGUUGCCAGUAUAUAUGCGAGAUAUCACCUCACAUAGAACACUUCCUCCUCAUAAUACAAAUCCCGCCUCAUAGCUAGAUACAGACAAAAUAUGAUGUAAAAUAAAUUAACAGAUACUAGAGUUAACAUAUCACGCGUGAGCGUAUAAUAGAUAUUACACAUGCUUAUGCAUAACAAAAUAGAUCAUACAUAUUGUAUUCCAUAAUACUCAUAUAAAUGUUAUUUACGUCAAUCUCAAUCUAACAGAGUAGCAGAUUUCAUGCUUUAACGCUUAUACCACACAUAUAGACCCUAUAGAAGGCCCACAGUCGAUCGAGACAACAUGUAUGUCGCUAGGGAAAAAAUUUGUAAUUUGGGCCCAUAUACAUGUAUGAGCCCACACACCCAAAAUGGCCUUGCCCAUGUGGCUCACCAACCUAGCACUCAGCCCAUACGGUCCAAAAUGGCCUAGGUCGUGUGUCACACACAGCCGCAUGUUGCACACAGCCUACCACAUAGCCAGUCACAAAACUGUUUGGAGUUGAAAAGCCCAAUUUUUGGCUUUCGUCAAUCAUCAUUUUCUUACGUUUUCAUUACACACCUGGUUUGAUUCUGACGCAAAAGCAACCCUAUGUCCACCGAAACCUAAAAAUAGCAUUCCAACGCCCAAUUUCAGUGAACAUUUACAAAACUCAAACAAAAACUAUCCAAAAACAUAGCCUCACAAUAGCAUCCAACGCACUCGCACACUUAUCGUCAACAAAUAGGAAACACCCAACACUCAAUUCGUUGGCGGAGCACCAAUUAUGAUAAUGCAAAAAUUUUAUGGAUUCUCAACACUAUCGAUCCGAAUGUAAGAUUGAUGCUUUCCAAUUAUGAUAAUGCGAAAAUUUUGUGGGAUGGUUUACAUGAAUUUUUUUUGUUGUCAACGAUCAACGUAUUCAAUAAUUAAAAUAAAAUAUUAGUCGUUUUUAGAAAACCAAGACUAUGAGUGUUGUAGUUUAUUUCAGUAAAUUAAAGGUUUUGUGGGAUGAACUAGAUAAUCAUGAACCAUUGAUUUGUUGCAAGUGUGGACAAUGUUUAUGUAACUUAGGGAAGGCGCAUGAACAAUGUCGUGAGCAUGAUUGACUUCAUCAAUUACUUCUUGCUCUCUAUUGUAAUUGUUAUGCUCAAACUAGGUUUACACUGUUUUACCAAGAUCCUUUGCCUUCCUUAAAUCAGGCAUUCCAACAAAUUACUUAGGAGGAACAUGUACGUGGAAUUACACUGAUUAAGGAAGAGAAGUCUGAUAUUUUAGGCUUUGCUAUGCGUACAGAGGGUCAUAACAAAGGCCGAGCUAAUUGUAUUGAUAAGUCAACCUUGUUGUGCACUCAUUGCCAUCGCAAAAGGCAUGAGAUGGCUACCCAUUUUGAAUUACAUAGCCACUUGGAUUGGCGGCUUAAGAAGUAUGGGAAGCCAGAGAAGAAAAGUGAUGAUCGUGGUGGUAAGACAAGUGCCACAUCUUCCACGUAAGUGUUUUAUUUCAAAGGAUCACAAUUAAACAUUAGAUUUCUCAUUUUUAAUUUUUUUAUUUUUUUAACAGCUACGUAAUUAACGAGUACCAAUUUUGGGUGUUGUAGGGGUUCUAUAACUUUCCCUAUAUGUAAUCGACUCUUGCACCCACUUUUUUUUCUCUAGAAUUCAAUGCAAACCUUAGAUUUAUCUUUUUAAAAGAAUUUUAAAAUCUCUUUAUAAAAGACGAUUUUUUUAGGUGACCAAUCACACUUAAGAAAAACAAAUCGGUGGCAACUCCUUUCUAAUAAAUGUAAAAAACUUUUUAAACAAAAUAAGGUUGAAAUAAUCUAGUUGUCGUUAUACUUUGAUAAAAUUUUAGAUUUAGUCCUUAUACUUAAAAGGUUAAAAAUUAAGUCUUGUUUUUAUUUAAAAAUCUUAGUCCUAUCGUUAAUAUUGUUUUUUUUUGUCAAAAUUUGUCAAGUUGACAUAUUAAUUAGGUUUCUCUUAUAUAUCGUGGUAUAUGACUAACACAAAAUAAACAAGUUGACAAAAUCUACAAAAAAUAUCAAAGAUGAUAAUAGUUUAAUUAAAAUUUUUAAAUUAAAAAAGUAAGGGAUUAAAUUUAUAACUUUUAAAGUACAAUGAAUGAAAUUAUUGAAAUACAAGAACUAACAACAUAUUUUAAAAUAUUACUAGUAAAUUAUAUAUCUACAACAAGAAUUGUAACCUCUUAUAUUAUAUUCUUGUAUCUAUUUUUGCAUCUUUCAUUAUAAUAUGAUUUAUUAAUUUUAAUAUUUUUAUAGAAUAAUAUGCUUUAAAUAGUUUUUUGUAUAAUUUAUAAAAAUUAUAAUAAACUUACAAAAUAAUUUAAUGAUAUUUAAUUAUUAACCAAAAAAAAUGAUAUCAUAUAUAUUAUGUAUAUAUUAAGAUUCCGAAUCAUUAAUUAUAUAUCUACGCAUUAUAAUAAAUUCAUCUUUCAAAAUUUUCCUUAUAAUUAAAGCAUAAAUUAUAUUUAUAAUAUUAUAAAUAUAUUUUAUCAUAAAUAUUCUUUCAAAUAUUUUUUAAUGUUUAAUAAUAAGUUAAUUUAUAAAAUAUUUUUUCAAUAAAUUAAUGUGAUGAGAUCGUUAGGUGCUUGGAUUUGGUGAAGGGGGAUGAAGAGAAAAGGGAUGGAAGUGAAUAAAAAUGUUGAGAAAUCGAAAGGGUUAGCGAGGGAAGCCGCCAUGAAAGGUGGUUCAAUGGAUAUGAACCAUCAAGCUUUUGUGGAUGAUGUUACUCAAGGUUGUUGCAAGUAAAUUAAAAAAUAUUUUUUUAAAUUAUUUUUUUGUUAAAAAACAUUUUUUAUUUUUUAUGUGGCAUGCCACAUUAUCAUAGUAUCAUGUGACAACUUCUGGUGAUUUCUGUCUGUAACAUUAGUCAAAUCAACAGUUAAAUCGUUCAACUCACAGUUUUUGUUAAAUGAAGAGGUCAAUUGGUUUUUUUGGAAUCAUUGAGUACUCAAUUGGUGCACUUUUAUCAUAAAGGCUAAAUUAAUUUUUUUAAUUUGUUAUUGUUGAGGGCUAUAACAAUAAAAAAAUUAAUGUAAAAUGAAAAAAAUGUUAGAGCUAAAUUUGUCAUUAUAACUAAAAUGUAAAACCAAAAUUUUUUGAAAAAUGAAAAAAAUGGAAAAUCACAAAUUCUAUCACUUAUGUUUGCUUAAAAUUAUAGUUUUGGUCACCAAUCUUUUGAAGUAAAUAUAUGGUCACCAAUAACUCACCUUAAAGUUAUACCCCUACGCAAGAAAGGAUUAAAUGACAUUGGAAUACCAUAAAACUUGUAUCUUUUUUUAUUCAUCUAAUACCAUUUUAACAUUUUCAUUUUAAAAAAUUGACAUAUCAUUUUGAAUUUGAUCUUUUUCAUGGUAUCUCAAAUUCAUUUAAUCUUUCCCUCUCUAAAAAAGCUAAUGUAACACAUUAAUGACAUCAUUUCAAACAAAGUUUUAGGUCAAAUUAUUCAUCUAGUCCUUGUAAUUGUUUUUAUAGGUGAAUUUCAUUAUUAUUCUUUUAUUUUCUUAGGCUUAAAUACACAUUUACCCCUAAUUUUAUCCCAUUCUCCUUAAUUGGUAUUUAUGGUUUAGAAAAUUUUAUAAAUAUAUUAUUUUUUAAGAAAUUAUAAGAAGAUUACAAAAAUUCCAAAAUAAUAUAAAAAAGCCAAGGAAAACCUAGAAAUUCAAAAAAAAAAAAAAAACGUCGACAUUGAAUUUGCUGUUUCACAUUCAAUUUUUGGAGAAGUAGAAUUUUCUAACUUAUUUUCCAUCAACUUGACUUCAAUUUUCAAUCACAAUCAAUUGCAUUCAAGAGCACCACAUCUGUUUGGAUGAAACAAACCUCUCAAUUUUAAGAUAAACGGGUCUUUAGGGUUAUAAAUUGAGGGCCUUUUCCACAAUUGCGGGUGAUUCGUUGAUAAUAACCUCAACAUUUCUGUAUCACAUUUCAAUUUUUAAUUUUUAGAGAGAUGAUUGGGUUACAAGACUGGUUUGAAGUGAAGAUAUUUCAAAAGAAGAUCGAAUACUCUACCAAUAGUCAUAAUUUAAAAUUCAGGUUAUGUUUCAUUUCAGCUAAGUUAAAUGUUAAGAUUGAGGUUAAACCUUUUAGAGGUUGCUCACAAAAGGAUCAAACCUUUAUAAAAUUGCCUAAAUGAAGGUUAAACCUUUUAAAAUAGACAAAUAAGGGCCUAACCUUUUAAAAGGUGUUCAAAUAAGGGUUUCUCAAACGUUGUAUAUCAGGUUAUGUGUUUUACUCUAAACACAUCGACAUUUACCUAUUUUUUCUAUAAAUUUGGUUGAAGUGCAUGAAAAAUCCUUAUUUGAGCACUUUUGUAAAGGUUAAUCUCUUAUUUGACCAUUUUGAAAGGUUUGAUCCUUAUAUAAGUAACCUCUAAAAGAUUGAGCACUAAUUUGACAAGUUUGAGAAAUAUCUAAAUUUGUUUUCAUGAAUCAAGAAAUUAAAAAAGAAAUGUUGAGAAAUAUUUUAGAGAUUCUUAGCUUUGACAAGUUCCCUCCACCAUCUCCCUGCCUCCAGUCCCACCUCUUCUCUUAUGCUCCUUCCAGCUUCUUGCCUUUUGUGUGUUGAAAAUUCAAAGGAACAAAAUAUCAACCUACAUCAUAAGGCACGAUCGCCAGAACUUUACUUUCUAGCCUGUCGAUCCGAUCCAAUCCAAUGAAAGAAGAACAAGGAGUCUUAAGAUCUGUCAACUUUAUUUCAUUUUCAUUUUCUUUGUCAUUUUCUAUGUUUCAUGUCGAAUACAAUGAAAGAAGAACAUAGAAAAAUGUGGCCUAUUUAUUUCCCAAUCAUCAUGAAAUUACUUGCCAUUGACUUAGAAUUUUCUCACCAAUUUUCAAGCAAUCUGACAUGAUUUCUCAAUCACAAUUAAUUGAAUUCAAGAUCUUUUUAGAUGACACAAACAUUUCAAUUUUAACACAAACCAAUAUUUCGGUUAUACUUCAGUGCUUGACAAGCACUUUCACAUUUGUGGGAUAAGAACUCUUAACAUUUUAGGAUCACAUUUAAUUCAAUUGCAUUUAAGACCUCAUGGUUUUAUUCUAUAAUUUCAGUCUUAUCAGCCUUUUCGGAAACAAUAAAACGUCGACAUUAAAUUUGUUGUUGAUGCAUUCAAUUUUUUGAGGGGUCUUUGGAGUUAUAUGUGACUUUAGCAUUGACUGACUUUUUUAUAAUUUAUCUUUUAUAAUAAGGUAAAUAUAUUAAUUUUAAUAACAUCGACAUGUUUUUUAGUAGGGUCGAGCAAAACCCAAUUAAAAUCGAUGAUAUUGGCUUAGUUGACUCGGUCAAGUCCAUUAGAUUGAUAAAAUCAUUUUUAAAAUCAGUUAUAAUGGAUAAAGGUAAUUAAUUAUCGAGUAAUGAAAUACAUAAUCAAAUCAAUUGAUUUUGUUAGAAACUAAAAGAAAAAGGGCUAAGCUGAAAAUUGAUUGCCCUUUAUUAAAAUUAACGAAUCUGUCUUUUACGUAUUAGAUAAUAUGAACAUCGCAUAUAUAAUAAGAAAAAUUACGUAUGAUUAUUUAUUAUCAUAAAAGGUUAGUUUAAAUUUAAAGUAAUCUAAUAUGUUUAUUGAACUUCAACUAUUAAAUAAAGUAUAAGCUAAAUAAGUAUAAAUAUUCUAGAAACCAUUUCUAACUGAUGAUAGGCUAAUUCGAUUAAUUUAUAAAAACUAGAUAGUAGGGUUAUAGUCCUCAAACUACACCUAAUUUAAUAACAUUUAUAUUUUUUUUAGCCUUAAACAUUUAUAGUUUUUGUUAAUUUGGUCCUUACUCUUUAAAAUUACAUAAAAAUUGCAAAAAAAUUAAAAAUUAAUUUUUAUCAUGAUUUUAAUAACAUUUAUAUUUUUUUUGUGGUUUGGUAACUUAUCAACUUGACUCUUACUUGUAACCAACUUUUCUAACCUUUUUCGUACCCUUAACCUAAGUCCCGUUACAAUUUCUAAAGACCUCUUGAUUGGUGUAUCAUCUCGAUUUGUUUUUAUAGUGGUGGAGAUUUGUUUUUUGUAGUGGCAUGAUUGCCAGAACUUUACUUUCUAUCCUGUCGAUCCGAUCCAAUGAAAGAAUAACAAAGAGUCUUAAGAUCUGUCAACUUUAUUUCAUUUUCAUUUUCUUUGUCAUUUUCUAUGUUUCUUGUCACAUACAAUGAAAGAAGAACAUAGAAAAAUGUUGCCUAUUUAUUUCCCAAUCAUCAUUCUAACAGGCCGAAUUAGCCCAGGCCCAAACAUUAAUAAAAUGUCCAGAUUACAAAAUAACCAACCAAAAAUUAAAAGCCCAAAAUAAUAAAAUAAAACCCAUUACAUUAACCCAAAACUCCAGCCCAAUUACAUUGAAGCCCAAAAAAAUAGUUUUUAGAAACCCCUAGGGUUUCUGGAACAAUCCGCGCCGCUCCUCCAUCCGCUUCUCCACGCACGCUGCACCUUUCCACGUGCGCCUCCAGCUGGCAGUGUACCUCCAAUGCAACAAACAAAGCAACAAGCAGCAAAAGAAAUGGAAAAACAACAAAAAAAAAAAGAAAGGAGCAACAAUGUAUAACAGAUUGAUAACAAAUAAUAGAAAAAAUAGCAGUAAAUAGGAAAAAAAAUUAAAAAAUAAUGAGGGUAAUUUCAUUUUUUUCUCUGUUUUGGCUAUAAAGAGAGCCGGUCAAAAUCUCUAAAGGGGGAUUUAGAAAUCAAUCAGAAAACAAGUAUUUUGUACCAACAAUUAGAGAAAAAAAAUACAAAAAUAGGGAUUGAAGGUUUUUUUUUCUUUCGUUUCGAUUUAUUUUAAAAUAGCAUAGAAAAUAAAAAGAAGGCUUACCUUGCGACGCCUUCAGAUCCUCUCGAAAAGGGGCUAAAAGGCCCUAUGUGGCACAGAUUUGACCACUGUUCACGGUGGAACCGCAGCGGAGGCGCAGAGGAUUGGCAUCAAUUUAGGCAGGGUUUGAAACCCUAGCAGAGAAAAAAUUAGGGUUGAUAGAUUUUUUUUAAAAAAAUGGCAAAAUGUUGUUUUAAAAAAUUUUGUUUUAAAAAAAAUUGUUGCUUUUAUAAAGGGUGUAAAACGGCGUCGUUUAGGGCAUGUUUCGAUGGCCCCAAAACGGCGCCUUAUAAGGCAACCCCCGACGACCCGACCUGCUCCAUGGGGGAUCCGCGUGGUUUUUGUUAAAUGGGUUAUGUCUAACCCUGGCCCUUCUACUUUUUAUACUUGUUUUAAUUUGAUCCUCUUUUUAUUUAUUUUUAUUUCUUUAAAUUAAGCCUGAUAAUUUUUUUCCAUUACAUUUUAAUCCUUAAUGAAACGGCGCGUUUUAGAGGAGAAGGGAAAAUUACCCUUCUAGUCCCUUCUUGUUAUUCGAGUGUUCAGAAGGGUCCUUUUUUGUUUAUUUUUUAUUUGCCCCAAAAUUUUGUUUUAAAGCUUAAUUUAGUCCUAUUUUGUUAUUUUAGCUAUUUUAUUAUUAGAUUAAUUAAUUUAAUAUUAUUAUUACUGCUAUUAUUUUACCCCUAUUAUUUAUAUAUUUAUUAUUAUAACUAUAUCAUUAAAUCAAUUAGUUUUUACAUUAUUAUUUCCAUUCUGUUUUUUAUUUACUUACUUAAAUACUUUAAAUGCAUUUAUUUUAUUUCUUAUUUUUUUAUGAAAUUUCAAAACUUUAGACUAUUUUUUUGUUACUAUAACCCUAAUUUCAUUCAUUUUAUAAUAGUUUUUUUUUAAAAUAUUUCUUAGAUUAAUUCCCUCGAUGUUAUUUUGUAUAUUUAUUUAUCUUUUUAAAUUUUCGAUAUUGUCUUAUUGUAUUAUUGUUGUUACUAUCAUUAUUCAUUAUUAUUGUUGAUUUUAUUCUUCUUUGAUUAAUGUUUAUGUUAGAGUAAUAGGUGUUAUGUGAUCAUUGUUAUUAUAUGUUAUAAUUUGUUGACACUCGUAUUGUAGUCAUUCGUCAGCUUAAUAUUUUGAGUAACAUUUUAAAUAUUACAUUAAUUUUGACCCAAAUGCAUAAUUUUUUAAUAAGUAAUAUUUCGUAUUGUGGAAUUUGAGAGAUCAUUCCCUAACUUACGGGGUCUCGAUUUUUUUGAUAAAUCUGAAUAUAAGAACUAUUUUAAAAAAAUACGUUUUAAAAUUAUCUCGGGAAUUUAAAAAGAAGCGUGUUCUAACUUACGGAAUAUGAUCUUUUUUUAAAAAUCGAGAUAAUCAAAUAUCUUUCAAAUAAAUAAACUUUUCGUGUUUAUUCUCGUUUUAGGAUUUAAGAUAUUGUGUCCUAACUCACGGGACACAAUUCUUUUUCUCGAUUAACGUGAAAUACGCCCUUUUUAAUUUUAUCUUUUUAAGUGAUUUUAACAAAAGGAUUGUAUUUUAAAUCUCUUCAAAAUUUUCAAUUUUUCGACAUUGAGACAUUAACUAAUCAAUUAGGUACCAAUUUUGGGCGUUACAAGGGUGUUAACCCUUCCUUGUACAUAACCGACUCCCGAACCUAUUUUUCUGAAUAUUAUAGGCCAAAAUUGUUUUAAUAAAUUAAACCCUUAAGAGGUGACUCGAUCACAGCUCAUAAAAAUUAUCGGUGGCGACCCUUGUUUUAAAAAAGGUGGUUUCAACAGCUUGGCGACUCCGCUGGGGACAAAAAUAAGAGUCAAGCCGCGAGUUGAUUAUUUCUUAUCUUUUUGUCAGAAAUUGUGAAUUCGAUUUAAAUUUAUGAUCUUUUCAUUGCAUUUUAUGGUCUGCAUCAUUUUUAUAUGCUUGCUUUACUACUUCGAGUCUUUUAAUCUUCGCAUAUUGUAUUGCAUAACCGUUCGGUUAUACCCUUUUAAGCGGGAGUGAGAAAUUAUUCUUUCGUGAGGUUUUCACCUUCGUAUAGGAUAGUGGAUUACUUUCAGGAUACAUCCAUACCUAUGUCUUCGUGAGAUUCUCAUCUCCGUAUAGUCAUAGGGAAAUGUAUUCCCCUGAACUGAACUCAGUCCGUAUGAGCCUAUAAUGGGUGAGGAUUGAGGAAUCUGCUGGUUCAGGUACCCUUUCUUUAGAACUAAACCGCAUGUAGUGAGCCCUAAGAGCAUACCCUAGGUAGAACCACUCCAAACCCCUAGUGGUCACCCAAAUAGGUGCUCUAUUUAUUUUUGCUUGCUUGUUUUUGCCUUGUACUAACCUAUUUGUUAUGGUUAUGAGUGCAUUGCAUUUUUAUCAUAAAAAAGAUGUGUUGAUUCACGUUCAGUUGCUAAAUAGAGAGCUUGUCAUGGAAAACGAAUUUCUUGAUAAAGUGGAAGACAAUGCGGUUGUCCGGAUAUGGUCCAAGAAAAUGUGAAGAAAGAAGGGUGAUAGUCUAAUGGAGGACUACACGACCUUGCUUUGUUGCCUGAUGAUUCAAGUUGACAAAGAUUAUUCGAGAGUCUUCAAUGUCCCGACCUUUUUAAAGAAGCUAACGAGCGUCACGAGGAUGAGCGAGUAAUGAGUUGCGGCCCGGAUCAAGCAAAAAAAAGAUAGAGGAGACACCCUUUUUGAAGAGUUCACGAGAUUUAUCUUAACAUCUAGACGAAGAAAAAGAUCAAUCUCUUUGCCUAGAGUAUGAGGGCAAAGCCGUAUAUAUCCGCUUUAUGUAAAUAAAUUUGUUUUCUAGUAAAGUUUUUCUAAUAGGAUUGAAUCAGAAUCAACGUCUCUUUUUGCAUUCAUUCCAUUCAUCUGCAUUGCAUUUCAUUGCAUCUAGAAUUUCACAAAAGGACCCUAAUUAAUCGAAAUUGUUAUAGCUACCUUGAAAAACUAACGAAAAUUUACCAAUUAAAUAUUCCUAUGGUACCCAUUGCAAAACUAAAGUAAUGGAUCAAAUAUUAGAAAGAUUAGAACAAAUGCUGAAGGAUAAACAUAACUGCUUUGGCUUAGGGUACAAGCCAGAUACAAGACAAAGAAGAAAUAGGAAAGGAGAACACGUUUGAGCGGGGAUGAGGUCAAAUGGGAGGGAUUAUUCAUCCCAGGCGAAGAAUGCCAAGAGAAGAAAAUAUUGAAAACAUGUUGGGAAACGUUCACAUCAAUGCCAUAUACGAAGAAGCAAUUGAAGGAGUGACCUUGUUAGAUAUCCGCCCUUAUGAACCUAAGAGUGUGCUAAACAAUUGGACUGCAGAAGAAAUUCUUGUAGUGUUUAGAGCUUACUCAUAGUAAUGUUCAGAACACACUUGUUGCUUUUAGCCUAGAAGUGAUAAGAAUCCCUCUGUGAAAUAGGCUCAUGUAUAAACAUCAUUAUUUUAAUGAAGUACAUCUUUGCAUUCAUUUUGAGCAAAUAUUCUUUUAUUCUUUUCAUACGAGUAAUUAUUUUGGAUUCUUUAAUUCUUUUGGGAUUUUCUUCCAAAAUCAUUCUUUUAUUACAUCCAUAAUCAUACUGUACAAAUAAUGUAAUAGCCUGAAUUUUCAGUGGUGUCGGAAUGGUGAUUCAAGAUCACUAAGUCUGACAAAUGAGUAGAAAAUAUUAUUAAUUUAGUAAGAAUAAGUAAAUGUGAAGUUAGGAAAAUUUUUGAAAUAGUGAAUAGUGUACUAGGAAUAAAUAUUAAAAUAAUUAAAAUAAAAAAUGAGGUAUCGAGACCUCGAAGAUUUUAAACCAAGCCAUAAGUACUUUUAGAAGUAUUUUUAGAGUGUCAUUGAGUUGGUAUUAAAGUUUCGUUAGAAAAUUUUAACGCUCGGAUAGUUAAUUAACCAAAAAGGACUAAAUUGAAAAUAGUGUAAAAUUUGUUAAAUUGUGAUUAAAUAGCUUAAGUGAUUAAAAAGGAGGGAUUUAAAAGGCAAUUAGGCCCAAAUUAUAUGGGCUGGACGGUUGGGUAAGAAAAAUCAGCAGAAUGUAAGGAGAAACAGGGGCAAAAUUGGAAACUUAACAAAUUAAACAUAUAAAACAAAGACAAAAGUGAAAAAUCUAGAGAUCUGCUCACAAUUUAUCAGCAAAAAUGCCAUAGGAGGUCUGAAAGAAGCUGGUUUUUCAUAUAUUUGAAUCAUGUAAGUUUAAUUCUUGAUUAUUUCUUCUAAUUUUUGUGAUUUUGAUACUUUUACAAUUAGGUCCAACUAAUUAUUUCAUUAGUUUUUGAUUUCAUGGCUGAUUUUGAAAGUUACCAUUGAUGAGUGUUGGAUUUUUAUGAUGAAUAAACAUGGAAUUAAAGCUUUAAUUUUGUUAUAUGAUGAUUUUAUUAAGUAAUUUUGAUAGAAAUUGAUUUUUGGGACCUAAUUGUGAAAAAGUUUGGAAUUAGGGUUUGGUGUUGCGGUUUUGAAUAUGAAAGUCUAUGUAGUAGUCUAAAAUAGUUGGAAAAGGUGUUAAUUGAGAAAAAUUAGAUCAAUUGAGGGGUUAAUUGAGUAGGACCAAAUUGUAAAAACUGUAAAGUUUGAGGUAAAAGUGUAAUUUCGAAAAUUUAAGGGCAUAAAUUGUGAAGUGAAUUAGAAUAGAAUUAUAUGCUGAUGAAUGAAUAAAUUUGUAUUUUAGAUCGAGAACCCGAAGCAAGCCGAGGAAAAGAAAAAGUAGUUGAUUAGUCCCUGAACUUUUACAAAUUCUGCAAAUCGACCCAGGUAAGUUCAUAUGGCUGAAAUUUAAUGAUUAAAUGUUAAUUUCAUGAAUUAUGUAAUGUAUGAUGAAAUGUAUUUAGUGUUGAAAUGAGAGUAAAAUAAAAAUGCGAAAAUCGAAUAAAUGAUCAAAUUAAGCGGAACGCCGGAUUUGAGUACUUCUGAUCAAGAGACAAAGUGAUAAGUGGUAGCUUUAGCUACACUUAUCUGAUCAAGUGAAAAAGUGAUAAGUGCUACACUUAUCUGAUCAAGAGACAAAGUGAUAAGUGGUAGCUUUAGCUCACUUAUCUGAUCAAGUGAAAAAGUGAUAAGUGCUAUACUUAUCUGAUCAAGUGACAAAGUGAUAAGUGGUAGCUUAGCUACACUUAUCUGAUCAGGGCCAAAUGAUAAGUGAUCAUACGUAAGACCAUAGUUAUACUAUGGCCAAGUGAAAGUGAAGUACUCAAUUUUCCGUAACCGUUCCUUAAUUUUGAUCAAGGAUGGUAAGUGACAAAUAGGCCCAAAGAAAUUAUGGUAAAAGAAUAAGUAGUAGUGAGUUUAUACCAAGGAACUCUCCAAAGAUUGUGGUUGACAAGUAAACUUAGUAAUGGUGUAUAUUGUAUAAGUGUACAAAUGUUUGGUAAGAUUUAUGUUUGUGCCUAUGAACUUACUAAGCUUUUCUAUAAGCUUACAUGUGUGUGUUUAUUGUUUUUCUAGAUUAACGUAUUUAUACAUUCGGAGGAUCGGAUCUACUUCGAGAAUCACACUAUCCAGAUAUACUCCGGUAGAUUUUGUUAAACAACUUUUUGGAUUUAUAUGGCAUGUACAUAGAAUUGAAGUAAAAAGUAAUAGAAUGAAUGACUGAGUAUGCAAAGUAAAUUUGAAUGUGAUGGUUGUGUUAGAUAUUGAAAAAUACAUGUUUUUAGUUUGAAAUGGUUGAUUGGCUGAACUUCGUUAGUAUUCAAGUGAAGUAGUUGAAAUACUGGAAUUGGUUGUGAUUUGAAAUUUGCAGGGAAGGUUAGAUAAAUAUAAAGGGGUUAUAUUGAUUUUUUUUAAAAAUUUCAAUGGAAUAAUUUUUGGACAGCAGCAUUGAUGUAACUUUUAAAAAUCACCAAAAAUAGUGGAAAUAGAAUUAGAAGUUGAAUGAGAUAUGAAAUUAAAUCUGAAUGAGUCUAAUUUCACAUGAAAGAAGUAGAAUAAGAAAAAGAGUUAUAUAUUUUUAGAUAUUUGAAUUUUAGUGAAACAGGGCAAGAAUGUUUUUGAAGUCCCCUGUUCUGACUUUAGAAAUUUAGUAAAAAUUGUACAAAAGGAAUUAUGAAUUAUAAUUUAUAUGUUUAAAUUCCGUAAUGAGUAUAUUUUAAGUAGAAAUAAUUGGAACCACCAUAUGAAGUCUUUGCAAUGAGAUAAUUGAAUUUUAGCGACAAGAGGUCAGGAUAGUCAAUUAGUGAAAUAGGGGAGACUUCAACUAAUAAACUGUAUUAAUUUGCUAAACCAAAAAUUCUGAAAAAUUUAUGGUGAAUAUACAUAUGAGUCUAGUUUGAGGGAAAAUUUACGGAUCUAAAUUUUUAGUUUCGUAUCUUGAGUUAUAAUUAUUUUAGUGACUACUGCGCAUGUGGACAGCUUUGUUGUGAAUGGUGAAAUUAAUUUUUAAAGUAAAUUUUUAUGCCCCGAACUUUUAAGUUCAGUCAAGUAACGCCUUAUGCUCGACUCCGGCAACCGUCUUGGGUAAGGGGUGUUAUAAAUAAUUAUUCUUAAAUUCAUACAUUCUUUGUAUAUUAUUUUGUACCUACAAUAGGUCCCUAGAUAUUAACAACAUGAGUGACGUUGCUACAGACUCAGAAUUUCCUUUUAAACAAGACAUGUGUUUAGAGGGAUCCCAUGGCUUUGAAGAUGACGUAGACUGUGGCUUAUCUCUGAAUUUGUUAAGGAUGGUAAAACAAGAGGAGAAGCAAAUCCUACCUCACAAGGAAUCAAUGGAAAUUGUGAGCUCAGAAGGGGGAAAAGAGGUGAAGAUUGAGACUAACAUUGCCACAAAGACAAAGCAUGACCUCGUUGAGUUACUCCAAGAAUUUAAAGAUGUCUUCGCAUGGUCAUACCAGGAUACUCCCGGGUUAAGUACUGGCAUUGUAGUACACUACCUUCUUAUAAAAGAAGAUUGCAAGCCAGUUUAGCAGAAACUCUGAAGGAUGAUGCCUGAUAUUGUGCUAAAAAUAAAAGAAGAAGUUAAAAAGCAAUUUGAUGUUGGGUUCUUACAAGUGGUUAAAUAUUCAGAAUGAGUAGCCAACAUCGUCUCAGUCUCUAAAAAAGAUGGGAAAGUACGAAUGUGCAUAGAUUACAGAGACAUGAACAAGGCCAGCCAAAAAGAAAAUUUCCCAUUGCCUCACAUUGACACUUUGGUGGAUAAUACAGUAGGCUACUCACUGUUUUCCUUCAUGGACGACUUCUCUGGAUACAACCAGAUAAAGAUGCAUCCCAAAAACAUGGGAAAGACUACAUUCGUGACCCUAUGGGGAAUGUUUUGCUAUAAAAUGAUGUCAUUCGGAUUAAAGAAUGUGGGAGCGACGUAUCAAAGGGAAUGGUAACCUUGUUUCAUGACAUGAUGUACAAGGAAAUCGAGGUUUAUGUUGGCGAUAUGAUUGCAAAAUCCAGAACAGAAGAGGAACAUGUGUAGGCCCUAAGAAAAUUAUUCUUAAGACUGAGAAAGUUCCAGCUCAAGCUUUCCAACGAAAUGCACAUUCAGAGCUAGGUUAGGAAAGCUGUUAGGCUUCACAGUUAGUGAAAAAGGAAUCGAGAUCAACCCAGAUAAAGUCAAGGCGAUACGAGAUUUACCUCUACCAUGCACUCAGAAGGAAGCUCGAGGUUUCCUAGGAAGACUGAAUUACAUUGCUCGAUACAUUUCACAACUAACCGAAAAAUGUGACACCAUAUUAAAAUAAAAAUAGAUUAAAUUGUAAGUAAAACAUAAUUUAAACAUAUGAAUACAUCAAAUUAAUAAUACUAAAUGAAUACAGUUAUUUAUGAUGAUGUUGUUGCCAAUUCCUAAUUUGGUGUCUAGUUAAUUUGUGACAUCAUAAAUUUAAGUGAUAAAUUUAAGGUUUUAUGUAUUGAUGUGGAUUCAAAUAUCACCAUAAUUUUUGUAAAUAAAAAACUAAUAAGAUAACUUAUAUUAAGUACGAAAGGGUAUUUUUAUAAUUUCUCUAAUCGAGUUGGUGCCCGGUUGACUCAUGACACUAACUCAAUCAGAAGCUUUAAUAAUAAUAUAGAUAUUCAUGUUAAAAAAACAAAAAAAAAGUACUUUAGUUCCAAAUAAUUAUAUAACAAGUAAAUUUAUAAUUGAUGAAUAAAUUUAUAAAUAAUAUAUUUAUAUGAUCUAAUAUAUUAUAUUUAUAUUAAUUAUAUAUCAUCUACAAACUUUGAAGAUCAAUUUAUUAAGUAAAAAUGAAAUUGUUAACACUAAAUCAAUUUUUAGAUUUUGUAUAGAUGAUUUAGUGAUGAUAAAAACAUUAUUAACACUAUUUUUUAAUUAACAAAAAAUUAGUGAUAUAUUUAAAUUAUAUUUAUCAUUUAUUAUUUUUAAUAAUAUUUUUUAAUUAUAUGAAGUAAAAUUAUAUUGUAUACUAAAUAUGGUACAUAUACUCUAAUUAUAACUUGAAAUUUUAUUAUAUAAAUUAAUAUAAAUUUGAAUAACAAAAUAAAAAAAAACUAAUUAGAAUAAUUUUAAAAAACAUUAUUUAAAAGUAGUUAAAAAUCACGUGCAACAGGUGAGAUCAAUGGUCUUUAGAGAAGAAAUGUUGAAGAUCAAAGUUGGAAUCUGGCCUAUAAGGCCUUUAAUUGCUUUAAUAUUAAGCAGUUCCAAACCAAGAAGAUUACCGAUUUCCUCAGGAAUUUGACCUGCACACAUGGUCGAAAAAUCAAUGUGUCAAACUACCUAUUUUGUUAGCAUAAGUCAAAGAGGUUUUCUUUUCUAUUCUACAUAAUUUGCAGAUGUUAGAUUUUAAUAUUUUUAAGCAUAUUUGUUUUCAUCAAAUUAACUAUUUUGAACUAUUUUGCCUUGAAUGAAAUAAAAUGCUCUUACUUUUGUUAUCUAUUACUAAUCAAACUCUUUUAUAAAAAAAAUACUUUAAACUAAAGAAACCAAGAAAAUUCAAUACCUUCUAGGUUAUUCAACCCCAAAUAUAAUUCUUUGAGUCGUGUCGGAUUUCCAAUACUUCUUGGAAUGAUCCCCAUCAAUUGAUUAUAGGAAAAUGACAAAAUUUUAAGGUUGUUGCAUUUGCUUAUACUUGACGGAAUGUUACCAUAUAAUUCAUUCCGACUCAAGUAAAGCCCUUCAAGCUUGGAAAGAUGUGACACAUAUCAUUAGGCAAGCUACCUGAUAGGCUAUUGUUGGAGAGAUCAAUGGCCUUCAGAGAAGAAAUGUUGAAGAUCGAAGUUGGAAUCUGACCUGUAAGGCCUUUAAUUGCUUUAAUAUUAAGCAGUUCCAAACCAAGAAGAUUACCGAUUUCCUCAAGAAUUUGACCUGCACACAUGGUCGAAAAAUCAAUGUGUCAAACUACCUAUUUUGUUAGCAUAAGUCAAAGAGGUUUUCUUUUCUGUUCUAUAGUAAUUUGGUGAUGUUAGAUUUUAAUAUAAUUCAGCACAUGUUUUUCAUCAAAUGAAAUAAAAAGUUUUUCCUUUUGUUAUCUAUUACAAAUCAAGCUCUUUUAUUAAAAAAAUACUUUAAAUUCAAGAAAUCAAGGAAAUUAAUUACCUUCUAAAUUAUUAAACCCCAAAUAUAAUUCCUGGAGUCGUGUUAGAUUUCCAAUACUUCUUGGAAUGAUCCCCAUAAAUUGAUUAUGGGGCAACAACAAAUUUUUAAGGAUGUUUCAUUUGCCUAUGCUUGACGGAAUGUUACCAGAUAACUCAUUGCUAUGCAAGUGAAGCCCUUCAAGCUCGGGAAGAUGUUGACACAUAUCAUUAGGCAAACUACCUAAUAGGCUAUUCCUGGAGAGAGCAAUAGUCUUGAGAGAAAAAUGUUGAAGAUCGAAGUCGGAAUCUGAUCUGUAAGGCCUUUAAUUGCUUGAAUAUUAAGCAUUUCCAAACUAAAAAGAUUACCGAUUUCUUCAGGAAUUUGACCUGCAGACAUAGUCGAAACAUCAAGGUGUUAAAUUUCCUAUUUUGUUAGUGUAAAUCAAAGAGGCUUUUUAUUUUUUUUCGUUAUGAAAUAAUAUGGAUAUGUUCGAUUCUAAUCAUAUUUAAGUAUAUAUUAGUUCUUGAAAGAAUGAGUUCUUAUUUUUGGUAUUUAUAUUGCAAAUAUAUAUUUUUUUAAAUUUAAAAGAAGGGAGGGGGCAAAUGUGUUUAAACUAAAGACAUCAAGGAAAAGGCAUACCAAGUAUAAUUGUUUAAGUUGUGUCAAAUUCCCAAUGCUUUUUGGAAUGAUCCCACUAAAUUGAUUAAUAGACAAUUCCAAAAUUUGAAGGUUGCAGCAUUUGUCUAUACUUGAUGGAAUAGAACUUGAUAAUUCAUUUCUACUCAAGUAAAGCUCUUUCAGCUUGGGAAGAUGGACACACAAAUCAUCGGGCAAGCCACCAGAAAGACUAUUAUCACAAAAAUGAAUCCUUUUCAAAGAAGAAAUGUUAAAGAUGGAAGAUGGAACCUGGCCAGAUAAUUGAUUGAAUCCCAAGUUCAAGAUCUCUAGAUUGGACAAGUUGACAAGUGUUUGAGGGAUCGUGCCUGUGAAGUUAUUAUUUCUCAUUUCCAACCUUUGAACUCUGUGCAAGUUCCCAAGCCAUGGUGGAAUUUCCCCAUUAAGACGGUUGUAGCUUAAUCGAAUGAUCCUCAAACGAUGCAAUUGGCCUAAUUCUUUAGCCAGAUGGCCGUAGAAAUUGUUGUUGCUCAAGUCGAUAGAAAAUAGAAAUGAAAGAUUUCCAAGGUGUGGAGGGAUAGUACCCCUAAGAUUCAUGUUUGUAAGAUUAAUCAAAGCUACAACUCUUUCAUGGAUGAUGCCACAAGAAACACCAACCCACUUACAGACAGAGGUAGAGUUCGUCCAAUUGUUUGCCAACACAUUUUGAGGAUCGACAAUGCGAUCUUUAAACUCAAAGAGUGCAAACUGAUCGGAGUUGAGAUUCCGGACUGUCAUAGCCAAGGAAACAAUAGAACAUUGUAUGAAUAAAAGUGAAAGAAGAUGAAAGCAAGUGUUGUAGUUCAUGAUGGCAAGACGAAAUAAGCCAGGAAAAGGGAAGUUGAAUUGAUGAAGAAAUAGCCAGCCAACAUGCUUAAAUAGGCUUCAACCCUUGCACACUUCUCAUACAUAAAGUUCGCUGCCAUUACAACAAGAAAACUCAUAUCUCCAUUCGUACCUAUCCAUACUUUAUUUGACUAACUUUUCCCUAACAAGUGUUCAGUAAGGAGAUAAAUCAGUUUGGAGCUAUUCACCGGCUUCUCCAAUCUUGGUUUCAAACUCCUAACCCAUCAAUUCACUUUAAUUGAAACGAUAUACACGAGUCUUUCGGCUUAUAUUUUUAAUUUAAUUUUUGUUACUUUUCAUAAUAUUUUUUGAGAAAUCCAAAUAUUCCAGUCUGAAAUUUCUUCAUUGCCACGUCUAUCUCCUGGGUAAGUCCGUGGUUAGGCAGCCCACUUUGGGAGCAGGAUUGUAAUUGUAAUUCUAUCCGACUCAUUUUACUAUUUAGAAAUAUAAAAGUAAUAUUAUAUUAUUUUUUAUAUUUUUAUAAAUUUAAUUUUAAUUAUAAUUUUUAAACAAUAAAACGAGUCAUUUGUAUUUGCCUAGUCUAAAUUGAAUCAGGAGUCAAAAAAAUUUUAAUCAUAAUUUACUAUUAUUUUAAUUAAUUAAAAUUUAACCUACUACAACUAGUAGUUGCAGAAAAAAUGUCAUUCCUUUAGAAAAACGAAAAUCCUUUAGAAAAAUGAGAACUUAUGAAGCAUUCAAUAAGAGUCAUUGGAAUAAAUGGUAACGAAAUCAUAAUUCAAUAUAAAGCUAAAAAAUGUACCAAUCUAUAUAAAUAAUGUAAGAUUUGUGAUACCUAAAUUAUUAUAUUUUCCAUAAAUAUAUGAAGAUAUUUUAUUAGGAAAUAAUUUUAUAUAUAAAAUUUUUUAUUUUCUUUUGAUAGAAAUUUAAUUAUGUUAUCUGUAGAAAAAAAUAUUUAUAGAAAUAUUAUUAGUAGAAAAUCAUAAAUUUGUGUGUGGCAAAAAAAAUUCACCACCAAGAAAGGGGCAAAUUAAACAACUUGAAACAAGUCAUUGGUUGUUUAAAAUAUUAGAUAAUAAUUUCAGUGAAGAAUCAUUAAAAUUAUGACAAAAUAACCCUAGAUAUUGUAGUAUUAAAUUGGAAAAUCUCAAUAAUAUUAUUAGAGUAAAACCUAUGAUCUAUCUAAACAAGAUAUAGAAGAUUUUGAUAUACAAAUUAAGGUUAGAAAUCAUGCGGAAAUAAAAAAGAAAAAAAAGCUAGUAUGGUCAUUAAUUAUAAAAGAUUAAAUCAAAAUAUUAUUUUUUUAUAGUUACUUGAAUUAAUCAGGCUAAACAAACAAAAUAUUUUAGUAAAUUUGACUGCAAAUCAGGAUUCUAGCAAAUCAUGAUAACAGAAAAGUCCAAACCUUUAACGGCUUUUAGUGCACCCAAUGGACAUUACCAAUGGAAAGUGAUGUCAUUUCAAUUAUGUGAUGCACCACAAAUCUUCCAAAGACGAAUGGAUUUUAUAUUUAAUAAAUAUAAAAAAAUUCUAUGUAGUCUACAUAGAUGAUAUUUUUUAUAUUUUUAGAUACACUAGAAUUACAUAAGAAACAUUUAAAUAUUAUUUCUUAAGAAUUCAUAAAAUAUAGAAUCAUAUUAAACCCUAAAAAUAUAGAGUUAGAAAAAAGAGAGAGAAUUUUUAUAAUAGUGGAAAUAAAAAAUUGUCCUCAAAAGAUUGAAGAAAAAAAGAACUUCCAACAAUUUCUAAUAUAUUCCUCCCAAAUUUUCAGUUUCAAUUUUAUUACAGAAUUUCUUUGCCGACAAUAAGAAAUUAAGAGCGCUCUUUAAGUUGAAUAUAGUCCGUCAGAUAUGGCUAUCUAUAACAUGGAACCUUUGGUUUUCAAGCUGAAUAGGAGAAUUGAUUCACUUGAUAAGUAUGAAAAAUUGAAACUGCUAAAUUUAAGUGCACUAACUCUGGAUAUCAUCAUUAUUUUUCUGUACAUUAAAGUACCUGUUUGAUAUGCGAUUUCUGCCUCAAACUAUCAACAUCUUUAACAUCCUUUUGCUAUAGUUAGCAUGGGUACUUCCUUUUAGAUUAACAGUUAGGUUUGAACUGUGAAUUAGAUUUCUGUGGCUGCUGGGAUUGAAGAAGUUAGUAUGCGAAUGACAUUGGACAAAUUUGGCAAAGUCUUCUCCAUCAGUGAAGAAAACCCCUUGGCGUAUGAAAAAUGUUCACCAUCUUAGACAUUUGUUUUCUUAUUGUAAGAAUAUUUUUAACAUUGUAACUUUUAACAUUAUUGUAAGAAUAUUUUGAAUUAUACUUCAGUUAUCAAUUUAUAUCAUAUAUCUUUUGUUGAAUUUGAAGUAUAAUUUAUAUUUGCUGUUUUUGGUUAGAUUUCAUGCUAUAGGAAGGGUUGUAUAUGGAUAGAAAUUGAAUGUUACAAAUCUGCCAAAGUUAGUGGCGUUUUUUCAUAAGAGCUGCUAAAGAAUGCUAUUUUUGGCGGUGUUUGUAAUAAAAGAGCCGCUAAAGGUCAUGUUCUUUAGCGAUGUUUGUGGGUAAAGCGCCGCUAAAGAUCAUGUUCUGUAGCGGUGUUUGUGGAUAAAGCGCCGCUAAAGAACAUGACCUUUAGCAGCGUAUUUUCACAUAAACGCCGCAAAAUUUAGCGGCUUUGUCUAUAGCGACUUUUUUUGCAGCGCUUUAAGUUUUAGCGGCGCUUUUAGGCCUAAAAAAGGGCCGCUAAAAGCCUGUUUUGCUGUAGUGAGCAUAUUUACAUUUUCGUCCCAAUUUCAACUAACACCCCAUCUAUUUCCCACUUCCCUUUUUCGGGCAAUUUCAACUAACACCUUCAUAUCAAACAUAACUAUUUUUCAAUUUUUCUUCUUUAUUUCAUUAAUAAAAUUAUCAAUCUAUUUGUUUUUAAAUAUAUAAUUUCAUUAAUAUUUUUUAAAUUAUAAUAUAAGAGUUGUUGUUUAUUUAUAGUUUUAUUACAUUAUUUACUCUCUCUUUUCUAUCAAGUUUUUUAAAUUAUAAUAUAAGAUUUAUUUUAUCAAUUUGUGGCUUAUCCAGUAUUCAUCUAUUUUAAUAAUAACUUGAGUUCCAGUCAUUAUCAUACCAGAAAGAGUUCCAUUUAUUCUUUAUCGUAAAUUUUAUAAAAAAAUAUACAUUUUAUUAUAAUACUAUAUGUGUUACGAAUAAUAUUUUAUUGUGGAUGCCCAUAAUUUUCAAAGUUGUAACCUCUAAUGUAGUAACCUUAAUGAAAUUAUGAGGCUUUUAUAUUGUAAUCAAGCCUCUAUUUAUUCUUUGUAACUUAAACAGAAGCAUAUUUUCUAUUAUAUUGAUAUUUUUUAUAGAUAUAUAUAUAUAUAUAAGGAAUCAAAUAAAAAGUUAUUUACCUUUCUAUUAUAUUGAUAUUUUCUAUUUGAUUUGUUCUUUUCUUUCACUAUUCCAUAAUAUAUUAUCAGUACGAUUUUAACCAAGAGUAACAUGUUAUUAGAUUGUGUCAAAAUUUUGUUGAGAAUCAUUAGAUUGUUUCCUUUUUCUUCUAUUUAGCCCCAAAUUGCACCCCUACACAAAAUUCAACAAAAACAUGGAAAAAUUAGUGGUGCACUCUCAUAAAUUAACCAAUUUAAUUACAUAAAAUAUGUAACUUUAGCAUUUUAUCAAUCAUGUUCUUUAGCGGCAUUUGUGGGUAAAGCGCCGCUAAAGGUCAUAUUCUUUAGCAGCGUUUGUGAUAAAAGUGCCACUAAAUAUCAUGUUCUUUAGCGGCGUUUGUGGAUAAAGCGCCGCUAAAGAACAUGACGUUUAGCAGCAUUUUUUUACAUAAACGUUGUAAAAUUUAGCGGCGUUGUCUAUAGCGACGUUUUUUGCGGUGCUUUCAAAUAGUUUUAGCGGCGCUUGUAGGCCUAAAAAAAUGCCGCUAAAAGUCUGUUUUGCUGUAUGAGCAUAUUUACAUUUUCGUCCCAAUUUCAACUAACACCCCAUCUAUUUCCCACUUCCCUUUUUCGGCCAAUUUCAACUAACACCUUCAUUUCAAACGUAAUUGUUUUUCGAUUUUUCCUCUUUAUUUCAUUAAUAAAAUUAUCAAUCUAUUUGUAUUUUAAAUAUAUAAUUUUAUUAAUAUUUUUUAAUUAUAAUAUAAGAGUUUUUGUUUAUUUAUAGUUUUAUUAUAUUAUUUACUCUCUUUUUUCUAUCAAGCUUUUUAAAUUAUAAUAUAAGAUUUAUUUUAUCAAAUGGUGGCUUAUCGAGUAUUCAUCUAUUUUAAUAAUAACUUGAGUUCCAAUCAUUAUCAUACCAGAAAGAGUUCCAUUUAUUCUUUAUCGUAAAUUUUAUAAAAAAAUAUAUAUUUUAUUAUAAUACUAUAUGUGUUAGGAAUAAUAUUUUAUUGUGGAUGCCCAUAAUUUUCAAAGUUGUAACCUCUAAUGUAGUAACCUCAAUGAAAUUAUGAGGCUUUUAUAUUGUAAUCAAGCCUCUAUUUAUUCUUUGUAACUUAAACAGAAGCAUAUUUUCUAUUAUAUUGAUAUUUUUUUAUAGAGAUAUAUACAUAAGGAAUCAAAUAAAAAGUUAUUUACCUUUCUAUUAUAUUGAUAUUUUCUAUUUGAUUUGUUCUUUUCUUUCACUAUUCCAUAAUAUAUUAUCAGUACGAUUUUAAUCAAGAGUAACAUUUUAUUAGAUUGUGUCAAAAUUUUGUUGGACUUCAAGUAUUGGAAUUUAAUUGUUUAAGUUAAGAAUCAUUAGAAUCAAUGGCUAUUUGAGAUAUGCUUGAGGAUGAUCUCAUUCUCUUCAUCACAAAGGUGGAGGUUAGAAAAUCUUUAUGUUUAAACAUUUAUAGCUUUAAAGUUAUUUUAACCUCUUAUUGUGACCUUAUAAUAUUUUGUAAUUUUUUGUAUUAUGGUAUAUAAAAAAAAUCUAACCAUAGUGAUUGAUUAGUAAUAUGAAUUUGUUAUUUGUUAUGUUUAAUAUAUAUUUUAUUUAUACUUAUUCAUUUUAUUUUUAUAUGAGUAAAUGAAGUGUUUGAAGAUUCGAAAUUUUUAUCAUCCAAGUUGAAAAUAAGUGCAAAAGUGUACAUUAUUUAAAAUAAAUUACGCAUUCAUUAAUGUUAUAUGAUAAAAUCAUUACAUGUUCUAAAGAACUAAUAUUGCAUCAAACUGUAAAAAGCUCUUGAAGAGUUAAUAUUUUACCUCCUUGUGAUACAAAAUCAUAUACAAUAUGAUAUUAUUUUUCAAAUCGAGUAGAUAUAUGUUGAGGGAAAUCUUUAUGUGGUUUACAUUAAAACCAUGGAUAGAAAUGACAUGAGAUACUCGUGUAUUUUUAUUAUAAAUAUUCCUUGAAGGAAGACACUUCACUUGUAUGAUUGACAUAUGAGAUAGUGGCAAGAAGUUCAUAGUGUUGGUAUGGUCGUCUAGAUCAUCUCAAAUCAAUAAUGAUGCAAAAUAAUUUGAAGAGAAUUUAUAUGAUUUUAUUGAAGAAUGAGAAGAUAUUUUCAUUUUGAUAAUUGUCAUCAAUACUAGUUCUUUGGAAAAAAAAUAUUGAACUAACAUAAAGUUAGAGGUUGGUUGCAUUUUUUGAUGAUAUCCAAAUAAUAUAUGAGCUCAUGUAUCACAUGUAUGCAACCCAAAGUUUACAGUAUUAUUUCUUGAAAUAAUUUGAUUCUACACAAUCUCUAUAGUAUGCAAUUUGUGCUAACAACGUUGGUGCAUUAUAUCCUAAGCUUGAUUUUCGUAGUUUUAGCUGAGAUAAUAUUAAGUUGUCUAUGCCUAUAUAUGUUAUACUUAAUGGUUAGCAAAAUUGUGCCUCCAUUUAAUUGCUUAACCAUUAAUAUAAGAAUAACUUUAAAAUAAGCAUGUAAUUUUAUUUGCAUAGAGUCAACAUGUAAGAAACAUUUGCCCCAUGAGAAUUGGCUUUCAUUUAUAAGCCAAUAGGUUUCAUAUGACUAUUUGGAUGUAAAAUAUCUAUUUUAUAUUCCACCAUAAUGCACUAAGAUGGUCCAUCAAGUAUGAAGUUGAGAAAAUUUAGAAUUUUUAUUUGAUGGUAAAAGUUGAAAAGAGAUAUAUACUUAUAAUUUUGAAAAAAAUAGUCAUGUUGCAAAUUUUUCUCAAUAUUAGGGGGAGACAAGUUGGACAAAUAAGGAUAAUUAUGUCAUCACUUUUUGUGAUCCCUCACUAAUAUUAUGUGCACAAAGUUUGAAGGAAAAAAGUAUUUGCUAGACAUGUUUAGUGAUGACACUUAGAGAUUGUAUAUACUAGAUGAUACAUAUACCAGCUAAAAUGUUCCAAAUAAUUAUGAGUCCUAGAAGGACAUAGUGAUAAAAAUAAUUUUUGGGCACGCUAGAAGGAUAAAAAACUAGUUCAUUCUAUAAAUCAAAAAAUUCUUGAAAGAAAAGAGUAAGAAAUGAAGCUGGCCACACAUUAAAGGAAACGAGUACUCAUGAAGAGACCUAAGGCAUAACUUUUAAUAAAACCCCAAAAGAGGUUCAAUACAUGGAAUUAUGAAUAUAAUAAGAUAUCUCGAUUAGUUAUAUCAUAACUAAAGAUGAUGGGGUUGAUAAAAGGAAAUUGUUGUUAACAACGAUAAUCUAAGUAGAACAUUUCAAUAUUAUGGUAAAAUGAGUAUUUUGAAUGAAAAUAUACUUGAAAGUAUUUAGAUGGGAACAACUCAUCAAAAUAAAUAGACGUUUCUAUUAUAACUUAUGAAAUGUGUCUCGGACAUGAAGUCCAAACAUUCGACAGGUGUAAAGCCAAGUGGAGUAUAUGUUAGCAUAAUAGUGAAAAAAUACAAAUCAUAAUAUAUAAAAUUGACUUGUAAGACAAACUUUCCCAAGACACUUGAUUUUGAUUAUGAAAAAUGAUUAAUUUGUGAUCUUAUCAAUUGAACAUACUUUGUAUAAUCAACAAAUUAUUAAUUAACCUCAUUUAACCAAUUUCCUUCAACACAUUUCAAAUCAAAUUAAUGUGUUGAGCACGCCCUUAACCCUUUUUCUUGAUUCAUUGCAUAGUCUAUUUCCAAGUACCAUAAUCAUCAACAUUUCAAUAUAUAAAGUCAUAACAUAAUGAAUCAUAGUUAGAAUUUUUUUUACCCUAUUAACCAAGUAUGGAACAAAAAUAAAAACCUAAUUUGUCAAGCUCAUUCAAUCAGCUUAUAUAUUAUAAGAAGAGCCUAAGUAUAAAUCCUAUACAUGAUUUCAAAUUCAACUAUUUAUAUUUGAGAUUCAAUUUAAAAUUCAUACUGAAAUUAUCAAAUUAACUCGUAAGCUACUCACGCUAAACAUUAAGGUACUCGAAUUCAAGUGGCUAGAUAUCAUAAACACUUUUAGCUUGUAAAACUAUUUCUAAGGGUCAGCCCAGAAUCAUGGUUGAACCCAAAAUCUGGUAACAAAAAUUUAAUUGAGCCAUCAGCCUAAAACAAAUAAGGCUUAAAAGGUUGGCACCCGAACAAUCAAAGAUAAACACCACCAUAUGCCACUCCCUGAAUCCGAUACAUACAAUAACACCCUUCACCACUUUUAUUCUUCUCCUUUUUUUUAACCUCAAUUUGGAUGGUCGCAUUUCUCUUUUUAGUGCUUUAUAGGGUUUGGGCUUUCAGAAUCCUCAGAGAUGCAAUUCAUGGAUCCCUCUAAGAAAUGCAAGCUUGAUGAAAAUGGUAUUAUUUCAACGGCAUCAGAACCUGACCCAAUCACCAAACUAACCCCACAAGAUGGCCGCAAGCUAAUCGAGCAAUUUAUCGUCGAUCAACUCCUUGACGUCCUCCAAGAUGCUGUUUGUUGUCACCUUGAUGUUCUUUCCGCCGUACACUCUAUUGCCGAUCAAGAUCCAUCUCAAAGGAAGCUUUUCAUCCGUGGUUGGGUUGGGAUACUACAACCCAACCCAACCCACAUUAGCAUACUACCAUGCGGUAACUUCUAGUGAUUUCUGUCUGUAACAUUAGACAGGUUAACAGUUAAAUCGUUCAACUGAAAGAUUUCUUUGAAGGAAGAGGUCAAUUGAUUUUUUUUGGAAUCAUUGUGUACUCAGUUGCAUUUAAGACGGGUAUCAUUCAUAAAGUAUAUAUCUACAUCAAGAAUGGUAGCCUCUUAUAUUAUAUUCAUGUAUUUAUUUUGCAUCUUUAAUUAUAAUAGGAUUUUUUUUGUUUAUUUAUAGUUUUAAUUAUAAUAUUUUUUAAAUAUGCCAAAGUAAAUUAUGUACCAAUUUUAAACUUCUCCUAGGUAAUUUAACGUAAGGGCAUUUAUGUUAUUUUACCACUUAUGAUAAAACUAACCUAAUUUUAGAUCUAAGUGUUUACCAACCUUCUUUUAGUCAAAUUAUGCAAGCCUAAAAUUUUUAGCUUAAUUUGAGUUUGUUUACUAUGUCUAAUUCAAGUUUUAUUAUUAAGAACUAAAUUGUAACUUAAACAAAUUAGAAUACCAAUUUAAAGAGACAAAAAUUCAAAGCCCCAAAACCCACACGGGCAUGUGGGUAAGUGACACAGGCGUGUGGAAACUGGAGCUAUCACACACGGGUGAGUGGGACUGAAAAAUAUGAAAUAAAUUAAUCCAUUUAAAUUUCCAACAACCAUGCUAUACUACCAAACCAAAUAAUGUUAGAAGCUUUGAAUAGGGGCGAAUCUUAAAAAAAAAUAGAAGAAUUAGAAUUAAAUUAUAAAAUUUUGAGAAGUUGUCAUGUAUUAAUUUAUUAUUUUUUAAAGGGUCUUAAUAGAUUUUUUUUCCCCAUUUUGGUUUGGCCAAUACCCCUGUCUGCCUCUUUCAAUUUGCUUCAACCCUUAGCCCAAUAUUCGAUUUGUUGUGGAAGUUUGACGCAUAAAAAUUCCUUUUUUAGAGGUUUAAAUUAUAAAUUUUUAUUAACAAAAUAUAAAAGAAAAAAACAUGUGUAGACAAGCCAAGAAACCUUUGGGAUCAUACAGGUGAUUUUGAGAUGUUCAUGGUUAUUUUGGUGGAGAGGGUAAAAAAGAAACAAAUGAUUCAUUAUAUAUGAUAUAAUUAUGAAAUUCAAGCCAUAUAUUGUAUGUUUCAUCCAUACAAAUUUCUUGUAGCAUUAAAUGACUCGUAGGCUUGCUGAAUUUCUUUGAAAGGCCCAAAGGCAAUUUAACAUUCACAAAAUAAUCUCUAAAUAGUGUAAAGACAAAUCAAAUCCACAGUAGCAUUAGAGUUGAUUAAGCUAAGCAUUGGCAAAUAUUACUUUGAUUUUGCAUGCAAUAUUGGCAAAACCCCCUCUUACAUUAGAAAAACAACAUAAUCCAUGAAACAUUGAUAGCCCAAUACAAAUUUCAUCGAGAAAAAAGUCUCUUUGUUUUGUAGAACAUGAUAGUAAAGAUGUGGAGUUUCGUUCUUCUUAUUGGCCUCCUUUAGUUUUCCUUGAUCAACAACCACUAGCCAAAAACACAAUUAGAUUAGAUUAUGAAUGAUACUUUCAACUAUGACAAUAUUAAAUACAAACCACUCUAAAUAACUCUAAAUAAAUGGAAAGCAGCAAAUUACCAGACGAGGCAAGCUAGCUCAAUUAAGACCAUUGUGUUAUACUUGUCUCUGAAUUGAAAAAUUUAGAAGGAAAUAAAGAGAAAGACUUAGAAAAUACUUGAAAACAGAAAAAAAAAUUAUGUCAUUUAAAAUAAAAAAUUUCUAUUCAAGCCAUUUAAAAUUUGUAAGAUUUUUAAAAUUUUAAAAUGAUAAAGGUAAAAUUGUACUUUGGCACCCCAAAAAUGAUAAAACUUUGAUUUAAUUAUUUAAAAAUUAUAAAAAUAUAGGCUAUUAAAAUGGUGAAAUUAUAUUUUUACUAUAGUAAAAAUUACAAUUUAAUUUCACCCCUAAAAGGAUUUUCUGGCUUCGCACCUAAUAAAAUCUUUGGCAAAAGACUAAAAUAAAAUUAUACCAUGAAUGGAAAAAGAAACUAAUAAAAUCCAAUCUAACAAAGAAAAUAACUUGAUGUCCAAAAGCUACCAUAAACCGUAAUUCAUGGGAAGGCUUGUUGCUUAUUUUAUUGGUUUCCAUUUUGAAAGAAGUUUGAAUUUUGAAGAGAGCCUACUACGUGAAAGCAAAAGAAAAAAAAAUAGUUUAUAUGAUUAAAAUUCCAGAAUAGAUUAAAAAUGUUGAAUUAAAGAUAAAAUUAAGUGUGAAUUAAUAACCACAAGUGUACUCUUUACUCACCAUCUCUGUUAAAAAUGUUGGAUGUUGUUUAGCAACCUUUGUUUGAUUUUCUUCAGCUCAACCACAACAUCUUUCAUAUCUUUUCUUUCUUCUGGUAACUCAGCUGAACAAUUCAAAGCCAACUCCAUGAUAGAUGAAAUACAAUUUGCUUUAACAACAAUGUACUCAUCCUCUCUUCUUAAUAAAUCAACAUCUGCAAUUUCUAUCGCUCCUUUAGGCAAUGAUCUUUCCAUCCAAUGCCUUAUACUCUCUUCUUCAACAAAAACCUUAUCAGUUGGCUUUUUCUUUGUGAAAGUUUCUAUAAGGACGAUCCCAUAACUAUAGACGUCAGAUUUUAUAGAAACAAUUCCUGCUGAUCCAAAUUCUGCAUUUCAAGUAUAAUUAGAACAUCAUUCAUCCUCAAUUAUUUCUAAAACGCUUAUUCAAAUAUCUAUCCACAUACACGUGAAACAAAAAUAUAAAAUACAAAUUAGGAAAAUAAUCAUACAAAAAUAAAAAAAAGAAUUCACCUGGUGCCAUAUACCCAAUAGUUGCAAGAGUCAUGGUUUGCUUCAUUACUUCACCUUCUCCCAACAAUUUGGCAACGCCAAAAUCUCCAACAUGUGCAACCAUGUCUUCAUCUAGUAAAAUAUUGCUUGGUUUUAUGUCACAAUGAAUUAUAGGUGUUGGAUGUCCAUUGUGGAGGUGUUCUAUAGCUACCGCAACAUCUAUCAUUAUGUCGACCCUUUGUAUGAUACCAAGGAAACAAUUUUCAGAAUGUAACCAUUUCUCAAGGUUUCCAUUAGACAUGUAAUCAAGCACCAAGGCUUUGAAGUCAACACUUGAGCAGUAAGUAAUGACCUUCACAAUAUUACGAUGAACUAUAUUAAGCAUAGCAUCACAUUCAAUGUCAAAACUCCUAAAUGCUCCCUCUGUUUGCAAAUUGAAAACUUUUAUUGCAACUUCCAUUCCAUCUGAAAGCCUCCCUUUAUAUACAUAUCCAAAACUCCCUGAACCAAGCGUAUUGCUUUCCUCAAAUCCAUUAGUUGCUCGUGAAAGUUCAGCAUGUGAAAUUCUUCUCAGUGUCUUCAAAGACAACAAAUCAUCUUUAACUGGUAGAGCUGUACUCCUUUGGCAUCUUCUAUACAUAAUAGUUAAGACUAUUAGUACUAGGACAAUACCAAUUGUUGGUAAACCAUACCUAAAAGCAUGCAAUAUAAUCAUUUGGGAGUUUUUGUGGAUGUCAUUUUUGCAAGGUGGGACUAGCAAUCUAGGUGGACCACAAAGUGCACAAUUAUUCAUGAAUGAUGUGCUAGAAAAGUUUGAAAAACAUCCUUUGCUGGGAAUUUCCCCUUCAAGUCUAUUGAAAGACACAUUAAAAUACUUUAGAUAUAAAAGCUUUUCCAAAGAUUUGGGAAUGACUCCAGAGAGAUUGUUAUUGCAUAAAUCCAAGAAUUCCAAACUAAUCAACCCUUCAAAUGAUUCAGGGAUAUGACCAUAUAGUAUGUUAUUUGAUAAAUCUAAUGAAACCAAAGUUAUAAGACCCCCAAAUGUGGAUAAGAUAUCGCUCGUGAGAAGAUUCCUUGAUAAAUUUAGUCUCAGUAGACUCCUAAAAUUUCCAACAUCAAUAGCAUGUGAAUUGUGAAGACGGUUUGAUGAUAAAUCUAUUUCUAAGAUAUCUUUAAGACUCCACAAAGUUGAGGGUAUUGUAGAACUCAAUUUGUUGGAACCUAACCAAAGAUAUCUCAAAGCAGAAAUAUUACCUAAACAAGAGGGUAUGGAUCCAUGCAGCUUAUUCAACCCUAAAUACAUCUCGUAUAGUCUCUCCAAACCACAAAGGCUUUCUGGGAUAGGCCCUCCUAAUUUAUUAGAGGAAAGACCUAGAAUUUGGAGAUUUCUCAUUCCUCCUAUUGAUGCUGGAAUCAAUCCACUUAAUUUAUUAUACCCAAGAUCUAAAAGCAAUAGGUUGGUUAAGUUACCUAUUUCCAUAGGAAUAAUGCCUUGAAGCUCACACUCUGUGGCAUGAAAGUAUUGAAGGGAUUUUGAAAGGUUCCCGAAAUAAGUAGGAAGAACGCCACUCAAUGGAUUUCCUGAAACAUCUAUUAUGCUCAAAUUCCUACAAUUCGUCAAAGAAGAAAGAAAGCUCCACUCAUGAUCAGUAGCAGAUCCUGUGAUCAAAUUAUUGUCAUAGAUUUGGAGCCAUACAAGUUGUCUUAAGCUGCCAAGCGUUUUAGGGAUUGGGCCAGAGAAUGAGUUAUCUCCCAAGUCUAGUUCCUUAAGCAUGGAAGCAUUGGAGAUAGAGUUGGGAAUGUUUCCGCUAAGUUUAUUUCCCCACAGUAAAAGAAUCUGAAGCUUUGGAGCAUUGGUAAUGGGUGGUAAAUUACCUGUAAAAUAGCAUCUUUUAGAAAACAUUCACAAAAUAUAUAAUACAUUAAAAUAAAAACUUUAAAUCAAUUAAGAAUAAAAUUUUGGCAUGGAAAAAUGUGAUGAAAUCAAUUAGAAAGUUGAGACAUAAUAAGAAGUUUUGAGUAGUAAUUAGUCCUUGUGAUUUGUAUAGACAAAACAUAUAAUACACUGAUAAUUUUUUUAAAAUAUUGUAAAACCUGAAAUAAAAUAAAAAAUAAAAGUUUGGCACGAGAAUGUGGCAUCUAAUCAUUCUUAAAAAUAAGACUAACAUUAAAUAAUAAUUAGUUAUGAUUUGAGAAACAAAAAUGUUAAAGAUGUAAACUGGUAUGAUUUUUAUCUAUUGGGUUAAUUAUUUAUUUUUAUUAAAUUAUAUAUAGUGUAAAAUUUAAAGAUUAUUAUUUGCUCAAAAUUUUUGUAUUUUAGGAUUUUAGGAUCGCAUUUAAUUCAAUUGUAUUUAAGACCUCAUGAAUUUAUUCUAUAAUUUGAGUCUUUUCAACCUUUUGGGAAAUAAUAAAACAUCGACAUUAAACUUGUUGUUGAUGCAUUCAAUUUGAUUUUUUGAGGGGUCAUUGGAGUUAUAUGUGAAUUUAGCAUUGAUUGACUUUUUUAGAAUUAAUCUUUUAUACCAAUUUAAUAACAUCGACAUGUUUUUGGGUAGGGUCGAGCAAAACCCAAUUAAAACCGAUGAAAUUGGUUUAGUUAACUCGGUCAAGUCCAUUAGAUGGAUAAAAUCAAUUUUAAAAUCAGUUAUUAUGGAUUAAGGUAAUUAAUUAUCGAGUAAUGAAAUACAUAAUCAAAUCAAUUGAUUUUGUUAGAAACUAAAAGAAAGUGGGAUAAGCUGAAAACUGAUUGCCCUUUUUUAGAAUUAAGGAAUCAGCCUUUUACAUGUUAGAUAAUAUGAACACCCCAUAUAUAAUAAGAAAAAUUAUGUACGAUUAUUUAUUAUCAUAAAUGGUUAGUUUAAAUUUAAAGUAAUCUAAUAUGUGUGUUGAACUUCAACUAUUACAUAAAGUAUAAGCUAAAUAUGUAUAAAUAUUCUAGAAACCAUUUCUAACUGAUGAUAGGCUAAUUUGAAAUUAAGAUUAAUAUAUAAAAACUAGAUAGUAGGGUUAUAGUCCUCAAACUACACCUAAUUUAAUAAAAUCUAUAGUUUUUAUAGCCUUAAACAUUUAUAGAUUUUGUUAAUUUGGUCCUUACUCUUUAAAAUUACAUAAAAAUUGCAAAAAUAUUUUAGAAAUACAAUUUUUUCGUAUUUUUAAUAACAUUUAUAGUUUUUUUUUUGGUUUGGUAACUUAUCAACUCGACUCUUAAUUGUAACCAACUUUUCUGAUUUUUUCGUACCCUUAACCUAAGUCCCGUUACAACUUUCUAAAGACCUCUUGAUUGGUGUAUCAUCUCGAUUUGUUCUUAUAGUGGUGGGGAUUUGGUUUUCAAGCAAGCCUAUGCUAAUCACAUUUUUCGUUCAACUAUUGAGCACACAGUACUUGAACCUUAAACACUUUGAGUGCUUUGAGUGAAUCUUAGUUAGGGUAUUGAUUAUUGUUGAGUUUGAAUUUUAGGUAAUUAUUGAGAUGGAGGAGAUGCCUAUUUUUUUGUGCUUUACAAAUUUCUGCUUAGAUUGCUUUUAUUCUUUAGUUUCAUGCUAGUUUCAAUUUCCAGUGCAUGAUUAUCUAUAGAUUAUUCAUAAGGCAUUGUCGGUGAAAACAAUAAAUUGAGGGAGAUUAACUUGAAAUAAAUUGAGGGAUAUUAACUUGAAUAAAGGUUGAGAAUUUUGCUUAAGGACAAACAAAUGCUUAAGUGUGGGGAUAUUUGAUAAGUGCUAAAAUUGAUAUGUUUUAACAUCAUUCUUAAUGUGUUUUUGGUUGAUUAUUCGAUGUUAAUGAUGCUCCUAAUCCUUACAAUUCGUGUUUUUAUGCUUAAUAGAACAUUUGGGAGGAAAAUGAGCUAAAAAUGAACGAAAACCUGAAAAUGGGGGCAAACUAUAGGACAUGGGCUGACCUAUUCCUCAUGACCGUAUGACUCACACGAUCAUGUGGUAGGUUGUGUCGAUUUCGUAGAUUUGCACUCUGAACUGUAAAAAAAGAAAAUUUUAGAUUUUUUGAGCAUUUUAAUACGUAUAUAUGAAAAAAAUAAGAAGAUAGGAGAGAACCUUCCUAGAAUAUUUAAGAAAACAACUCCAAAGACACUAUUGAAGUCGACUCUGAAGCAAAUUUUCCUCAAGAUUGAAGAUUCCCAGUUGGUUUCUUAAGAGAUUAUCAUGAGUUUCUUUAUUUCUUCUGGUUAUACUGCCCUUUGGAUGUUUUUAUUUUUAAGCAUGAACUAAUUUUCUAAAUACCGAAUUAGAGAGAUGAACCCUAUGAUAGAUUGUGACACCCCAAACCCAACCGGAUAGACCCGCCCGAAUUCAAAGCAUUUCAUUAGCCACCUAAGUGACUCUCCAGCUAACGACCACCCAAGACACACCUCGACCUUAUAACACCUCAAUCUUAUCUAAUUACUAGUUAUUUAUUAAUGUAGAAGUAAAUUAAUAUGAGCCAAUUUUAAACUUUUUCUAGGUAAUUUAACCUAAAGGCAAUUUUGUCAUUUUACCACCUAAUGUAAAACUAACCCGAUUUUAGAUCUAAGUGUUUACUAACCUUCUUUUAGUCAAAUUAUACAAGCCUAAAAUUUUCAGCUUAAUUUGAGUCCGUUUACUAUGUCUAAUUCAAGUUUUAUUAAUAAGGACUCAAUUGUAACUUAAACAAAUUAAAAUACCAAUUUAAAGAGACAAAAAUUCAAAACUCCAAAACCCACACGGGCAUGUGGGUAAGUGACAAGGGCUUGUGGGAUUGAAAAAUAUGAAAUAAAUUAAUCCACUCAAUUUUCCAACAACCAUGCUAUACUACCAAACCAAAAAAACACUUGAAGUUUUGAAUAGGGGCGAAUCUAAAAAAAAUUAGAAGAAUUAGAAUUAAAUUAUAAAAUUUUGAGAAGUUAAAAUAUAAUUUUAUCAUGUAUUAAUUUAUUGUUUUUUAAAGGGUCCUAAUAUAAUUUUUUUCCCAUUUUGGUUGGGCCAAUACCCCUGCCUGCCUCUUUAAAUUUGCUCCAACACUAAACCCAAUAUUCGAUUUGGAUUAACAACAACAUAUAGGUUAGUAUUUGUGGGAGUUUGACGAAUAAAAAUUCCUUUUUUAGAUGUUUAAAUUAUAAAUUUUUGAAAGAUUAAAAUAAAUUUGUAUUUUUUUAUUAACAAAAUAUAAAAGAAAAAAAAAUAUGUUUAGACAAGCCAAGAGAACUUUGGGAUCAUACAGGUGAUUUUGAGAUGUUAAUGGUUAUUUUGGUGGACAGCGUAAAAAAGAAACAAAUGAUUCAUUAUAUAUAAUAUAAUUAUGAAUUUCAAGCCAUAUAUUGUAUGUUUCAUCCAUAAAAAUUUCAUGGGAGGUCCAAAGGUAAUUAAAUGACUUGUAGGCUUGCUGAAUUUCUUUGAAAGGCCCAAAGGCAAUUUAACAUUCACAAAAUAAUCUCUAAAUACUGUAAAGACAAAUCAAAUCCACAGUAGCAUUAGAGUUGAUUAAGCUAAGCAUUGGCAAAUAUUACUUUGAUUUUGCAUGCAAAAUUGGCAAAACCCCCUCUUACAUUAGAAAAACAACAUAAUCCAUGAAACAUUGAUGGCUCAAUACAAAUUUCAUCGAGAAAAAAGUCUCUUUGUUUUGGAGAACAUGAUAGUAAAGAUGUGGAGUUUCGUUCUUCUAAUUGGCCUCCUUUAGUUUUCCUUGAUCAACAACAAUUAGCCAAAAACACAGUUAGAUUAGAUUAUGAAUGAUACUUUCAACUAUGACAAUAUUAAAUACAAAACACUCUAAAUAAAUGGAAAGUAGCAAAUUAAGACCAUUGUGUUAUACUUGUCUCUGAAUUGAAAGAUUUAGAAGAAAAUAAAGAGAAAGAGUUAGAAAAUACUUGAAAACAGAUAAAACUUAUAUGUCAUUUAAAAUAAAAAAAAUUUCUAUUUAAGCCAUUUAAAAUUUUUAAGAUUUUUUAAAUUUUAAAAUGAUAAAGGUAAAACUAUAUUUUGGUACCCAAAAAUGAUAAAACUUUGAUUUAAUUCUUUAGAAAUUAUAAAAAUAUAGGCUAUUAAAAUGGUGAAAUUAUAUUUUUACUAUAUUAAAAAUUACAAUUUAAUUUCACUUGCUAAAAGGAUUUACUGGCUUCGCCCCUAAUAAAAUCUUUGGCAAAAGAUUAAAAUAAAAUUAUACCGUGAAUGGAAAAAGAAACUUAAGAAAACCCAAUCUCACAAAGAAAAUAACUUGUCCAAAAGCUACCAUAAACCGUAAUUCAUGCGAAGGCUUGUUGCUCAUUUUAUUGGUUUCCAUUUUGAUUUUGCAAAAGAAGUUUGAAUUUUGAAGAGAGCAAAAGAAAAAAAUAGUUUAUUAAUUUUUUACGAAUACCGACAUAUUAUAUACAUGAUUAAAAUUCCAGAAUAGAUUAAAAAUGUUGAAUUAAAGAUAAAAUUAAGUAUGAAUUAAGAACCACAAGUGUACUCAUUACUCACCAUCUCUGUUAAAAAUGUUGUUUAGCAACCUGUGUUUGAUUUUCUUCAGCUCAACCACAACAUCUUUCAUAUCUUUUCUUUCUUCUGGUAACUCAGCUGAACAAUUCAAAGCCAAUUCCAUGAUAGAUGAAAUACAAUUUGCUUUAACAACAAUGUACUCAUCCUCUCUUCUUAGUAAAUCAACAUCUGCAAUUUCUAUUGCUCCUUUAGGCAAUGAACUUUCCAUCCAAUGCCUUACAGUCUCUUCUUCAACAAAAACAUUAUCAGUUGGCUUUUUCUUUGUGAAAGUUUCUAUAAGGACGAUCCCAUAACUAUAGACGUCAGAUUUUAUAGAAACAAUUCCUGCUGAUCCAAAUUCUGCAUUUCAAGUAUCAUUAGAACAUCAUUCACCCUCAAUUAUUUCUAAAAUGCUUAUUCAAAUAUAUAUCCGCAUACACAAGAAACAAAAAUAUAAAAUGCAAAUUAGGAAAAUAAUCGUACAAAAACAAAAAAGAAUUCACCUGGUGCCAUAUACCCGAUAGUUGCAAGAGUCAUGGUUUGCUUCAUUACUUCACCUUCUCCCAACAAUUUGGCAACGCCAAAAUCUCCAACAUGUGCAACCAUGUCUUCAUCUAGUAAAAUAUUGCUUGGUUUUAUGUCACAAUGAAUUAUAGGUGUUGGAUGUCCAUUGUGGAGGUGUUCUAUAGCUACCGCAACAUCUAUCAUUAUGUCGACCCUUUGUAUGAUAUCAAGGAAACAAUUUUCAGAAUGUAACCAUUUCUCAAGGUUUCCAUUAGACAUGUAAUCAAGCACCAAGGCUUUGAAGUCAACACUUGAGCAGCAAGUAAUGACCUUCACAAUAUUACGAUGAACUAUAUUAAGCAUAACAUCACAUUCAAUGUCAAAACUCCUAAAUGCUCCCUCUGUUUGCAAAUUGAAAACUUUUAUUGCAACUUCCAUUCCAUCUGAAAGCCUCCCUUUAUAUACAUAUCCAAAACUCCCUGAACCAAGCAUAUUGCUUUCCUCAAAUCCAUUAGUUGCUCGUGAAAGUUCAGCAUGUGAAAUUCUUCUCGGUGUCUUCAAAGACAACAAAUCAUCUUUAACUGGUAGAGCUGUACUCCUUUGGCAUCUUCUAUACAUAAUAGUUAAGACUAUUAGUACUAGGACAAUACCAAUUGUUGGUAAACCAUACCUAAAAGCAUGUAAUAUAAUCAUUUGGGAGUUUUUGUGGAUGUCAUUUUUGCAAGGUGGGACUAGCAAUCUAGGUGGACCACAAAAUGCACAAUUAUUCAUGAAUGAUGUGCUAGAAAAGUUUGAAAAACAUCUUUUGCUGGGAAUUUCCCCUUCAAGUCUAUUGAAAGACACAUUAAAAUACUUUAGAUAUAAAAGCUUUUCCAAAGAUUUGGGAAUGACUCCAGAGAGAUUGUUAUUGCAUAAAUCCAAGAAUUCCAAACUAAUCAACCCAUCAAAUGAUUCAGGGAUAUGACCAUGUAGUAUAUUAUUUGAUAAAUCUAAUGAAACCAAAGUUUGAAGACCCCCAAAUGUGGAUAAGAUAUCGCCCAUGAGAAGAUUCCUUGAUAAAUUUAGUCUCAGUAGACUCCUAAAGUUUCCAACAUCAAUAGCAUGUGAAUUGUGAAGAUGGUUUGAUGAUAAAUCUAUUUCUAAGAUAUCUUUAAGAUUCCACAAAGUUGAGGGUAUUGUAGAACUCAAUUUGUUGGAAUCUAACCAAAGAUAUCUCAAAGCAGAAAUAUUACCCAAACAAGAGGGUAUGGGUCCAUGCAGCUUAUUCAACCCUAAAUACAUCUUGUAUAGUCUCUCCAAACCACAGAGGCUUUCUGGGAUAGGCCCUUCUAAUUUAUUAGAGGAAAGAUCUAGACCUUGCAGAUUCCGCAGUCCUCCUAUUGAUGCUGGAAUGAAUCCACUUAAUUUAUUAUGGUCAAGUUCUAAAACCAAUAAGUUGGUUAAGUUACCUAUUUCCAUAGGAAUAAUGCCUUGAAGCUCACAAUUAUAGGCAUGAAAGGAUUGAAGGGAUUUUGAAAGGUUCCCAAUAUAAGUAGGAAGAACGCCACUCAAUGGAUUUCCUGAAACACCUAUUUUUCUCAAAUUCCUACAAUUCGUCAAAGAAGAAAGAAAGCUCCACUCAUGAUCAGUAGCAGAUCCUGUGAUCAAAUUAUUGUCAGUGAUUUUGAGCACUUCAAGGUGUUUUAAGCUGCCAAGCAUUUUAGGGAUUGGGCCAGAGAAUGAGUUAUCUUCCAAGUCUAGUUUCUUAAGCAUGGAAGCAUUGGAGAUAGAGUAAGGAAUGUUUCCGCUAAGUUUAUUUCCCCACAGUAAAAGAAUCUGAAGCUUUGGAGCAUUGGUAAUGGGUGGUAAAUUACCUGUAAAAUAGCAUCUUUUAGAAAACAUAUUCAUUGAAUACCAAAUUCACAAAAUAUAUAAUACAUUAAAAUUAAAACUUUAAAACUUUAAAUCAAUUAAGAAUAAAAUUUUGGCAUGGAAAAUUGUGAUGAAAUCAAUUAGAAAGUUGAGACAUAAUAAGAAGUUUUGAGUAGUAAUUACUCAUGAUUUCCAUAGACAAAACAUAUAAUACACUGAUAAUUUUUUUAAAAAUAUUGUAAAACCUGAAAUAAAAUAAAAAAUAAAAGUUUGGCAUGAGAAUGUGGCAUCUAAUCAUUCUUAAAAAUAAGACUAACAUUGAAUAAUAAUUAGUUAUGAUUUGAGAAACAAAAAUGUUAAAGAUGUAAACUGGUAUGAUUUUUAUCUAUUGGGUUAAUUAUUUAUUUUUAUUAAAUUAUAUAUAGUGUAAAAUUUAAAGAUUAUUAUUUGCUCAAAAUUUUUGUAUUUUUCGUAUAUUUGAAAUUUAAUCUUUAUAUUUUUUAUUUUCUGUGAUUUAGUCUCUCUACUUUUUGAAUUGAAAAUUUUAAGUUUAUUUAUUAACACUGUUAAAAAGUUUUUGUGUUAGUAUGGCAUUUUGAAAAAUAAAAUAAACUUGAUAUCUAUGUUUUUAAUUAUUCCAAAUACUGUUUUACUAUUCCAAGAUAAAUUAUUUGUGUCUAGACCAAUAUCUUAAGAACUAUUGUUGCAUGUUUAAUUAUUCUAAAGAAUUGUUGAUUGAGUCUUAGUUGAAGUGCACUAUUCUCCUAUUUAUGAAUUGGGGAGUUGAUAAAGUACUAAAUUUUGAUAUAUUUUAAAAAAUUAAAAAUUUAUUAAAAUAUUUUUAUAAAAAUUAAUUGUACCAAAAUAUACAAUUUUAAUAUCAAAUUUUUAAUUUUUUUAAAAAUAUUAGCGAAUAUAUACUUUAUUUCAAGUUACACAAUUUUUACUAGUUUUUAACUUUUUUUUUAAAUUUUUAUCGUCUUUUAUAAUUUCAUAUAUUUUUUUAUAAUUUUUUACAAUAUUUACAAUUUCUAACAAUUUUUAAUAAUUUUAUUAUUUAUUAUAAAUUUAAAAAUUAACAAAUUUUUAUUUUUUUAAAACAAUUAUAUAUUUAUAAUGUAGUUAUUUUUUUAUAAUUUUUUUUGAAAUUUAAAGAUUUUUUUGGUUUUUUCUAGAUGAUGAUGCCAUCAUGAUGUCAUCAUAUGCCACAUGGCAAUUUAUAAUUAGUUGACUAUCUCAAUCUAUUUUUUUAACGUCCAAUGGACUAAAACAAGAACACCUGAUAAUGUUAGAGACUACACUAGGAAUGUUUGAUAAUAUUAGGUACUAAAGUGGGCAAAAAAAAUUAAGGACUAUAUUAAAAAUAUAUCUAUAAUAUAUAUAAAUGCAUGGAUUUUGAGAAACUUUUGAAAUGACAAAUAUAUAGUCUUUGUUUUUUUUUACUAUAUUAUUGAAUUUUUUAUUUUAAAUAUUUUUUUAUUACUUUUAAGAUUUAUCAUAUGUAUGGAUAAAAAUUUUGGUUUUACUAAAAUAUUUGGUUAAAUAAAUUCACUUUAUAAAAAAAUUUAGCAUCCUUAUAAAUAACAAUUUUGAUUCCAUUAAAAAAAUUAUUUAAAAAUAUAUAAUAAAAAUUUAAAAUUUAUAUUGAAUCACUUUAUACUUAAAUUAUUAUUAGAAACUUUAUCAUACACAUAUGUGUAUGAGAACCACGUUUUCAGAACUUAAAUUUGUGUUCUAAAAUAACUUAUGAUAAAUAAUUAAAUGUAUAAUUUGAAAUUAUAUUGAAAUAAAAAUAGAUUAAAUUGUAAGUAAAACAUAUAUAAUUUAAACAUAUGAAUACAUCAAAUUAAAAAUACUAAAUGAAUACAUUUAUUUAUGAUGAUGUUGUUGUCAAUUCAUAAGUUGGUGUCGAGUUAAUUUGUGACAUCAUAAUUUUAAGUGAUAAAUUUAAGGUUUUAUGUAUUGAUGUCGAUUCAAAUAUCACCAUAAUUUUUUUAAAUAAAAAACUAAAGCACCCUCAAAUAAUAUAACUUAUAUUAAAUAUGAAAGGGUAUUUUUGUAAUUUCUCUAACGAGUUGGUGCCCGGUUGACUCAUGACACCAACUCAAUCAAAAGCUUCAAUAAUAAUAUAGAUAUUCACGUUUAAAAAAAGUACUUUAGUUCGAAAUAAUUAUGUAACAAGUAAUUUUAUAAUUGAUGAAUAAUUUUAUAAAAAUAUAUUUAUAUGAUCUAAUAUAUUAUAUUUAUAUUAAUUAUAUAUCAUCUACAAACUUUGAAGAUCAAUUUAUUAAGUAUCAGGAAAAGAAAAAAUGAAAUUGAAUUAACACUAAAUCAAUUUUUAGAUUUUGUACAGAUGAUUUAAUGAUGAUAAAAACAUUAUUAGCACUAUUUUUGAAUUAACAAAAAAUUAGUGAUAUAUUUUAAUUAUAUUUUUUAUUUUUUAUUUUUAAUAAUAUUUUUUUAAUUAUAUGAAGUAAAAUUAUAUUGUAUACUAAAUAUGGUACAUAUACUUUAAUUAAAACUUGAAAAAGUAUUAUAUAAAUUAAUAUAUUUUAAUUAUAUUCAACCAUUUGAAUAACAAAAUUAAAAAAAAACUAAUUAGAAUUAUUUACUUUUUAAAGUUUAAUGGAAAAUAAAAAAUAAAAAAUAAAUCAAUUCAUAUAAAUCUUAUUGUUUAUUAUCAGAUUAAAAUGAUAAAAGUAUAUGACAUACAUAGAAGAAACAAAUUCAACACCAUGUUUUUGGAGUUUGGAAAAAAUUAAAGUGAAAAACCUACCUUCUAAACUGUUGUUAAAUAGAUCUAUUUCUUCGAGCGUAGUUGAAUUAAAAAUACUUGAUGGAAUCUGACCUGCACACAUAGUCGAAAAUUGAAGUGAAAUCAAACUCUUUUGUGAAAAAAAUAUUACCAGAUAAUUCAUUCCAACCCAGGUAAAGCCCUUCAAGCUUGGGAAGAUGUUGACACAUAUCAUUAGGCAAACUACCUGAUAGGCUAUUGUUGGAGAGAUUAAUGGUCUUCAAAGAAGAAAUGUUGAAGAUCGAAGUUGGAAUCUGACCUAUAAGGCCUUUAAUUGCUCUAAUACUAAGCCUUUCCAAACUAAGAAGAUUACCAAUUUCCUUAGGAAUUAGACCUGCAGACAGUCGAAAAUUCAAUGUUUUUCAGCAUAUGUUUUUCAUCAAAUGAAAUAAAAAGUUCUUCCUUUUGUUAUCUAUUACAAAUCAAACUCUUUUAUAAAAAAAAUACUUUAAAUUCAAGAAAUCAAGGAAAUUGAUUACCUUCUAGAUUAUUAAACCCCAAAUAUAAUUCUUGGAGUCGUGUUAGAUUUCCAAUACUUCUUGGAAUGAUCCCCAUAAAUUGAUUAUAGGACAACGACAAAAUAUUAAGGUUGUUGCAUUUGCCCAUGCCAAAUGGAAUGUUACUAGAAAACUCAUUGCUAUCCAAGUAAAGCCCUUCAAGCUUGGGAAGAUGUUGACACAUAUCAUUAGGCAAACUACCUGAUAGGUUAUUGUUGGAGAGAUCAAUGGUCUUCAAAGAAGAAAUGUUGAAGAUCGAAGUUGGAAUCUGACCUGUAAAGCCUUUAAUUGCUUUAAUAUUAAGCAUUUCCAAACUAAGAAGUUUAAAUCAAUUAAGAAUAAAAUUUUGGCAUGGAAAAAUGUGAUGAAAUCAAUUAAAAAGUUGAGACAUAAUAAGAAGUUUUGAGUCGUAAUUAGUCCUUCUGAUUUGUAUAGACAAAACAUAUAAUACACUAAUAAUAAUUAGUUUGGCAUGAGAAUGUGGCAUCUAAUCAAUCUUAAAAAUGAGAUGACACUGAAUAAUAAUUAGUUAUGAUUUGGGAAACAAAAAUGUUAAAGCCAUUGCUUUUAAUGUAAACUAGUAUGAUUUUUAUCUAUUGGGUUAAUUAUUUAUUUUUAUGAAAUUAUAGUGUAAAAUUUAAAGAUUAUUUUUAUCUAUUACAAAUCAAACUCUUUUAUGAAAAAAAUAUUUUAAAUUAAAGAAACAAAGAAAAUUCAAUAUCUUCUAAGUUAUUCCACUCCAAAUAUAAUCUUCAGUGAAGAAAUCUUGAAGAUGGAAGAUGGAACCUUACCAGAUAAUUGAUUGAAUCCCAAGCUCAAGGACUCUAGAUUAGACAUGUUAACAAGUGUUUCAGGGAUUGUGCCUAUAAAGUUAUUAUUUUUCAUUUUCAGCCUUCGAACUCCCUGUAAGUUCCCAAGCCAUGAUGGAAUUUCCCCAUUAAGACUGUUGUAUUUUAAUCGAAGGAUCCUCAAACGAUGCAAUUGGCCCAAUUCUUUAGGGAGAUGGCCAUAGAAAUGGUUUCUACUCAAGUCGAGAGAGAGUAGAAAUGAAAGAUUUCCAAGGUGUGGAGGGAUACUACCCCUAAGAUUCAUGCUUUUAAGUUUGGAAACAAAUUCAACACAAUGUUUUUGGAGUUUGGAAAAAAUUAAAGUGAAAAACAUACCUUCUAAUUUGUUGUCAGAUAGUCCUAUUAUUUCGAGCAUAGUUGAAUUAAAAAUACUUGAUGGAAUCUGACCUGCACAUAUAGUUGAAAAUUGAAGUGAAAAACAUACCUUCUAAACUGUUCAACUAAAAAAACUUUAAGCAUAUUUGUUUUUCCAUCAAAUUAACUAUUUUGCCUUGAAUGAAAUAAAAUGCUCUUACUUUUGUUAUUUAUUACUAAUCAAACUCUUUUCUAAAAAAAAACUUUAAAUUAAGAAACUAAGAAAAUUCGGUACCUUCUAGGUUAUUAAACCCUAAAUAUAACUUCUGGAGUCGUGUUAGAUUUCCAAUACUUCUUGGAAUGAUACCCAUAAAUUGAUUAUAGGACAACGACAAAUUUUUAAGGUUGUUGCAUUUGCCCAUGCCAAAUGGAAUGUUACCAGAUAAUUCAUUCCAACUCAGGUAAAGCCCUUCAAGCUUGGGAAGAUGUUGACACAUAUCAUUAGGCAAACUACCUAGGUUAUUGUUGGAGAGAUCAAUGGUCUUCAAAGAAGAAAUGUUGAAGAUCGAAGUUGGAAUCUGACCUGUAAGGCCUUUAAUUGCUUUAAUAUUAAGCAAUACCAAAUCAAGAAUAUUACCGAUUUCCAAACCAAGAAUUUAUAGAAGAAACAAAUUUAACACAAUGUUUUUUGAGUUUGGAAAAUGUUAAAGUGAAAAACAUACCUUCUAAUUUGUUGUCAGAUAGUCCUAUUAUUUCGAGCAUAGUUGAAUUAAAAAUACUUGAUGGAAUCUGACCUGCACAUAUAGUUGAAAAUUGAAGUGAAAAACAUACCUUCUAAACUGUUCAACUAAAAAAACUUUAAGCAUAUUUGUUUUUCCAUCAAAUUAACUAUUUUGCCUUGAAUGAAAUAAAAUGCUCUUACUUUUGUUAUUUAUUACUAAUCAAACUCUUUUCUAAAAAAAAACUUUAAAUUAAGAAACUAAGAAAAUUCGGUACCUUCUAGGUUAUUCAACCCCAAAUAUAAUUCUUUGAGUUGUGUCAGAUUUCCAAUACUUUUUGGAAUGAUCCCCAUCAAUUGAUUAUAGGACAAUGACAAAAUUUUAAGGUUGCUGCAUUUGCCCAUGCCAAAUGGAAUGUUACCAGAUAAUUCAUUCCGACUCAAGUAAAGCCCUUCAAGCUUGGGAAGAUGUUGACACAUAUCAUUAGGCAAACUACCUGGUAGGCUAUUGCUGGAGAGUUUAAUAAUCUUCAGAGAAGAAAUAUUGAAGAUGGAAGAUGGAACCUGACCAAAUAAUUGAUUGAAUCCCAAGUUCAAGAUCUCUAGAUUAGACAUGUUAACAAGUGUUUCAGGGAUUGUGCCUGUAAAGUUAUUAUUCUUCAUUUCCAGCCUUCGAACUCUCUGUAAGUUCCCAAGCCAUGAUGGAAUUUCCCCAUUCAGACGGUUGUAGCUUAAUUGAAGGAUCCUCAAACGAUGCAAUUGGCCAAAUUCUUUAGGGAGAUGGCCAUAGAAAUGGUUGCUACUCAAGUCGAGAGAGAGUAGAAAUGAAAGAUUUCCAAGGUGUGGAGGGAUAGUACCCCUAAGAUUCAUGCUUGUAAGAUUCAAAGCUAUAACUCUUUUAUGGAGGAUGCCACAAGAAACACCAAUCCAAUUGCAAACAGAGGUUGAGGCCGUCCAAUUGUUUGCCAAGACAUUUUGAGGACCGGCAAUGCGAUCCUUAAACUCGAGAAGUGCAAACUGAUCGGAGUUGAGAUUCCUGACUGUCAUACCCCAGCAAAGUCCGGAACAUGGUAUGAAUAAAGCUAAAAGAAGAUGAAAGCAAGUGUUGUAGUUCAUGAUAGCAAGACGGAAUAAGCCAAGAAAAUAAAAAAAAGUAGGACAAGGGAAGUUGAGUUGAUAAAAUAGUUUGGAUGAUGAAGAAAAGCCCAGAGAGCAUGCUUUAAUAUGUUUUGAAGAAAUUUCAAAAUAAAUUUCAAAAUAAAUUUCAAAAUAAAAAUUUAAAAAGGAAAGCAAAGUUUUGAAGAAAUUUCAAAAUAAAUUUCAAGUCUUCUUCUUUAAAAAAUACGUACAAAGAGCGAAUUUUCAAAAUUUUUCCUAAAUUUUCUUCACAUUACUCCACAUAAUCCAUUAAAAAAACUUAAAAAAUAUAUUUUAUUAAUUACUAUACAUUCUUUUAUUUUCAGAAUAAUAAAUUGUUUAAAAUUUGCUAUUAGUCCCUAUAAUUUAAAAGUUAAAAAAAAUUCAAUCCUCCUACUUUUCUAAUUUAAAAAUUUUAGUUCAAUCAAUUUUAAUUUUAAAAUCUCUGUAUAAAAGGUGUUUUUUUUGUGACCGAUCACACUUAACCAAUAUUUAAAAAUUAAUAAAAAAUAUUUUUUUUUGAAAUUUAAAGUGAUCUAAAAACAUAUUUUUAAGUGCUUUGGACCGUCUAUUGUUGAUUUCCUUAUUAUAUUAAGUGUUUGCAAUCACUCCUAAUAUAUUGUGCUUGAGUUGUGACAAAGCCGAUCAUCAAAUUGCCAUAAUGAUCUAUUGAUGCUGAAAUUGAAGUUUUUGUUAUAUUGAUAGAGCUUGUCCUUCAACGCGUACAACGUGUUUGUUAUUUUUCUCCCUUCAAAUUGUAUGAUCUUAUUCAUUAAAUGAAUUAAUGAAUUUCCCUUUUAAAAAGAUAUAUUUUUAAAAAUUAAAUACUUUAUAAAAUAUUUAAAAAUUUGUAAGCCUUAAAACAAUCAACAAAAUAUUUUUGAAAUUUUAUAAAUAUAUUUUAAAACUAUAGUAACGCUACAAAAUAUAUAUAUUUACUAAUUAUAUGCACCUUUUUUAUUUUUAUUUCCUAACAUAUCAUUAUUUUCAACACUAUCGUAAUCCUGUUUUGAUAAUUCCCUUUCCAUACAUCCUUUUUCUACAUAGAAUUUCAAAAGAAAAUGUGAAUUAAUGUAAACGUGAGAAGACUUAAUUACAUUUAUUAGUUUAUCAAUCAAAACUUAAUUAGAAUCCAUCAAUAUUUCACACAUCAAAAACCCAAACAUAAAAUUCACUUUUAAAUUAUUUGAAGAUACAUUUGUAUUAUAGGAAAUCGAUUAAAUUAGUCUUUUAUUAUUAAAUGUAUUAUUUUAAUCUUUGUAUUAGGUAUGAAUGAUAUCUCCUAAAUUGAAGCCAGAGCUAUUCUUGAAAGACUGAAAUUAGGAUUCAGAUGUGUUGAGAUGGAAAGUGACAACACAAUGUUGAUUGAAACUAUUUGUAACAGGUUGACUACAAUAAGUAGUGCUGCCGAAGUAAGACAGAUUCACGAUUGGUGUUCCAAAAAUUGGGAAGUCAAAUUUAGACAUAUUCAGCGGAAUGCCAAUAAAGUUGUUGAUUGCAUAGCUAAGGCAAAUGGAGGCGUAAUUGAGCAGCUGGUUAUCUUGGAAGAUCCUCUGCAUUAUGUGAGAUGGUAGCUUGAAGAAGAUAUUAGACAGUCACUAGUGACUGAUGAUAAUUUUCAUUUGGACUGAUGAGCGCUUAAUUUUCUAAGCUUAUGUUCAACAAAAAAAAUUUUAACUACGUUUAAAUUGUAAUAGAGUUAACAUUUAGUGUUUAAAAAAUAUCUUAAAAAUUAUUAUUUUUUCCAAUUGCAGUUCAAUUCCACAAAUAUCGACGAUGAAUCCGGACAUAAAAAUUAUAGAAAAAAAACACAUCUAUUAUCAAACCAACAAUCCAUGUCUAAACUUAAAUUAACAAAAUUUGCCACGCAACGCCCAGUACACUAUUAUAUAUAUACUAGAUUUAUUCUAGAUGCACAUGUUUUAUUAUAUUUAAAAUUUAAAAUAUAUGGUUGACUAAGUGUUAGUUGAGUUAGUAUUGCUAUUAUUGUCAGUGUAAGGAAAUGUGAGUUUAAUUGCGCUCAAAUGUGUUUUAUCCUCCAAUUCAAGGGUUAGGAAAAGGUUAUUGAUAAUUAAGUUAUACCAACUUUUAUGAUAUUAAAAAAAGGAUUUAUAAAUAAUAUAAGGAAAAGAAAGAAAGAGAAACAUAUUCAUAUUGAUGGGCUCUUUCAAUAUUAGACUUUUUUUUCUAUCACAAGUAAAAAUAUCAAAGGUGAUAAUAAUUAAAUUAUAAAAUUUAAAUUGAGAAAAUAGGGGAUUGAGUUUAUAAGUUUUAAAGUAUAAAGAAUGAAUAUAUAACUAACAACAUAUUUUAACCACAUAAUAAAAGUAGUUAUGGUAAAAUAAUGACCUGAAUAAUUUUAAACGUCUCAUCCUUGCAAAAAUGAAAUAAUAGAAAAGAAAUAAGUGUUGGGUGUAGUGGCAAUGUACAUCAUACUUCUAAGGGGAGAUUAGGGUUUUAGACAAGGGAAGAAUUUUAAACUUGCUCUUUUCUCUAGAACUCAACGCAAACCUCAAAUUUAUCUUUUUAAAAGAAUUUAAAAAUAUGUAUAUAAAAGGUGAUUUUUUUACCGAUCACACUUAACAAAAUUUUAAAAAAAAAUGAAAUUUAAAGUGAUCUAAAAACAUAUUUUUAAGUGCUUUAGACCAUCCUGUGCUGAUUUCUUUAGUAAUUUGAUUUGUUCAAUAUAGAUUUUGGUAACUUAAAACAAAAUUAAUAAAAAAUUAUUUUUUUAGAUAUCUUUUUAAUGUUUAAUAAUAAGUUAAUUUAUAAAAUAUACUUUCAUUGGACACAGGGCCUCCAAGGCGGUGAACCACUAAUCAAAUUAAUUUUGAGAUACUUAAAUUUGUUUUCAUCAAUUAAGAAAUUAAAAAAAUUGUUGAGACCUCAUGAUUAUGUUUUAUAAUUUCAGGCUUAUCAACUAUUUUGAAAAACAACAAAACGUCUUACACCAAAAACUAAAAAAUAAAAACGUCGACAUUAAAUUUGUUGGCAUGCAAUCAAUUUUAAGAUGGUUUUUGGAGUUAUAUAUCACCUUAGCAUUGACUUACUUUUCUACAGUUUGUCUUCUCCAACAAGUUAAAUAUUUCAAUUUUAACAACAUUGACAGGUCUUUGGGGUAGGGUCGAGCAAAAUUCAAUAAAAACAGAUGAUAUAAGUUGAGUUGGCUCGGCCAAGUCGAGUCGAUUUGUUCAAAUUAUUUAAAUUAGUAAAUUUUAGGGUGCAAUUAGAAUUUUUUGUUUUGAGAUGCUAAUUAGAUUAAAAAAUUUCAGUUGCUAAAACAAAAAAAUUGUAUUUAAAAAGGCAUAAAUUAAAUAAUUAAGUUUUUCGAGUUUCCAUUUAAUCAAAGGUUAAAAGGACUAAAUUGAAGCUUUUUAUUUUUAAGAAAGGCUGAAUGACAAAUUGCCCAAAGCCCAUGGCCCUAGCUAUACAACUAACUUUUCUAUGAUUAGUCCUUGGUUUGCUUUGGGUGAAAUCUUCCAACUAGCCUCAUCCUUGGUUUUACUUUCCAACAAUUAGUGUAUCGCGGGUUUUGUUUUCUUUAAAAAAUAUUUGUGGAUAUUAGGAGAUAAUGAAAAUUAUUUUACUAUGAAAUUUUAAUAAAACUGGAAAAUAAGUAAUUUAUUUUAAGAGAUCACAAUUAAACGUUAGAUUUCCCCUUUUUAAAUUAUAAAUUUUUUUUUGACAAUUGCAUAAUAUUUUGAGCGUUGUAGGAAUGCCAUAAUAUAACCUUCCCUACGCAUAAUCGACUCUUGAGCAUGAUGGAUCCUAGACCUUCUCCUCUAUUCUCGUACCACAAAUUGCUUCAAGUGUGGGUUCGAACAAUCACAAAUUAAACGCAAAACCAAAAAUGAUUUAUUACUUUCAAUAGCAAAGUAAUUCUCUCUCAAUAGAAACCAAUAGAAUUGUAAUUCCUAGAAAAUAAAAUUUAUUUUUUGAAAAUAUAUUCUCACUACUUUCUAGCAGAAUAACAAUAUGUGAAACUUAUGUCUUGUGUUAAUAGCUCUACCAGUACUAUCUAUUUAUAGGGAGAGACACGAGAAUCCUGGUUGAAUUAGUAAAACACGAAUAAUAUUUAUUUCAUAGAAAACAAUAUUCCACCCUAAGUAGAUCAAGUUUGUAUGACGCAUGGAUCAAAGCUCAAUCUAGGAGAAAAAAAACAAAGGAAUUUUCUUUGUAAAGAAAAUUUGAGAUUGUACUAUUUUCAAAGUUAUAAAUAAAAUUAUACGCCAAAUUUUCAAGUCAAUUUUCAACUCCAAUUUUGUAUGCACAAAUUUCUAAUACACUUGGUGGGACAUUCUUUGACUUUUAUCUAUUCUCUCAAAAAGUUAAAGUUCAAAGUUACAUUAAACUCAAAGAAGAUAUUCAUUAGUAAACCACCUCACAAGCCUGCUCAAGCUAAUCCUACAACUCGUUCCACUUCAUCAUCAAACACCAAUAUUCUUGCUUAUCCUUAUGGAAUUAAACAGUCUCAUUUUCUGCAUUUUGGGUACACACUUAGUUUUGUUUGAUGCUAAAACAGUCCCCGAGCACUCCAAAACCUAUAAUUGAACAAAUAAUACUAAUUUAAUCUUACAUAACAUGAUCCCAAAUUGAAAUUGUAUCGAGGUUUUAACCCAUAAGUGACUAAACCUUACCUUCAACCGAUGAACAGUAAUUCCCACACAAACUAAGACUCCAAUUGGAGAUUACGAGCCAUUGAAUCCUCCCCUAAUUGGCAUAAACAAAACACUUCAAAAGAAAGUUAACAAAUGGAGACAAAUCACUUAUCUAAAACUUACCGAACGAUCACAGAAAAACGUGGAGUGACACGAGGCAGAGUGGGAAAAGAAAAAUCAAGAGGAUGAAGGGUGAAAGAGAGCAAAAAUUCGGUAGCAAUGAAGAGAAAAACAGCAAGAAAGUGGAGGGAUUUUAGGGAAAGUAAAAAAAAAGAUGAAUAGAAUAUUUGAUAACUACCCAAUCCCUUAUUUCUCUCUAUCAAACUCCCCACUAAAUCCACUACUCGAAUUUUUAGUCCAUCUCAAACUCUCCUGGACGCACGAGCAAAAAAUAAUGACCAUGCCAAAAUUUAAACAAAAGACCUCCUUCACACCAACACUCCACUUAUCCACCAGACCAAUAGGCUCAUUCUUUUAAUUAUUUUCCAACUUUUACUUAAAAGCCUACUGACCAAAGAUAGGGCUUAUUCAUAAAAAUACCAAAUUUUGCCCAAGACCUGGCUUGAACUUGGGACCUCUCAAACACACCCAGAACACAUAACCACUAAAGCAGACAGAAAUUUUGUGUCACACAUUCACAAUACCCAAAAUUAAAAUUUUAGGGCGUUACAAAAACACAUUAAACAAUAUCGCAUAAAACAAUCACAGUCAGAUAACAAUUCAGAAUGUCGAUUUUACAAUUUAACCACCAAUAGUAUCAUAGUAUUCACAGUUGUAAUUUCAGAAUAUCAAAUUUCCACAUCAUUCACAAUAUUCACACAUAUAUAAAUAUAUCAUAAUAGAAUUCUAGAUUUGUAUGCACAUGAUUUAGAAGAUGCCAUACAAUUUUGGGUUUUAACAGAAUAAAUCCUACCCCACAUUACAUACCAUAAUGGGAGUUCCCCUAAACUCCCUUCUCCAACACACUAGGUUGUGGAUAAACCACUAUUGGUUCACAAAUAAUAACUGUCAUUUGGCUGUGGACACAUAGCAAGUCCCCGCAAUUGGAUUCUAGAUUUGGUUGUGGAUUCACAGCAAAAAAAUCCUACAAAUGAAGCCUGCUUUUGCCUGUAGAUUAUACAACAUAUACCCGCAGUUGGAAUCUGUCUUUGGCUGUGGAUGCAGUGUAACACCUCAAACUCGACCUAGACGUUAUGGCUAAAUCUUAAUGAUUUACUUUAACUCGCUAGAAAGCCCACGAAUUUACUUUAAAAUCAUGUGGUUAAACUAGUGUUCACUUUGAUAAAUCGUUUUCCAGUUUUAGAGAAAAUUCUUGUUAAAACUGUUACUUUAUUACAAUAAAACAUUGAAGUAAUUGUAUCAUUUUGUAGUGGAAUCUACUAAGCUAUAAGGUUUUGAAAAUCGUGAUUUAGUUUGAAACAAAUCAUUUUGCAAAUAGAAAUUUAAUACUACUUAAUUUGGAAAAGCACGCUAAAACGAAAGCAAAGUCCAAAAUAAUUUACGGUUUGAAAUUCUAAAAAGCCCAAAUUAGUCAUAAAGUCUAUUUAAACCAAUUUAUCGAAAGUGUAACACCCUAAACCCGGCCUGUAUGUUAUGGCCAAAUCUAGAUGUGUUACGAAAAAAAGUUUAUAAAACGACUUCCUUGUUAUUGGCAAAUCAUCGUAGCCAUUAUUACUUAGUAUAUCUGAUUUGUUUGGAAAACUUAUUGAUAUACUUAUUUGAUUUAAAAUCGUUGCUCACUUACGCCUUUUUAUUAAACCAAAUAUUUUGCAGCGGAGUUUCUUUAAAACAUCAUAUUUUGGAAAAUCAAAUUGUUUCUUGAAAAUCGUUAUUUUAGAAAAGUUGUCAUUUUCAGAAAAAUUAUUUUAUCAGUUGUUAUGCUGAGAAAACAAAAUAAAAUCCAAAACCAAAAAUAGUCCCAAAAAGUCUAGAGAGUCCCAAAAUGACAAUACUCUUAAAACUAGACAAGUUUAAACUAAUUUUAAAAGAAUGAAAUUUUACAGAAAUGUGGACACCACUGAGCUUCCGUCGCACCGACCCACCUAAAUCUGAGGGUUACUUGAACAGAAUAAACAAACAGAGAGUGAGUUUUGAAACUUAGUGUCUAACGCGUAUAUAAACAAAAAUUCAGAAUCAAUCUCAUGCAGAACAGAUACAAGUGUAAACCUUUUAUAAAAUUAGAAUUAUACAGAUACAAAUAUGCAACAUCCUACCCUCAUCCUCUACACACCAACUCCGACCAUUCUAUCACACCACGUGGGGUAUAAAAUACCCACCCAGCCCUACACACCGUAUAGUAUUUAUAUGACACUUUUUGGAAUAAUCGCAGCAGAGUUGCCAGUAUAUAGGCGAGAUAUCACCUCACACAGAACACUUCCUCCUCAUAAUACAAAUCCCGCCCCAUAGCCAGAUACAGACAAAAUAUCAUGUAAAAUAAAUUAACAGAUACUAGAGUUAACAUAUCACGCAUGAGCGUAUAAUAGAUAUUACACAUGCUUAUGCAUAACAAAAUAGAUCAUACAUAUUGUAUUCCAUAAUACUCAUAUAAAUGUUAUUUACGUCAAUCUCAAUCUAAUAGAGUAGCUGAUUUCAUGCUUUAACUCUUAUACCACACAUACAGACCCUAUAGAAGGCCCACAGUUGAUCGAGACAACAUGUAUGUCCCUAGGGAAAAAAUUUGUAAUUUGGGCCCAUAUGCAUGUAUGAGCCCACACACCCAAAAUGGCCUUGCCCAUGUGGCUCACCUACCUAGCACUCAGCCCAUACGGUCCAAAAUGGCCUAGGUCGUGUGUCACACACAGCCGCAUGUUGCACACAGCCUACCACAUAGCGAGUCACAAAACCGUUUGGAGUUGACAAGCCUAAUUUUUGGCUUUCGUCAAUCGUCAUUUUCUUACGUUUUCAUUACACACUUGGUUUGAUUCUGACCCAAAAGCAACCCUAAGUCCACCGAAACCUAAAAAUAGCAUUCCAAUGCCCAAUUUCAGUGAACAUUUACAAAACUUAAACAAAAACUAUCCAAAAACAUAGCCUCACAAUAGCAUCCAAUGCACUCGCACACUUACCGUCAACGAAUAGGAAACACCCAACACUCAAUUCGUUGGCGGAGCACCAAUUAUGAUAAUGCAAAAAUUUUAUGGAUUCUCAACACUAUCGAUCCAAAUGUAAGAUUGAUGCUUUCCAAUUAUGAUAAUGCAAAAAUUUUAUGGGAUGGUUUACAUGAAUUUUUGUUGUUGUCAACGAUCAAUGUAUUCAAUAAUUAAAAGAAAAUAUUAGUCGUUGUUAGAAAACCAAUACUAUGAGUGUUGUAGUUUAUUUCAGUAAAUUAAAGGUUUUGUGGGAUGAACUAGACAAUCAUGAACAAUUGAUUUAUUGCAAGUGUGGACAAUGUUUAUGUAACUUAGGGAAGACGGAUGAACAAUGUCGUGAGCAUGAUCGACUUCAUCAAUUACUUCUUGCUCUCUAUUCUAAUUGUUAUGCUCAAACUAGGUUUACAUUGUUUUACCAAGAUCCUUUGCCUUCCUUAAAUCAGGCAUUCCAACAAAUUACUUAGGAGGAACAUGUACGUGGAAUUACACUGAUUAAGGAAGAGAAGUCUGAUAUUUUAGGCUUUGCUUUGCAUACAGAAGGUCAUAACAAAGGCCGAGCUAAUUGUAUUGAUAAGUCAACCUUGUUGUGCACUCAUUGCUAUCGCAAAAGGCAUGAGAUGGCUACCUAUUUUGAAUUACAUAGCCACUUGGAUUGGCGGCUUAAGAAGUAUGGGAAGCCAGAGAAGAAAAGUGAUGAUCGUGGUGGUAAGACAAGUGCACAUCUUCCACGUAAGUAUUUUAUUUCAAAGGAUCACAAUUAAACAUUAGAUUUCUCAUUUUUAAAUUUUUUUUAUUUUUUUAACAACUACGUAAUUAACGAGUACCAAUUUUGGGUGUUGUAGGGGUUCUAUAACUUUCCCUAUAUGUAAUCGACUCUUGCACCCUCUUUUUUUCUCUAGAAUUCAAUGCAAACCUUAAAUUUAUCUUUUUAAAAGAAUUUUAAAAUCUCUUUAUAAAAGACGAUUUUUUUAGGUGACCAAUCACAGUUAAGAAAAACAAAUCGGUGGCAACUCCUUUCUAAUAAAUGUAAAAAACUUUUUAAACAAAAUAAGGUUGAAAUAAUCUAGUUGUCGUUAUACUUUGAUAAAAUUUUAGAUUUAGUCCUUAUACUUAAAAGGUUAAAAAUUAAGUCUUGUUUUUAUUUAAAAAUCUUAGUCCUAUCGUUAAUAUUGUUUUUUUUUUGUCAAAAUUUGUCAAGUUGACAUAUUAAUUAGGUUUCUCUUAUAUAUCGUGGUAUAUGACUAACACAAAAUAAACAAGUUGACAAAUUCUACAAAAAAUAUCAAAGAUGAUAAUAGUUUAAUUAAAAUUUUUAAAUUAAAAAAGUAAGGGAUUAAAUUUAUAACUUUUAAAGUAUAAUGAAUGAAAUUAUUGAAAUACAAGAACUAACAACAUAUUUUAAAAAUAUUACUAGUAAAUUAUAUAUCUACAACAAGAAUUGUAACCUCUUAUAUUAUAUUCUUGUAUUUAUUUUUGCAUCUUUCAUAAUAUGAUUUAUUAAUUUUAAUAUUUUUAUAGAAUAAUAUGCUUUAAAUAGUUUUUUGUAUCAUUUAUAAAAAUUAUAAUAAACUUACAAAAUAAUUUAAUGAUAUUUAAUUAUUAAUCGAAAAAAAUGAUAUCAUAUAUAUUAUGUAUAUAUUAAGAUUCCAAAUCAUUAAUUAUAUAUCUACGCAUUAUAAUAAAUUCAUCUUUCAAAAUUUUCCUUAUAAUUAAAGCAUAAAUUAUAUUUAUAAUAAUAUAAAUAUAUUCUAUCAUAAAUAUUCUUUCAAAUAUUUUUUAAUGUUUAAUAAUAAGUUAAUUUAUAAAAUAUUCUUUCAGUAAAUUAACGUGAUGAGAUCGUUAGGUGCUUGGAUUUGGUGAAGGGGGAUGAAGAGAAAAGGGAUGGAAGUGAAUAAAAAUGUUGAGAAAUGGAAAGGGUUAGCGAGGGAAGCCGCCAUGAAAGGUGGUUCAAUGGAUAUGAACCUUCAAGCUUUUGUGGAUGAUGUUACUCAAGGUUGUUGCAAGUAAAUUUAAAAAUGUUUUUAAAUUAUUUUUUUGUUAAAAAAACAUUUUUUACUUUUUUAUGUGGCAUGCCACAUUAUCAUACUAUCAUGUGACAAUUUCUGGUGAUUUCUGUCCGCAACAUUAGUCAAAUCAACUGUUAAAUCGUUCAACUCACAGUUUUUGUUAAAUGAAGAGGUUAAUUGAUUUUUUUUUGGAAUCAUUGAGUACUCAAUUGGUGCACUUUUUUCAUAAAGGCUAAAUUAAUUUUUUAAUUUGUUAUUGUUGAAGGCUAUAGCAAUAAAAAAAAUUGAGGUAAAAAAAUAUUAGAGCUAAAUUUGUCAUUAUGCCUAAAAUGUAAAACCAAAUUUUUUUGAAAAUGAAAAAAAAUGGAAAAUCGCAAAUUCCGUCGCAUAUUUUUGCUUAAAAUUAUAGUUUUGGUCACCAAUCUUUUGAAGUAAAUAUAGGUCACCAAUAUUAUCAAUUUGUUACUUUGUAAUAACUCACCUUAAGUUAUACCCCGACGCACGAAAGGAUUAAAUGACAUUGGGAUACCAUCAAACUUGUAUCUUAAAUACACAUUUACCCCUAAUUUUAUCACAUUCUUCUUAAUUGGUAUUUAUGGUUUAGAAAAUUUUACAAAUAUAUUAUUUUUUAAGAAAUUAUAAGAAGAUUACAAAAAUUCCAAAAUAAUAUAAAAAAGCUAAGGAAAACCUAGAAAUUCAAAAAAAAAAACGUGGACAUUGAAUUUGCUGUUUCACAUUAAAUUUUUGGAGAAGUAGAAUUUUCUAACUUAUUUUCCAUCAACUUCACUUCAAUUUUCAAUCACAAUCUAUUGCAUUCAAGAGCACCACAUCUUUUGGGAUGAAACAAACCUCUCAAUUUUAAGAUAAACGGAAUCUAUUGCAUUCAAGAGCACCACGUCUUUUUGGAUGAAACAAAGCUCUCAAUUUUAGGAUAAACGGGUCUUUAGGGUUAUAAAUUGAGGUCCUUUUCCACAAUUGCGGGUGAUUCGUUGAUAAUAACCUCAACAUUUCUGUAUCACAUUUAAUUCAAUUCCACAUUCAAUUUUUAGUUUUUAGAGAGAUGAUUGGGUUACAACAAUGGUUUGAAGUGAAGAUAUUUCAAAACAAGAUGAAUACUCUACCAAUAGUCAUAAUUUAAAAUGCAGGUUAUGUUUCAUUUCAGCUAAGUUAAAUGUUAAGAUUGAGGUUAAACCUUUUAGAGGUUGCUCGCAAAAGGAUCAAACCUUUAUAAAAUUGUUUAAAUGAAGGUCAAACCUCUUAAAAUAGACAAAUAAGGGCCUAACCUUUUAAAAGGUGUUCAAAUAAGGGUUUCUCAAAUUUUGUAUAUCAGGUUAUGUAUUUUACUCUAAACACAUCGACAUUUACCUAUUUUUUCUAUAAAUUGGGUUGAAGUGCAUGAAAAAACCUUAUUUAAGCACUUCUGUAAAGGUUAAACUCUUAUUUGACUAUUUUGAAAGGUUUGAUCCUUAUAUAAGCAACCUCUAAAAGAUUGAGUACUAAUUUGACAAGAUUGAGAAAUACCUAAAUUUGUUUUCAUGAAUCAAGAAAAUAAAAAAGAAAUGUUGAGAAAUAUUUUAGAGAUUCUUAGCUUUGACAAGUUCCCUCCAUCAUCUUCCUGCCUCCAGUCCCACCUCUUCUCUUAUGCUCCUCCCAGCUUCUUGCUUUUUGUGUGUUGAAAUUUCAAAGGAACAAAAUAUCAACCUACAUCAUAAGGCACGAUUGCCAGAACUUUACUUUCUAGCCUGUCGAUCCGAUCCAAUGAAAGAAGAACAAAGAGUCUCAAGAUCUGUCAACUUUAUUUCAUUUUCAUUUUCUUUGUCAUUUUCUAUGUUUCAUGUCGAAUACAAUGAAAGAACAUAGAAAAAUGUUGCCUAUUUAUUUCCCAAUCAUCAUGAAAUUACUUGCCAUAGACUUAGAAUUUUCUCACCAAUUUUCAAGCAAUCUGACAUGAUUUCUCAAUCACAAUUAAUUGAAUUCAAGAUCUUUUUAGAUGACACAAACAUUUCAAUUUUAACACAAACCAAUAUUUAGGUUGUACUUCAGUGCUUGACAAGCACUUUCACAUUUGUGGGAUAAGAACUCUUAACAUUUUAGGAUCACAUUUAAUUCAAUUGCAUUUAAGACCUCACGAUUUUAUUCUAUAAUUUCAGUCUUAUCAGCCUUUUCGGAAACAAUAAAACGUCGACAUUAAAUUUGUUGUUGAUGCAUUCAAUUUUUUGAGGGGUCUUUGGAGUUAUAUGUGACUUUAGCAUUGACUGACUUUUUUAUAAUUAAUCUUUUAUAAUAUAUCAAUUUUAAUAACAUCGACAUGUUUUUUAGUAGGGUCUAGCAAAACCCAAUUAAAACCGAUGAUAUUGGCUUAGUUGACUCGGUCAAGUCCAUUAGAUUGAUAAAAUCAAUUUUAAAAUCAGUUAUAAUGGAUUAAGGUAAUUAAUUAUCGAGUAAUGAAAUACAUAAUCAAAUCAAUUGAUUUUGUUAGAAACUAAAAGAAAAUGAGAUAAGCUGAAAACUGAUUGCCCUUUAUUAAAAUUAACGAAUCCGCCCUUUACGUAUUAGAUAAUACGAACAUCACAUAUAUAAUAAGAAAAAUUACGUAUGAUUAUUUAUUAUCAUAAAAGGUUAGUUUAAAUUUAAAGUAAUCUAAUAUGUUUAUUGAACUUCAACUAUUAAAUAAAGUAUAAGCUAAAUAAGUAUAAAUAUUCUAGAAACCAUUUCUAACUGAUGAUAGGCUAAUUCGAUUAAUUUAUAAAAACUACAUAGUAGGGUUAUAGUCCUCAAACUACACCUAAUUUAAUAAUAUUUAUAGUUUUUUUUUUAGCCUUAAACAUUUAUAGUUUUUUGUUAAUUUGGUCCUUACUCUUUAAAAUUACAUAAAAAUUGCAAAAAAAAUUAAAAUUAAUUUUUUUUCAUAAUUUUAAUAACAUUUAUAGUUUUUUUUUUGUGUGUGGUUUGGUAACUUAUCAACUCGACUCUCACUUGUAACCAACUUUUCUAACCUUUUUCGUACCCUUAACCUAAGUCCCGUUACAACUUUCUAAAGACCUCUUUAUCAGUGUAUCAUGUCGGUUUGUUUUAUAAUGGUGGAGAUUUGUUUUUUGUAGUGGCACGAUUGCCAGAACUUUACUUUCUAGCCUAUCGAUCCGAUCCAAUGAAAGAAGAACAAAGAGUCUUAAGAUCUGUCAACUUUAUUUCAUUUUCAUUUUCUUUGUCAUUUUCUAUGUUUCUUGUCAAAUACAAUGAAAAAAGAACAUAGAAAAAUGUUGCAUAUUUAUUUCCCAUUCAUCACUCUAACAGGCCCAAUUAGCCCAGGCCCAAACAUUAAUAAAAUGUCUAGAUUACAAAAUAAUCAACUAAAAAUUAAAAGCUCAAAAAAUAAAAUAAAACCCAUUAUAUUAACCCAAAACCCCAGCCCAAUUACAUUGAAACCCAAAAAAAAAAUAGUUUUCAGAAACCCCUAGGGUUUCAGAAGCCCCUCAAUGUUAUUUUGUAUAUCUAUUUAUCUUUUUAAAUUUUCGAUAUUGUCUUGUUUUGUUUUUGUAUUAUUGUUGUUACCAUCAUUAUUCAUUAUUAUUAUUGUUGAUUUUAUUGUUCUUUGAUUAAUGUUAAUGUUAGAGUAAUAGAUGUUAUGUGAUCAUUGUUAUUAUAUGUUAUAAUUUGUUUACACUCGUAUUGUAGUCAUUUGUCAGCUUAAUAUUUUGAGUAAUAUUUUAAAUAUUACAUUAAUUUCGACCCAAAUGCAUAAUUUUUUAAUAAGUAAUAUUUUAUAUUUUGAAAUUUGAGAGAUCAUUCCCUAACUUACGGGGUCUCAAUUUUUUCGAUAAAUCUGAAUAUACUAACUAUUUUCAAAAAAUAUGUUUUAAAAUUAUCUCGGGAAUUUAAAAAGGAGCGUGUUCUAACUUACUGAAUAUGAUCUUUUUUUUAAAAUCGAGAUAAUCAAAUAACUUUCAAAUAAAUAAAUUUUCAAUGUUUAUUCUCAUAUCAGGAUUUAAAAUAUUAUAUCCUAACUCACGGGAUACAAUUCUUUUUCUCGAUUAACAUGAAAUAUGCCCGUUUUAAUUUUAUUUUUUAAGUGAUUUUAACAAAAGGAUUGUAUUUUAAAUCUCUUCAAAAUUUUCAAUUUUUCGACAUUGAGACAUUAACUAAUCAAUUAGGUACCAAUUUUGGGCGUUACGAGGGUGCUAACCCUUCCUCAUACGUAACCGACUCCCGAACCUAUUUUUCUGAAUAUUGAAGGCCAAAAUUGUUUUAAUAAAUUAAACCCUUAAGACGUGACCCCAUCACACCUCAUAAAAAUUAUCGGUGGCGACUCUCGUUUGCGUUUUUGUUUUCGUUUUCAAAAUAAAAGUCGACCCCUUGUUUUAAAAAAGGUGGUUCGAUAGCUUGGCGACUCCGUUGGGGAAAAAAAUAAGAGAGUCAAGCCACGAGUUGAUUAUUUCUUAUUUUUUGUCAGAAAUUGUGAAUUCGAUUUAAAUUUACGAUCUUUUCAUUGCAUUUUAUGGUCUGCAUCAUUUUGAUAUGCUUGCUUUACUGGUUCGAGUCUUUUAAUCUCCGCAUAUUGCAUUGCAUAACCGUUCGGUUAUACCCUUUUAAGUGGGAGUGAGAAACUAUUCAUUUGUGAGAUUUUUACCUCCGUAUAGGAUAGUGGAUUACUUUCGGGAUACAUCCGUACCUAUGUCUUCGUGAGAUUUUCAUCUCCGUAUAGUUAUAGGGAAAUGUAUUCCCCUGAACUGAACUCAGUCCGUAUGAGCCUAUAAUAGGUAAGGAUUGAGGAAUCUGCUGGUUCAGGUACCCUUUCUUUAGAACUAAACUGCAUGUAGUGAGCCCUAAGAGCAUACCGUAGGUAGAACCACUCCAAACCCCUAGUGGUCACCCAAAUAGGUGCUCUAUUUAUUUUUGCUUGCUUAUUUUUGCAUUGUACUAACCUAUUUUUUUGUUAUGAUUGCAUUGCAUUUUCAUCAUAAAAAAGAUGUGUUGAUUCACGUUCAAUUGCUAAAUAGAGAGCUUGUCAUGGAAAACGGAUUUCUUGAUAAAGUGGAAGACAAUGUGGUUAUCCGGAUAUGGUCCAAGAAAAUUUGACGAAAGAAGGGUGAUAGUCUAAUGGAGGACUACACGACCUUGCUUUAUUGCCCGAGGAUUCAAGUUGACAAAGAUUAUUUGAGAGUCCUCAAUGUCCCGACCUUUUUCAAGAAGCUAACGAGUGUCACGAGGAUGAGUGAGUAAUGAGUUGCGGCCCGGAUCAAGCAAAAAAGAGAUAGAGGAGACACCCUUUUUGAAGAGUUCGCGAGAUUUAUAUUAAUAUCAAAAUGAAGAAAAAGAUCAAUGUCUUCGCCUGGAGUAUGAAAGCAAAGCUGUAUAUAUAUCCGCUUUAUGUAAAUAAAUUUGUUUUCUAGUAAAGUUUUUCUAAUAGAAUUGAAUCAGAAUCAAUGUCUUUUUUUGCAUUCAUUCCAUUCAUCUGCAUUGCAUUUCAUUGCAUCCAAAAUUUCACAAAAGGACCCUAAUUAAUUGAAAUUGUUAUAGUUACUCUGAAAACUAAUAAAAAUCUACCAAUUAAAUAUUCCUACGGUACCCGUCGCAAAACCAAAGUAAUGGAUCAAAUAUUAGAAAGAUUAGAACAAAUUCUGAAAGACAAGCAUAAUCGUUUUUGCUUAGGGUACAAGCCAGAUACAAGACAAAGAAGGAAGGAGUUAGAGAAGAAAUAGGAAAGAAUGACAGCAUAUUUGAGCGAGGAUGAGGUCAAAUGGGAGCCUAUGAACUUUCCCUACAUAUCCAAAACUUUUGUAUCGGGAGGGAUUAUUCAUCCCGAGCGAAGAAUGCCAAGAGAAGAAAAUAUUGAAGAAAUGUUGGGAAACGUUCACAUCAAUGCCAUAUACGAAGAAGUAGUUGAAGGAUGGACCUUGUUAGAUAUCCGACCUUAUGAACCUGGGAGUGUGCUAAACAAUUGGACUACAGAAGAAAUUCCUGUAGUGUUUAGACCUUACUCAGAGUAAUAUUCAAAACACACUUGUUGCUUUUAGCCUAGAAGUGAUAAGAAUCCCUCUGUGAAAUAGGCUCAUGUAUAAACAUCAUUAUUUUAAUAAAGUAAAUCUUUGCAUUCAUUUUGAGCAAAUAUUCUUUUAUUCUUUCCAUACGAGUAAUUAUUUUAGAUUUUUCAUUAUUUUAGGAUUUUCUUCCAAAAAUCAUUCUUUUAUUACAUUCAUAAUCAUACUGUACAAAUAAUUAUUCUUAAAUUCAUUCAUUCUUUGUAUAUUCUUUUGUACCUAUAAUAGGUCCCUAGAUAUCAACGACAUGAGUGACGCUGCUACAGACUUAGAAUUUCCUUUUAAACAAGACAUGUGUUUAGAGGGAUCCCAUGACUUUGAAGAUGACGUAGACUGUGGCUUAUCUCCGGACUUGUUAAGGAUGGUAAAACAAGAGGAGAAGCAAAUCCUACUUCACAAUGAAUCAAUGGAAAUUGUGAGCUUAGAAGGGGAAAAUAGGUGAAGAUUGGGACUGACAUUGCCACAAAUACGAAGUAAGACCUCAUUGAGUUACUCUAAGAAUUCAAAGAUAUUUUUGCAUGGUCAUACUAGGAUACGCUCGGGUUAAGUACUGACAUUGUAGUACACUGCCUUCCUAUAAAAGAAGAUUGCUAGCCAGUUCAGCAGAAACUCCAGAGGAUGAGGCCUGAUAUUGUGCUAAAAAUAAAAGAAGUCAAAAAGUAAUUUGAUGUUGGGUUCUUACAAGUGGUCAAAUAUUCAGAAUGGGUAGCCAACAUCGUCUCAGUUCCUAAAAAAAAUGGGAAAGUACGAAUGUGCAUGGAUUACAGAGACUUGAACAAGGCCAGUCGAAAAGACAAUUCCCUAUUGCCUCACGUUGACACUUUGGUGGAUAAUACAGUAGGCUACUCACUUUUUUCCUUCAUGGAUGGCUUCUCUGGAUACAAUCAGAUAAAGAUGCAUCCAAAAACAUGGGAAAGAUUACAUUCGUGACCCUGUAGGAAACGUUUUACUAUAAAGUGAUGACAUUCAGAUUAAAGAAUAUGGGAGCGACGUAUCAAAGGGUGAUGGUAACCUUGUUUCAUGACAUGAUUUACAAGGAAAUCGAGGUUUAUAUUGACGAUAUGAUUGCAAAAUCUAGAACAGAAGAGGAACAUGUGCAGGUCCUGAGAAAAUUAUUCUUAAGACUGAGAAAGUUCUAGCUCAAGCUUUCCAACGAAAUGCACUUUCGGAGCUAGGUCAGGAAAGCUAUUAGGCUUCAUAGUCAGUGAAAAAGGAAUCGAGAUCAACCCAGACAAAGUCAAGGUAAUAAGAGAUUUACCUCCACUAUGCACUCAGAAGAAAGUUCGAGGUUUCCUAGGAAGACUAAAUUACAUUGCUCGGUUUAUUUCACAACUAACCGAAAAAUGUGACCCCAUAUUUCAUCUUUUAAAGAAACAUAAUCCAGAUGUAUAGGAUGAAGAAUGUCAGGAAGUUUUUGAUAGGAUAAAGCAGUACCUAUCAAAUACUCUAGUGCUGUUACCACCUAGCCCAGAUAGGCCACUGAUAUUGUAUUUAACAGUGUUUGAUAAUUUUAUGGGAUGCAUGCUAGGCCAACAUGAUGAGACAGGAAGGAAAGAAAGGGUUAUAUACUAUCUCAGUAAGAAAUUCACUGAUUAUGAAAUAAGAUACUCGUCUAUUGAGAAAUUAUGUUGUGCCUUGAUCUGGAUAACUCGGAGGCUAAGGCGGUACAUGUUGUACCAUACGACUUGACUAAUUUCAAAGUUAGACCCUUUAAAGUAUAUGAUGGAGUCAACUACUUUGAAUGGGAGGAUGGCCAGAUGGCAGAUUUUACUUUUUGAAUUUGACAUACUUUAUGUGAGCCAGAAGGCUAUAAAAUGGAGUGCAAUAGCGGAUUUUCUAGCUAGCAGAGCCUUGGAGGAUUAUGAGCCUUUAAAUUUUGAUUUUUUGAACGAGGACUUAAUGUAUGUGGCAACCACUAAAGAAAAUGCUCAAGUGGAUCGCAUUUGGAAGCUAAAAUUUGACGGAGCCUCAAAUGCUAUGGGUAAUAAAAUUGAGGCAGUCUUAGUAUCCCCGAGCAGAGAUCAUUAUCCUAUUGCUGGCAAAUUGGAUUUUGAUUGUACAAACAAUAUAGCAGAAAAUGAAGCGUGUAUUAUGGGCAUCCGUAUAGCCAAAGAAUGUAAAAUCAAAGUGCUAAAGGUAUAUGGGGAUUCUGCAUUGGUGAUAUAUCAGCUCAAAGGAGGAUGAGAGAUAAGAGACCUCAAAUUGAUUAAUUAUCGAAAGUUUAUUCUCGAAUUGAUUGAUGAGUUUGAUGAUAUUACUUUCUCCUAUCUCCCACUAGAUGAAAACCAGAUGGCUGACACGUUGGCUACUCUAGCUUUCAUGAUCAAAGUAAACAAACUAGAAGACAUGAAGCCUAUCCAGAUGAGCAUUUAUGAGACUUUGGCUCAUUGCUACAGUAUCGAGGAAGAGGAAAAGGAUGAUCAUCCUUGGUACCAAGAUAUACUGCAAUAUGUAAAGAAUCACGAGUACCCUGAUCAGGCAACGAAGAAUGAUAAGAGGACAUUGAGAAGACUAGCCACUAACUAUGUCUUACAUGGAGAGAUUUUAUACAAAAAGGGAAAGGAUCGGGUACUACUAAGAUGCUGGAUGCUAUAAAAGCUUAGAAAAUCUUGGAGGAAGUCCAUGAAGGUAUCUGCAAAAUGCAUGCCAACGGUUUCACAAUAGUAAGACAGAUUAUGAGAUUCGGGUACUACUGGUCGACCAUGGAAGGAGAUUGCAUCAAUUAUGCCAAGAAGUGCCAUAAAUGUCAAAUUUAUAGAGACAAAAUACACGCACGUUCUUCACCUCUCAACGUUAUGACUUCUCUAUGGCCUUUCUCUAUGUGGGAUAUGGAUGUCAUCGGGCCAAUAUUGCCAAAGGCUUCUAAUAGGUAUCGUUUCAUCUUCAUGGUCAUUGGUUACUUCACUAAAUAGAUGGAAGCUGAUUCAUAUGCUAAUGUCACGAAGUCAGGAGUCAGCAAGUUCUUGAAAAGGGAGAUCAUAUGUUGAUAUAUAAUGCCUGAAAGAAUCAUAUCUGACAAUACAUUGAAUUCGAAAAAUAGCAAAAUAGCGGAGGUCUGCAAUCAAUUCAAGAUCAAACACCAUAAUUCGUCACCAUAUCGCCCAAAAAUGAACGGAGCAGUGGAGGCGGCCAACUAAAAUACCAAGAAAAUUGUGGGGAAAAUGUCUGAGACUUACAAAGAUUGGCAUGAAAAAUUACCAUUUGCCCUCUUUGUUUAUCGAACAUCAAUCAGGACUUUCGUCGGGGCAACGCCUUUCUCUCUAGUUUAUAAGAUGGAGGCAGUUUUACCCAUUAAAGUUGAAAUCCCUUCUCUCUGGGUAUUGGCUGAGCUAAAGUUGGAUGAAGCUGAAUAGAUCCAACCUCGAUAUGAUCAGUUGAACCUAAUAGAAAGAAAAAGGCUAAAAGUUAUUCACCACGGUCAGAUGUACCAAAAACGAAUGAUGCGAGCCUACAACAAAAAAGUUCAUCCCAAAGAAUUCUAUGAGGGGGACCUAGUGUUGAAAAAGAUUUUUCCUCUACAAAAGAAUUUUAGAGGAAAAUGGAUGCCAAAUUAGGAAAGACCUUAUGUUGUAAUAAAGGCCUUUUCUGGAGGAGCAUUGAUUUUGAGUGAGAUGGAUGGUAAAAAUUUUCCUAAUCUUGUAAACUCAGAUUCAUUCAAGAAAUACUUCACCUAAAGAAGGAGAAGGGACCAAUGUGAAAACCUGCAAAGGGCACUUUGAGUCUUAAAAAAAAGAGACCAAGGUGAAAACCGCAAAUGGUGUCUUAAGUCCUAAAAAAAAGAGGCCAAGGUGAAAACUAGCAAAGGGCGCCUUGAGACCAAAGGGGAUUUGAGUUGAAAACCCGAAAAGAGCGACUCAAAUAUUGAUUAAAAUGGGGCAUGCAGUGAUCUUGCUAUACUUGAAUUAAUAGGAAAGGGGUAUACGACAUCUUGGGGCAUCGACAAAGUACUAUAGAUCUCCUAAACACAUUUCAAACUCAAAAUGGUCUUUAGGAAGUUUGUACAGAGAAAUUCAAGCUGCGAUGUCUAGGGCACCUAGUCUUCAUACUAUUUAUAUUAAAUUUGCUAUUCUUGGAAUACUUUAUUCUUUUCAAGAUACGUGUUCCCAAUCAAUUCCCUUUUUAUUCUUCUUUAUCCUUGAUAAUUUAUUCAUUUCGAGCUAUGCUCCAAAUCAAUUCUAUUCUUAUCCAUUGUUAUUAUCUUUUGCAAGCAUGUUGUAUUGGAAUAAUGAUUAAUAGACUAAUAAUACUUUUACAAAUAAAGUGCUGUAUAUUACUCUAAAAGUUUCUAAAUAAUACAAGAACCUAAAACAGGACUAUUGUUUAGAACGCACCGGGUUUAAAGGUUAGAAAUAUCUGAGAAGGAAGAGUCCAAAUUAAGACUAUCCCUUCGAAUUUUGUUGUCAAAAUAUUGAUUGAACAAAACGACAAGAUAUCGUAUUGGUGAACAAACGAGCAAUGAUCACCAGGUAAUAAAAAGAGGUUAUUUUGGAAAAAAAAUUACAUUGGUACGACACCUUAGGAAUGGUGUAAGAGACCAAAGAGGUUCACAUCUUGUAUUCUUGAAUUGCAAUAGGAGAGGAUUGAGAAAGAGCUAGAUAUUAUACUCCUGAAUUAUAAUGGAAGGGAAAUGGUACAAAUUUUAUGUACCAAAAGUACAGUGGAUUGAACCUUGAAGAUUACAGUAGGGGAAAUCUGAUUAAGUAAAAUAUGAAGUGUUUCUUUGGAGAUACCAGUCGAACAAGAUGGCAUUAUGACGUGUCGGUGAUAGAGCCUUAAUGAAUAAUGAGCAAUAACAACUCAAGCAUUAAGGGAUCAUUUUCAUAACAUUCUGUAUUCAUUCAUACACAUCUAGUUAGGAGAUUUUGAUUCAUUCCGAUCAUAACAUCCAAAUCACUAGACAUAAAUAGGCCCAUGAAAUGGAUUCUACAGGUCAUGUUCCCCAUAGAACAGAUGGGUGAAACCACAAAUCCUAUACCGCUGAAGUUGCAGUGGGAUGGAUUGAAGUCAUUAUGGCGAGUCUUAUCUCCCUGAAGUUGCAAUGGAGCAUAUUAAAGCUAGUAAUCUUAUCUCCCUGAAGUUGCAGUAGAGCGGAUUGAAGUUACAAGUCUUAUCCCCCUAAAGUUACAGUGGAGCAGACUGAAGAUAGUGAAUCUUAUUUCCCUGAAGCUGCAGUGGAACAAAUUGAAGCUAUAAAUUGUAGAUUUUAUCUCUCUAAAGUUGCAAUAGAGAAGAUCAUAUCAAACUUUAUCUCCCUGAAGUUGUAGUGGAACAGGUUGAAAAUACCAAUCUUAUCUCCCUGAAGUUACAGUGGAGUAGACUGAAGAUAGCGAAUCUUAUUUCUCUGAAGUUGCAGUGGAACGGAUUGAAGCUAUAAAUUACAGAUCUUAUCUCUCAGAAGUUGCAGUAAAGCAGAUCAUAGAAAACCUUAUCUCCCUGAACUUGCAGUGGAGUAGGUUGAAGUUAUAAGUCUUAUCUCCCUAAAGUUGCAGUGGAGCAGACUGAAGAUAGCGAAUCUUAUUNNNNNNNNNNNNNNNNNNNNNNNNNNNNNNNNNNNNNNNNNNNNNNNNNNNNNNNNNNNNNNNNNNNNNNNNNNNNNNNNNNNNNNNNNNNNNNNNNNNNNNNNNNNNNNNNNNNNNNNNNNNNNNNNNNNNNNNNNNNNNNNNNNNNNNNNNNNNNNNNNNNNNNNNNNNNNNNNNNNNNNNNNNNNNNNNNNNNNNNNNNNNNNNNNNNNNNNNNNNNNNNNNNNNNNNNNNNNNNNNNNNNNNNNNNNNNNNNNNNNNNNNNNNNNNNNNNNNNNNNNNNNNNNNNNNNNNNNNNNNNNNNNNNNNNNNNNNNNNNNNNNNNNNNNNNNNNNNNNNNNNNNNNNNNNNNNNNNNNNNNNNNNNNNNNNNNNNNNNNNNNNNNNNNNNNNNNNNNNNNNNNNNNNNNNNNNNNNNNNNNNNNNNNNNNNNNNNNNNNNNNNNNNNNNNNNNNNNNNNNNNNNNNNNNNNNNNNNNNNNNNNNNNNNNNNNNNNNNNNNUCAAAGGAACAAAAUAUCACCUACAUCAUAAGGCACGAUCGCCAGAACUUUACUUUCUAGCCUGUCGAUCCGAUCCAAUCCAAUGAAAGAACACAAGGAGUCUUAAGAUCUGUCAACUUUAUUUCAUUUUCAUUUCUUUGUCAUUUUCUAUGUUUCAUGUCGAAUACAAUAAAGAGAACAUAGAAAAAUGUGGCCUAUUUAUUUCCCAAUCAUCAUGAAAUUACUUGCCAUUGACUUAGAUUUUCUCACCAAUUUCAAGCAAUCUGACAUGAUUUCUCAUCACAAUUAAUUGAAUUCAAGAUCUUUUUAGAUGACACAAACAUUUCAUUUUAACACAAACCAAUAUUUCGGUUAUACUUCAGUGCUUGACAAGCACUUUCACAUUUGUGGAUAAGAACUCUUAACAUUUUAGGAUCACAUUUAAUUCAAUUGCAUUUAAGACCUCAUGGUUUUAUUCUAUAAUUUCAGUCUUAUCAGCCUUUUCGGAAACAAUAAAACGUCGACAUUAAAUUUGUUGUUGAUGCAUUCAAUUUUUUGGGUCUUUGGAGUUAUGUGACUUUAGCAUUGACUGACUUUUUUAUAAUUUAAUAAUAAGGUAAAUAUAUUAAUUUUAAUAACAUCGACAUGUUUUUUAGUAGGGUCGAGCAAAACCCAAUUAAAAUCGAUGAUAUUGGCUUAGUUGACUCGGUCAAGUCCAUUAGAUUGAUAAAAUCAUUUUUAAAAUCAGUUAUAAUGGAUAAAGGUAAUUAAUUAUCGAGUAAUGAAAUACAUAAUCAAAUCAAUUGAUUUUGUUAGAAACUAAAAGAAAAAGGGCUAAGCUGAAAAUUGAUUGCCCUUUAUUAAAAUUAACGAAUCUGUCUUUUACGUAUUAGAUAAUAUGAACAUCGCAUAUAUAAUAAGAAAAUUACGUAUGAUUAUUUAUUAUCAUAAAAGGUUAGUUUAAAUUUAAAGUAAUCUAAUAUGUUUAUUGAACUUCAACUAUUAAAUAAAGUAUAAGCUAAAUAAGUAUAAAUAUUCUAGAAACCAUUUCUAACUGAUGAUAGGCUAAUUCGAUUAAUUUAUAAAAACUAGAUAGUAGGGUUAUAGUCCUCAAACUACACCUAAUUUAAUAACAUUUAUAUUUUUUUUAGCCUUAAACAUUUAUAGUUUUGUUAAUUUGGUCCUUACUCUUUAAAAUUACAUAAAAAAUUGCAAAAAAAUUAAAAAUUAAUUUUUAUCAUGAUUUAAUAACAUUUAUAUUUUUUUUUGUGGUUUGGUAACUUAUCAACUUGACUCUUACUUGUAACCAACUUUUCUAACCUUUUUCGUACCCUUAACCUAAGUCCCGUUACAAUUUCUAAAGACCUCUUGAUUGGUGUAUCAUCUCGAUUUGUUUUUAUAGUGGUGGAGAUUUGUUUUUUGUAGUGGGCAUGAUUGCCAGAACUUUACUUUCUAUCCUGUCGAUCCGAUCCAAUGAAAGAAUAACAAAGAGGUCUUAAGAUCUGUCAACUUUAUUUCAUUUUCAUUUUCUUUGUCAUUUUCUAUGUUUCUUGUCACAUACAAUGAAAGAAGAACAUAGAAAAAUGUUGCCUAUUUAUUUCCCAAUCAUCAUUCUAACAGGCCGAAUUAGCCCAGGCCCAAACAUUAAUAAAUGUCCAGAUUACAAAAUAACCAACCAAAAAUUAAAAGCCCAAAUAAUAAAAUAAAACCCAUUACAUUAACCCAAAACUCCAGCCCAAUUACAUUGAAGCCAAAAAAAUAGUUUUUAGAAACCCCUAGGGUUUCUGGAACAAUCCGCGCCGCUCCUCCAUCCGCUUCUCCACGCACGCUGCACCUUUCCACGUGCGCCUCCAGCUGGCAGUGUACCUCCAAUGCAACAAACAAAGCAACAAGCAGCAAAAGAAAUGGAAAAACAACAAAAAAAAAAGAAGGAGCAACAAUGUAUAACAGAUUGAUAACAAAUAAUAGAAAAAAUAGCAGUAAAUAGGAAAAAAAAUUAAAAAAUAAUGAGGGUAAUUUCAUUUUUUUCUCUGUUUUGGCUAUAAAGAGAGCCGGUCAAAAUCUCUAAAGGGGGAUUUAGAAUCAAUCAGAAAACAAGUAUUUUGUACCAACAAUUAGAGAAAAAAAAUACAAAAAUAGGGAUUGAAGGUUUUUUUUUUCUUUCGUUUCGAUUUAUUUAAAAUAGCAUAGAAAAUAAAAAGAAGGCUUACCUUGCGACGCCUUCAGAUCCUCUCGAAAAGGGGCUAAAAGGCCCUAUGUGGCACAGAUUUGACCACUGUUCACGGUGGAACCGCAGCGGAGGCGCAGAGGAUUGGCAUCAAUUUAGGCAGGGUUUGAAACCCUAGCAGAGAAAAAAUUAGGGUUGAUAGAUUUUUUUUAAAAAAAUGGCAAAAUGUUGUUUUUAAAAAAUUUUGUUUUAAAAAAAUUGUUGCUUUUAUAAAGGGUGUAAAACGGCGUCGUUUAGGGCAUGUUUCGAUGGCCCCAAAACGGCGCCUUAUAAGGCAACCCCCGACGACCCGACCUGCUCCAUGGGGGAUCCGCGUGGUUUUUGUUAAAUGGGUUAUGUCUAACCCUGGCCCUUCUACUUUUUAUACUUGUUUUAAUUUGAUCCUCUUUUUAUUUAUUUUUAUUUCUUUAAAUUAAGCCUGAUAAUUUUUUUCCAUUACAUUUUAAUCCUUAAUGAAACGGCGCGUUUUAGAGGAGAAGGGAAAAUUACCCUUCUAGUCCCUUCUUGUUAUUCGAGUGUUCAGAAGGGUCCUUUUUUGUUUAUUUUUUAUUUGCCCCAAAAUUUUGUUUUAAAGCUUAAUUUAGUCCUAUUUUGUUAUUUUAGCUAUUUUAUUAUUAGAUUAAUUAAUUUAAUAUUAUUAUUACUGCUAUUAUUUUACCCCUAUUAGUUAUAUAUUUAUUAUUAUAACUAUAUCAUUAAAUCAAUUAGUUUUUACAUUAUUAUUUCCAUUCUGUUUUUUAUUUACUUACUUAAAUACUUUAAAUGCAUUUAUUUUAUUUCUUAUUUUUUUAUGAAAUUUCAAAACUUUAGACUAUUUUUUUGUUACUAUAACCCUAAUUUCAUUCAUUUUAUAAUAGUUUUUUUUUAAAAUAUUUCUUAGAUUAAUUCCCUCGAUGUUAUUUUGUAUAUUUAUUUAUCUUUUUAAAUUUUCGAUAUUGUCUUAUUGUAUUAUUGUUGUUACUAUCAUUAUUCAUUAUUAUUGUUGAUUUUAUUCUUCUUUGAUUAAUGUUUAUGUUAGAGUAAUAGGUGUUAUGUGAUCAUUGUUAUUAUAUGUUAUAAUUUGUUGACACUCGUAUUGUAGUCAUUCGUCAGCUUAAUAUUUGAGUAACAUUUUAAAUAUUACAUUAAUUUUGACCCAAAUGCAUAAUUUUUUAAUAAGUAAUAUUUCGUAUUGUGGAAUUUGAGAGAUCAUUCCCUAACUUACGGGGUCUCGAUUUUUUUGAUAAAUCUGAAUAUAAGAACUAUUUUAAAAAAAUACGUUUUAAAAUUAUCUCGGGAAUUUAAAAAGAAGCGUGUUCUAACUUACGGAAUAUGAUCUUUUUUAAAAAUCGAGAUAAUCAAAUAUCUUUCAAAUAAAUAAACUUUUCGUGUUUAUUCUCGUUUUAGGAUUUAAGAUAUUGUGUCCUAACUCACGGGACACAAUUCUUUUUCUCGAUUAACGUGAAAUACGCCCUUUUUAAUUUUAUCUUUUUAAGUGAUUUUAACAAAAGGAUUGUAUUUUAAAUCUCUUCAAAAUUUUCAAUUUUUCGACAUUGAGACAUUAACUAAUCAAUUAGGUACCAAUUUUGGGCGUUACAAGGGUGUUAACCCUUCCUUGUACAUAACCGACUCCCGAACCUAUUUUUCUGAAUAUUAUAGGCCAAAAUUGUUUUAAUAAAUUAAACCCUUAAGAGGUGACUCGAUCACAGCUCAUAAAAAUUAUCGGUGGCGACCCUUGUUUUAAAAAAGGUGGUUUCAACAGCUUGGCGACUCCGCUGGGGACAAAAAUAAGAGUCAAGCCGCGAGUUGAUUAUUUCUUAUCUUUUUGUCAGAAAUUGUGAAUUCGAUUUAAAUUUAUGAUCUUUUCAUUGCAUUUUAUGGUCUGCAUCAUUUUUAUAUGCUUGCUUUACUACUUCGAGUCUUUUAAUCUUCGCAUAUUGUAUUGCAUAACCGUUCGGUUAUACCCUUUUAAGCGGGAGUGAGAAAUUAUUCUUUCGUGAGGUUUUCACCUUCGUAUAGGAUAGUGGAUUACUUUCAGGAUACAUCCAUACCUAUGUCUUCGUGAGAUUCUCAUCUCCGUAUAGUCAUAGGGAAAUGUAUUCCCCUGAACUGAACUCAGUCCGUAUGAGCCUAUAAUGGGUGAGGAUUGAGGAAUCUGCUGGUUCAGGUACCCUUUCUUUAGAACUAAACCGCAUGUAGUGAGCCCUAAGAGCAUACCCUAGGUAGAACCACUCCAAACCCCUAGUGGUCACCCAAAUAGGUGCUCUAUUUAUUUUUGCUUGCUUGUUUUUGCCUUGUACUAACCUAUUUGUUAUGGUUAUGAGUGCAUUGCAUUUUUAUCAUAAAAAAGAUGUGUUGAUUCACGUUCAGUUGCUAAAUAGAGAGCUUGUCAUGGAAAACGAAUUUCUUGAUAAAGUGGAAGACAAUGCGGUUGUCCGGAUAUGGUCCAAGAAAAUGUGAAGAAAGAAGGGUGAUAGUCUAAUGGAGGACUACACGACCUUGCUUCGUUGCCUGAUGAUUCAAGUUGACAAAGAUUAUUCGAGAGUCUUCAAUGUCCCGACCUUUUUAAAGAAGCUAACGAGCGUCACGAGGAUGAGCGAGUAAUGAGUUGCGGCCCGGAUCAAGCAAAAAAAAGAUAGAGGAGACACCCUUUUUGAAGAGUUCACGAGAUUUAUCUUAACAUCUAGACGAAGAAAAAGAUCAAUCUCUUUGCCUAGAGUAUGAGGGCAAAGCCGUAUAUAUAUCCGCUUUAUGUAAAUAAAUUUGUUUUCUAGUAAAGUUUUUCUAAUAGAAUUGAAUCAGAAUCAACGUCUCUUUUUGCAUUCAUUCCAUUCAUCUGCAUUGCAUUUCAUUGCAUCUAGAAUUUCACAAAAGGACCCUAAUUAAUCGAAAUUGUUAUAGCUACCUUGAAAAACUAACGAAAAUUUACCAAUUAAAUAUUCCUAUGGUACCCAUUGCAAAACUAAAGUAAUGGAUCAAAUAUUAGAAAGAUUAGAACAAAUGCUGAAGGAUAAACAUAACUGCUUUGGCUUAGGGUACAAGCCAGAUACAAGACAAAGAAGAAAUAGGAAAGGAGAACACGUUUGAGCGGGGAUGAGGUCAAAUGGGAGGGAUUAUUCAUCCCAGGCGAAGAAUGCCAAGAGAAGAAAAUAUUGAAAACAUGUUGGGAAACGUUCACAUCAAUGCCAUAUACGAAGAAGCAAUUGAAGGAGUGACCUUGUUAGAUAUCCGCCCUUAUGAACCUAAGAGUGUGCUAAACAAUUGGACUGCAGAAGAAAUUCUUGUAGUGUUUAGAGCUUACUCAUAGUAAUGUUCAGAACACACUUGUUGCUUUUAGCCUAGAAGUGAUAAGAAUCCCUCUGUGAAAUAGGCUCAUGUAUAAAAAUCAUUAUUUUAAUGAAGUACAUCUUUGCAUUCAUUUUGAGCAAAUAUUCUUUUAUUCUUUUCAUACGAGUAAUUAUUUUGGAUUCUUUAAUUCUUUUGGGAUUUUCUUCCAAAAUCAUUCUUUUAUUACAUCCAUAAUCAUACUGUACAAAUAAUGUAAUAGCCUGAAUUUUCAGUGGUGUCGGAAUGGUGAUUCAAGAUCACUAAGUCUGACAAAUGAGUAGAAAAUAUUAUUAAUUUAGUAAGAAUAAGUAAAUGUGAAGUUAGGAAAAUUUUUGAAAUAGUGAAUAGUGUACUAGGAAUAAAUAUUAAAAUAAUUAAAAUAAAAAAUGAGGUAUCGAGACCUCGAAGAUUUUAAACCAAGCCAUAAGUACUUUUAGAAGUAUUUUUAGAGUGUCAUUGAGUUGGUAUUAAAGUUUCGUUAGAAAAUUUUAACGCUCGGAUAGUUAAUUAACCAAAAAGGACUAAAUUGAAAAUAGUGUAAAAUUUGUUAAAUUGUGAUUAAAUAGCUUAAGUGAUUAAAAAGGAGGGAUUUAAAAGGCAAUUAGGCCCAAAUUAUAUGGGCUGGACGGUUGGGUAAGAAAAAUCAGCAGAAUGUAAGGAGAAAACAGGGGCAAAAUUGGAAACUUAACAAAUUAAACAUAUAAAACAAAGACAAAAGUGAAAAAUCUAGAGAUCUGUUCACAAUUUAUCAGCAAAAAUGCCAUAGGAGGUCUGAAAGAAGCUGGUUUUUCAUAUAUUUGAAUCAUGUAAGUUUAAUUCUUGAUUAUUUCUUCUAAUUUUUGUGAUUUUGAUACUUUUACAAUUAGGUCCAACUAAUUAUUUCAUUAGUUUUUGAUUUCAUGGCUGAUUUUGAAAGUUACCAUUGAUGAGUGUUGGAUUUUUAUGAUGAAUAAACAUGGAAUUAAAGCUUUAAUUUUGUUAUAUGAUGAUUUUAUUAAGUAAUUUUGAUAGAAAUUGAUUUUUGGGACCUAAUUGUGAAAAAGUUUGGAAUUAGGGUUUGGUGUUGCGGUUUUGAAUAUGAAAGGCUAUGUAGUAGUCUAAAAUAGUUGGAAAAGGUGUUAAUUGAGAAAAAUUAGAUCAAUUGAGGGGUUAAUUGAGUAGGACCAAAUUGUAAAAACUGUAAAGUUUGAGGUAAAAGUGUAAUUUCGAAAAUUUAAGGGCAUAAAUUGUGAAGUGAAUUAGAAUAGAAUUAUAUGCUGAUGAAUGAAUAAAUUUGUAUUUUAGAUCGAGAACCCGAAGCAAGCCGAGGAAAAGAAAAAGUAGUUGAUUAGUCCCUGAACUUUUACAAAUUCUGCAAAUCGACCCAGGUAAGUUCAUAUGGCUGAAAUUUAAUGAUUAAAUGUUAAUUUCAUGAAUUAUGUAAUGUAUGAUGAAAUGUAUUUAGUGUUGAAAUGAGAGUAAAAUAAAAAUGCGAAAAUCGAAUAAAUGAUCAAAUUAAGCGGAACGCCGGAUUUGAGUACUUCUGAUCAAGAGACAAAGUGAUAAGUGGUAGCUUUAGCUACACUUAUCUGAUCAAGUGAAAAAGUGAUAAGUGCUACACUUAUCUGAUCAAGAGACAAAGUGAUAAGUGGUAGCUUUAGCUCACUUAUCUGAUCAAGUGAAAAAGUGAUAAGUGCUAUACUUAUCUGAUCAAGUGACAAAGUGAUAAGUGGUAGCUUAGCUACACUUAUCUGAUCAGGGCCAAAUGAUAAGUGAUCAUACGUAAGACCAUAGUUAUACUAUGGCCAAGUGAAAGUGAAGUACUCAAUUUUCCGUAACCGUUCCUUAAUUUUGAUCAAGGAUGGUAAGUGACAAAUAGGCCCAAAGAAAUUAUGGUAAAAGAAUAAGUAGUAGUGAGUUUAUACCAAGGAACUCUCCAAAGAUUGUGGUUGACAAGUAAACUUAGUAAUGGUGUAUAUUGUAUAAGUGUACAAAUGUUUGGUAAGAUUUAUGUUUGUGCCUAUGAACUUACUAAGCUUUUCUAUAAGCUUACAUGUGUGUGUUUAUUGUUUUUCUAGAUUAACGUAUUUAUACAUUCGGAGGAUCGGAUCUACUUCGAGAAUCACACUAUCCAGAUAUACUCCGGUAGAUUUUGUUAAACAACUUUUUGGAUUUAUAUGGCAUGUACAGAGAAUUGAAGUAAAAAGUAAUAGAAUGAAUGACUGAGUAUGCAAAGUAAAUUUGAAUGUGAUGGUUGUGUUAGAUAUUGAAAAAUACAUGUUUUUAGUUUGAAAUGGUUGAUUGGCUGAACUUCGUUAGUAUUCAAGUGAAGUAGUUGAAAUACUGGAAUUGGUUGUGAUUUGAAAUUUGCAGGGAAGGUUAGAUAAAUAUAAAGGGGUUAUAUUGAUUUUUUUUUUAAAUUUCAAUGGAAUAAUUUUUGGACAGCAGCAUUGAUGUAACUUUUAAAAAUCACCAAAAAUAGUGGAAAUAGAAUUAGAAGUUGAAUGAGAUAUGAAAUUAAAUCUGAAUGAGUCUAAUUUCACAUGAAAGAAGUAGAAUAAGAAAAAGAGUUAUAUAUUUUUAGAUAUUUGAAUUUUAGUGAAACAGGGCAAGAAUGUUUUUGAAGUCCCCUGUUCUGACUUUAGAAAUUUAGUAAAAAUUGUACAAAAGGAAUUAUGAAUUAUAAUUUAUAUGUUUAAAUUCCGUAAUGAGUAUAUUUUAAGUAGAAAUAAUUGGAACCACCAUAUGAAGUCUUUGCAAUGAGAUAAUUGAAUUUUAGUGACAAGAGGUCAGGAUAGUCAAUUAGUGAAAUAGGGGAGACUUCAACUAAUAAACUGUAUUAAUUUGCUAAACCAAAAAUUCUGAAAAAUUUAUGGUGAAUAUACAUAUGAGUCUAGUUUGAGGGAAAAUUUACGGAUCUAAAUUUUUAGUUUCGUAUCUUGAGUUAUAAUUAUUUUAGUGACUACUGCGCAUGUGGACAGCUUUGUUGUGAAUGGUGAAAUUAAUUUUUAAAGUAAAUUUUUAUGCCCCGAACUUUUAAGUUCAGUCAAGUAACGCCUUAUGCUCGACUCCGGCAACCGUCUUGGGUAAGGGGUGUUAUAAAUAAUUAUUCUUAAAUUCAUACAUUCUUUGUAUAUUAUUUUGUACCUACAAUAGGUCCCUAGAUAUUAACAACAUGAGUGACGUUGCUACAGACUCAGAAUUUCCUUUUAAACAAGACAUGUGUUUAGAGGGAUCCCAUGGCUUUGAAGAUGACGUAGACUGUGGCUUAUCUCUGAAUUUGUUAAGGAUGGUAAAACAAGAGGAGAAGCAAAUCCUACCUCACAAGGAAUCAAUGGAAAUUGUGAGCUUAGAAGGGGGAAAAGAGGUGAAGAUUGAGACUAACAUUGCCACAAAGACAAAGCAUGACCUCGUUGAGUUACUCCAAGAAUUUAAAGAUGUCUUCGCAUGGUCAUACCAGGAUACUCCCGGGUUAAGUACUGGCAUUGUAGUACACUACCUUCUUAUAAAAGAAGAUUGCAAGCCAGUUUAGCAGAAACUCUGAAGGAUGAGGCCUGAUAUUGUGCUAAAAAUAAAAGAAGAAGUUAAAAAGCAAUUUGAUGUUGGGUUCUUACAAGUGGUUAAAUAUUCAGAAUGAGUAGCCAACAUCGUCUCAGUCUCUAAAAAAGAUGGGAAAGUACGAAUGUGCAUAGAUUACAGAGACAUGAACAAGGCCAGCCAAAAAGAAAAUUUCCCAUUGCCUCACAUUGACACUUUGGUGGAUAAUACAGUAGGCUACUCACUGUUUUCCUUCAUGGACGACUUCUCUGGAUACAACCAGAUAAAGAUGCAUCCCAAAAACAUGGGAAAGACUACAUUCGUGACCCUAUGGGGAAUGUUUUGCUAUAAAAUGAUGUCAUUCGGAUUAAAGAAUGUGGGAGCGACGUAUCAAAGGGAAUGGUAACCUUGUUUCAUGACAUGAUGUACAAGUAAAUCGAGGUUUAUGUUGACGAUAUGAUUGCAAAAUCCAGAACAGAAGAGGAACAUGUGUAGGCCCUAAGAAAAUUAUUCUUAAGACUGAGAAAGUUCCAGCUCAAGCUUUCCAACGAAAUGCACAUUCAGAGCUAGGUUAGGAAAGCUGUUAGGCUUCACAGUUAGUGAAAAAGGAAUCGAGAUCAACCCAGAUAAAGUCAAUGCGAUACGAGAUUUACCUCUACCAUGCACUCAGAAGGAAGCUCGAGGUUUCCUAGGAAGACUGAAUUACAUUGCUCGAUACAUUUCACAACUAACCGAAAAAUGUGACACCAUAUUAAAAUAAAAAUAGAUUAAAUUGUAAGUAAAACAUAAUUUAAACAUAUGAAUACAUCAAAUUAAUAAUACUAAAUGAAUACAGUUAUUUAUGAUGAUGUUGUUGCCAAUUCCUAAUUUGGUGUCUAGUUAAUUUGUGACAUCAUAAAUUUAAGUGAUAAAUUUAAGGUUUUAUGUAUUGAUGUGGAUUCAAAUAUCACCAUAAUUUUUGUAAAUAAAAAACUAAUAAGAUAACUUAUAUUAAGUACGAAAGGGUAUUUUUAUAAUUUCUCUAAUCGAGUUGGUGCCCGGUUGACUCAUGACACUAACUCAAUCAGAAGCUUUAAUAAUAAUAUAGAUAUUCAUGUUAAAAAAACAAAAAAAAAGUACUUUAGUUCCAAAUAAUUAUAUAACAAGUAAAUUUAUAAUUGAUGAAUAAAUUUAUAAAUAAUAUAUUUAUAUGAUCUAAUAUAUUAUAUUUAUAUUAAUUAUAUAUCAUCUACAAACUUUGAAGAUCAAUUUAUUAAGUAAAAAUGAAAUUGUUAACACUAAAUCAAUUUUUAGAUUUUGUAUAGAUGAUUUAGUGAUGAUAAAAACAUUAUUAACACUAUUUUUUAAUUAACAAAAAAUUAGUGAUAUAUUUAAAUUAUAUUUAUCAUUUAUUAUUUUUAAUAAUAUUUUUUAAUUAUAUGAAGUAAAAUUAUAUUGUAUACUAAAUAUGGUACAUAUACUCUAAUUAUAACUUGAAAUUUUAUUAUAUAAAUUAAUAUAAAUUUGAAUAACAAAAUAAAAAAAAACUAAUUAGAAUAAUUUUAAAAAACAUUAUUUAAAAGUAGUUAAAAAUCACGUGCAACAGGUGAGAUCAAUGGUCUUUAGAGAAGAAAUGUUGAAGAUCAAAGUUGGAAUCUGGCCUAUAAGGCCUUUAAUUGCUUUAAUAUUAAGCAGUUCCAAACCAAGAAGAUUACCGAUUUCCUCAGGAAUUUGACCUGCACACAUGGUCGAAAAAUCAAUGUGUCAAACUACCUAUUUUGUUAGCAUAAGUCAAAGAGGUUUUCUUUUCUAUUCUACAUAAUUUGCAGAUGUUAGAUUUUAAUAUUUUUAAGCAUAUUUGUUUUCAUCAAAUUAACUAUUUUGAACUAUUUUGCCUUGAAUGAAAUAAAAUGCUCUUACUUUUGUUAUCUAUUACUAAUCAAACUCUUUUAUAAAAAAAAUACUUUAAACUAAAGAAACCAAGAAAAUUCAAUACCUUCUAGGUUAUUCAACCCCAAAUAUAAUUCUUUGAGUCGUGUCGGAUUUCCAAUACUUCUUGGAAUGAUCCCCAUCAAUUGAUUAUAGGAAAAUGACAAAAUUUUAAGGUUGUUGCAUUUGCUUAUACUUGACGGAAUGUUACCAUAUAAUUCAUUCCGACUCAAGUAAAGCCCUUCAAGCUUGGAAAGAUGUGACACAUAUCAUUAGGCAAGCUACCUGAUAGGCUAUUGUUGGAGAGAUCAAUGGCCUUCAGAGAAGAAAUGUUGAAGAUCGAAGUUGGAAUCUGACCUGUAAGGCCUUUAAUUGCUUUAAUAUUAAGCAGUUCCAAACCAAGAAGAUUACCGAUUUCCUCAAGAAUUUGACCUGCACACAUGGUCGAAAAAUCAAUGUGUCAAACUACCUAUUUUGUUAGCAUAAGUCAAAGAGGUUUUCUUUUCUGUUCUAUAGUAAUUUGGUGAUGUUAGAUUUUAAUAUAAUUCAGCACAUGUUUUUCAUCAAAUGAAAUAAAAAGUUUUUCCUUUUGUUAUCUAUUACAAAUCAAGCUCUUUUAUUAAAAAAAUACUUUAAAUUCAAGAAAUCAAGGAAAUUAAUUACCUUCUAAAUUAUUAAACCCCAAAUAUAAUUCCUGGAGUCGUGUUAGAUUUCCAAUACUUCUUGGAAUGAUCCCCAUAAAUUGAUUAUGGGGCAACAACAAAUUUUUAAGGAUGUUUCAUUUGCCUAUGCUUGACGGAAUGUUACCAGAUAACUCAUUGCUAUGCAAGUGAAGCCCUUCAAGCUCGGGAAGAUGUUGACACAUAUCAUUAGGCAAACUACCUAAUAGGCUAUUCCUGGAGAGAGCAAUAGUCUUGAGAGAAAAAUGUUGAAGAUCGAAGUCGGAAUCUGAUCUGUAAGGCCUUUAAUUGCUUGAAUAUUAAGCAUUUCCAAACUAAAAAGAUUACCGAUUUCUUCAGGAAUUUGACCUGCAGACAUAGUCGAAACAUCAAGGUGUUAAAUUUCCUAUUUUGUUAGUGUAAAUCAAAGAGGCUUUUUAUUUUUUUUCGUUAUGAAAUAAUAUGGAUAUGUUCGAUUCUAAUCAUAUUUAAGUAUAUAUUAGUUCUUGAAAGAAUGAGUUCUUAUUUUUGGUAUUUAUAUUGCAAAUAUAUAUUUUUUUAAAUUUAAAAGAAGGGAGGGGGCAAAUGUGUUUAAACUAAAGACAUCAAGGAAAAGGCAUACCAAGUAUAAUUGUUUAAGUUGUGUCAAAUUCCCAAUGCUUUUUGGAAUGAUCCCACUAAAUUGAUUAAUAGACAAUUCCAAAAUUUGAAGGUUGCAGCAUUUGUCUAUACUUGAUGGAAUAGAACUUGAUAAUUCAUUUCUACUCAAGUAAAGCUCUUUCAGCUUGGGAAGAUGGACACACAAAUCAUCGGGCAAGCCACCAGAAAGACUAUUAUCACAAAAAUGAAUCCUUUUCAAAGAAGAAAUGUUAAAGAUGGAAGAUGGAACCUGGCCAGAUAAUUGAUUGAAUCCCAAGUUCAAGAUCUCUAGAUUGGACAAGUUGACAAGUGUUUGAGGGAUCGUGCCUGUGAAGUUAUUAUUUCUCAUUUCCAACCUUUGAACUCUGUGCAAGUUCCCAAGCCAUGGUGGAAUUUCCCCAUUAAGACGGUUGUAGCUUAAUCGAAUGAUCCUCAAACGAUGCAAUUGGCCUAAUUCUUUAGCCAGAUGGCCGUAGAAAUUGUUGUUGCUCAAGUCGAUAGAAAAUAGAAAUGAAAGAUUUCCAAGGUGUGGAGGGAUAGUACCCCUAAGAUUCAUGUUUGUAAGAUUAAUCAAAGCUACAACUCUUUCAUGGAUGAUGCCACAAGAAACACCAACCCACUUACAGACAGAGGUAGAGUUCGUCCAAUUGUUUGCCAACACAUUUUGAGGAUCGACAAUGCGAUCUUUAAACUCAAAGAGUGCAAACUGAUCGGAGUUGAGAUUCCGGACUGUCAUAGCCAAGGAAACAAUAGAACAUUGUAUGAAUAAAAGUGAAAGAAGAUGAAAGCAAGUGUUGUAGUUCAUGAUGGCAAGACGAAAUAAGCCAGGAAAAGGGAAGUUGAAUUGAUGAAGAAAUAGCCAGCCAACAUGCUUAAAUAGGCUUCAACCCUUGCACACUUCUCAUACAUAAAGUUCGCUGCCAUUACAACAAGAAAACUCAUAUCUCCAUUCGUACCUAUCCAUACUUUAUUUGACUAACUUUUCCCUAACAAGUGUUCAGUAAGGAGAUAAAUCAGUUUGGAGCUAUUCACCGGCUUCUCCAAUCUUGGUUUCAAACUCCUAACCCAUCAAUUCACUUUAAUUGAAACGAUAUACACGAGUCUUUCGGCUUAUAUUUUUAAUUUAAUUUUUGUUACUUUUCAUAAUAUUUUUUGAGAAAUCCAAAUAUUCCAGUCUGAAAUUUCUUCAUUGCCACGUCUAUCUCCUGGGUAAGUCCGUGGUUAGGCAGCCCACUUUGGGAGCAGGAUUGUAAUUGUAAUUCUAUCCGACUCAUUUUACUAUUUAGAAAUAUAAAAGUAAUAUUAUAUUAUUUUUUAUAUUUUUAUAAAUUUAAUUUUAAUUAUAAUUUUUAAACAAUAAAACGAGUCAUUUGUAUUUGCCUAGUCUAAAUUGAAUCAGGAGUCAAAAAAAUUUUAAUCAUAAUUUACUAUUAUUUUAAUUAAUUAAAAUUUAACCUACUACAACUAGUAGUUGCAGAAAAAAUGUCAUUCCUUUAGAAAAACGAAAAUCCUUUAGAAAAAUGAGAACUUAUGAAGCAUUCAAUAAGAGUCAUUGGAAUAAAUGGUAACGAAAUCAUAAUUCAAUAUAAAGCUAAAAAAUGUACCAAUCUAUAUAAAUAAUGUAAGAUUUGUGAUACCUAAAUUAUUAUAUUUUCCAUAAAUAUAUGAAGAUAUUUUAUUAGGAAAUAAUUUUAUAUAUAAAAUUUUUUAUUUUCUUUUGAUAGAAAUUUAAUUAUGUUAUCUGUAGAAAAAAAUAUUUAUAGAAAUAUUAUUAGUAGAAAAUCAUAAAUUUGUGUGUGGCAAAAAAAAUUCACCACCAAGAAAGGGGCAAAUUAAACAACUUGAAACAAGUCAUUGGUUGUUUAAAAUAUUAGAUAAUAAUUUCAGUGAAGAAUCAUUAAAAUUAUGACAAAAUAACCCUAGAUAUUGUAGUAUUAAAUUGGAAAAUCUCAAUAAUAUUAUUAGAGUAAAACCUAUGAUCUAUCUAAACAAGAUAUAGAAGAUUUUGAUAUACAAAUUAAGGUUAGAAAUCAUGCGGAAAUAAAAAAGAAAAAAAAGCUAGUAUGGUCAUUAAUUAUAAAAGAUUAAAUCAAAAUAUUAUUUUUUUAUAGUUACUUGAAUUAAUCAGGCUAAACAAACAAAAUAUUUUAGUAAAUUUGACUGCAAAUCAGGAUUCUAGCAAAUCAUGAUAACAGAAAAGUCCAAACCUUUAACGGCUUUUAGUGCACCCAAUGGACAUUACCAAUGGAAAGUGAUGUCAUUUCAAUUAUGUGAUGCACCACAAAUCUUCCAAAGACGAAUGGAUUUUAUAUUUAAUAAAUAUAAAAAAAUUCUAUGUAGUCUACAUAGAUGAUAUUUUUUAUAUUUUUAGAUACACUAGAAUUACAUAAGAAACAUUUAAAUAUUAUUUCUUAAGAAUUCAUAAAAUAUAGAAUCAUAUUAAACCCUAAAAAUAUAGAGUUAGAAAAAAGAGAGAGAAUUUUUAUAAUAGUGGAAAUAAAAAAUUGUCCUCAAAAGAUUGAAGAAAAAAAGAACUUCCAACAAUUUCUAAUAUAUUCCUCCCAAAUUUUCAGUUUCAAUUUUAUUACAGAAUUUCUUUGCCGACAAUAAGAAAUUAAGAGCGCUCUUUAAGUUGAAUAUAGUCCGUCAGAUAUGGCUAUCUAUAACAUGGAACCUUUGGUUUUCAAGCUGAAUAGGAGAAUUGAUUCACUUGAUAAGUAUGAAAAAUUGAAACUGCUAAAUUUAAGUGCACUAACUCUGGAUAUCAUCAUUAUUUUUCUGUACAUUAAAGUACCUGUUUGAUAUGCGAUUUCUGCCUCAAACUAUCAACAUCUUUAACAUCCUUUUGCUAUAGUUAGCAUGGGUACUUCCUUUUAGAUUAACAGUUAGGUUUGAACUGUGAAUUAGAUUUCUGUGGCUGCUGGGAUUGAAGAAGUUAGUAUGCGAAUGACAUUGGACAAAUUUGGCAAAGUCUUCUCCAUCAGUGAAGAAAACCCCUUGGCGUAUGAAAAAUGUUCACCAUCUUAGACAUUUGUUUUCUUAUUGUAAGAAUAUUUUUAACAUUGUAACUUUUAACAUUAUUGUAAGAAUAUUUUGAAUUAUACUUCAGUUAUCAAUUUAUAUCAUAUAUCUUUUGUUGAAUUUGAAGUAUAAUUUAUAUUUGCUGUUUUUGGUUAGAUUUCAUGCUAUAGGAAGGGUUGUAUAUGGAUAGAAAUUGAAUGUUACAAAUCUGCCAAAGUUAGUGGCGUUUUUUCAUAAGAGCUGCUAAAGAAUGCUAUUUUUGGCGGUGUUUGUAAUAAAAGAGCCGCUAAAGGUCAUGUUCUUUAGCGAUGUUUGUGGGUAAAGCGCCGCUAAAGAUCAUGUUCUGUAGCUGUGUUUGUGGAUAAAGCGCCGCUAAAGAACAUGACCUUUAGCAGCGUAUUUUCACAUAAACGCCGCAAAAUUUAGCGGCUUUGUCUAUAGCGACUUUUUUUGCAGCGCUUUAAGUUUUAGCGGCGCUUUUAGGCCUAAAAAAGGGCCGCUAAAAGCCUGUUUUGCUGUAGUGAGCAUAUUUACAUUUUCGUCCCAAUUUCAACUAACACCCCAUCUAUUUCCCACUUCCCUUUUUCGGGCAAUUUCAACUAACACCUUCAUAUCAAACAUAACUAUUUUUCAAUUUUUCUUCUUUAUUUCAUUAAUAAAAUUAUCAAUCUAUUUGUUUUUAAAUAUAUAAUUUCAUUAAUAUUUUUUAAAUUAUAAUAUAAGAGUUGUUGUUUAUUUAUAGUUUUAUUACAUUAUUUACUCUCUCUUUUCUAUCAAGUUUUUUAAAUUAUAAUAUAAGAUUUAUUUUAUCAAUUUGUGGCUUAUCCAGUAUUCAUCUAUUUUAAUAAUAACUUGAGUUCCAGUCAUUAUCAUACCAGAAAGAGUUCCAUUUAUUCUUUAUCGUAAAUUUUAUAAAAAAAUAUACAUUUUAUUAUAAUACUAUAUGUGUUACGAAUAAUAUUUUAUUGUGGAUGCCCAUAAUUUUCAAAGUUGUAACCUCUAAUGUAGUAACCUUAAUGAAAUUAUGAGGCUUUUAUAUUGUAAUCAAGCCUCUAUUUAUUCUUUGUAACUUAAACAGAAGCAUAUUUUCUAUUAUAUUGAUAUUUUUUAUAGAUAUAUAUAUAUAUAUAAGGAAUCAAAUAAAAAGUUAUUUACCUUUCUAUUAUAUUGAUAUUUUCUAUUUGAUUUGUUCUUUUCUUUCACUAUUCCAUAAUAUAUUAUCAGUACGAUUUUAACCAAGAGUAACAUGUUAUUAGAUUGUGUCAAAAUUUUGUUGAGAAUCAUUAGAUUGUUUCCUUUUUCUUCUAUUUAGCCCCAAAUUGCACCCCUACACAAAAUUCAACAAAAACAUGGAAAAAUUAGUGGUGCACUCUCAUAAAUUAACCAAUUUAAUUACAUAAAAUAUGUAACUUUAGCAUUUUAUCAAUCAUGUUCUUUAGCGGCAUUUGUGGGUAAAGCGCCGCUAAAGGUCAUAUUCUUUAGCAGCGUUUGUGAUAAAAGUGCCACUAAAUAUCAUGUUCUUUAGCGGCGUUUGUGGAUAAAGCGCCGCUAAAGAACAUGACGUUUAGCAGCAUUUUUUUACAUAAACGUUGUAAAAUUUAGCGGCGUUGUCUAUAGCGACGUUUUUUGCGGUGCUUUCAAAUAGUUUUAGCGGCGCUUGUAGGCCUAAAAAAAUGCCGCUAAAAGUCUGUUUUGCUGUAUGAGCAUAUUUACAUUUUCGUCCCAAUUUCAACUAACACCCCAUCUAUUUCCCACUUCCCUUUUUCAGCCAAUUUCAACUAACACCUUCAUUUCAAACGUAAUUGUUUUUCGAUUUUUCCUCUUUAUUUCAUUAAUAAAAUUAUCAAUCUAUUUGUAUUUUAAAUAUAUAAUUUUAUUAAUAUUUUUUAAUUAUAAUAUAAGAGUUUUUGUUUAUUUAUAGUUUUAUUAUAUUAUUUACUCUCUUUUUUCUAUCAAGCUUUUUAAAUUAUAAUAUAAGAUUUAUUUUAUCAAAUGGUGGCUUAUCGAGUAUUCAUCUAUUUUAAUAAUAACUUGAGUUCCAAUCAUUAUCAUACCAGAAAGAGUUCCAUUUAUUCUUUAUCGUAAAUUUUAUAAAAAAAUAUAUAUUUUAUUAUAAUACUAUAUGUGUUAGGAAUAAUAUUUUAUUGUGGAUGCCCAUAAUUUUCAAAGUUGUAACCUCUAAUGUAGUAACCUCAAUGAAAUUAUGAGGCUUUUAUAUUGUAAUCAAGCCUCUAUUUAUUCUUUGUAACUUAAACAGAAGCAUAUUUUCUAUUAUAUUGAUAUUUUUUUAUAGAGAUAUAUACAUAAGGAAUCAAAUAAAAAGUUAUUUACCUUUCUAUUAUAUUGAUAUUUUCUAUUUGAUUUGUUCUUUUCUUUCACUAUUCCAUAAUAUAUUAUCAGUACGAUUUUAAUCAAGAGUAACAUUGUAUUAGAUUGUGUCAAAAUUUUGUUGGACUUCAAGUAUUGGAAUUUAAUUGUUUAAGUUAAGAAUCAUUAGAAUCAAUGGCUAUUUGAGAUAUGCUUGAGGAUGAUCUCAUUCUAUUCAUCACAAAGGUGGAGGUUAGAAAAUCUUUAUGUUUAAACAUUUAUAGCUUUAAAGUUAUUUUAACCUCUUAUUGUGACCUUAUAAUAUUUUGUAAUUUUUUGUAUUAUGGUAUAUAAAAAAAAUCUAACCAUAGUGAUUGAUUAGUAAUAUGAAUUUGUUAUUUGUUAUGUUUAAUAUAUAUUUUAUUUAUACUUAUUCAUUUUAUUUUUAUAUGAGUAAAUGAAGUGUUUGAAGAUUCGAAAUUUUUAUCAUCCAAGUUGAAAAUAAGUGCAAAAGUGUACAUUAUUUAAAAUAAAUUACGCAUUCAUUAAUGUUAUAUGAUAAAAUCAUUACAUGUUCUAAAGAACUAAUAUUGCAUCAAACUGUAAAAAGCUCUUGAAGAGUUAAUAUUUUACCUCCUUGUGAUACAAAAUCAUAUACAAUAUGAUAUUAUUUUUCAAAUCGAGUAGAUAUAUGUUGAGGGAAAUCUUUAUGUGGUUUACAUUAAAACCAUGGAUAGAAAUGACAUGAGAUACUCGUGUAUUUUUAUUAUAAAUAUUCCUUGAAGGAAGACACUUCACUUGUAUGAUUGACAUAUGAGAUAGUGGCAAGAAGUUCAUAGUGUUGGUAUGGUCGUCUAGAUCAUCUCAAAUCAAUAAUGAUGCAAAAUAAUUUGAAGAGAAUUUAUAUGAUUUUAUUGAAGAAUGAGAAGAUAUUUUCAUUUUGAUAAUUGUCAUCAAUACUAGUUCUUUGGAAAAAAAAUAUUGAACUAACAUAAAGUUAGAGGUUGGUUGCAUUUUUUGAUGAUAUCCAAAUAAUAUAUGAGCUCAUGUAUCACAUGUAUGCAACCCAAAGUUUACAGUAUUAUUUCUUGAAAUAAUUUGAUUCUACACAAUCUCUAUAGUAUGCAAUUUGUGCUAACAACGUUGGUGCAUUAUAUCCUAAGCUUGAUUUUCGUAGUUUUAGCUGAGAUAAUAUUAAGUUGUCUAUGCCUAUAUAUGUUAUACUUAAUGGUUAGCAAAAUUGUGCCUCCAUUUAAUUGCUUAACCAUUAAUAUAAGAAUAACUUUAAAAUAAGCAUGUAAUUUUAUUUGCAUAGAGUCAACAUGUAAGAAACAUUUGCCCCAUGAGAAUUGGCUUUCAUUUAUAAGCCAAUAGGUUUCAUAUGACUAUUUGGAUGUAAAAUAUCUAUUUUAUAUUCCACCAUAAUGCACUAAGAUGGUCCAUCAAGUAUGAAGUUGAGAAAAUUUAGAAUUUUUAUUUGAUGGUAAAAGUUGAAAAGAGAUAUAUACUUAUAAUUUUGAAAAAAAUAGUCAUGUUGCAAAUUUUUCUCAAUAUUAGGGGGAGACAAGUUGGACAAAUAAGGAUAAUUAUGUCAUCACUUUUUGUGAUCCCUCACUAAUAUUAUGUGCACAAAGUUUGAAGGAAAAAAGUAUUUGCUAGACAUGUUUAGUGAUGACACUUAGAGAUUGUAUAUACUAGAUGAUACAUAUACCAGCUAAAAUGUUCCAAAUAAUUAUGAGUCCUAGAAGGACAUAGUGAUAAAAAUAAUUUUUGGGCACGCUAGAAGGAUAAAAAACUAGUUCAUUCUAUAAAUCAAAAAAUUCUUGAAAGAAAAGAGUAAGAAAUGAAGCUGGCCACACAUUAAAGGAAACGAGUACUCAUGAAGAGACCUAAGGCAUAACUUUUAAUAAAACCCCAAAAGAGGUUCAAUACAUGGAAUUAUGAAUAUAAUAAGAUAUCUCGAUUAGUUAUAUCAUAACUAAAGAUGAUGGGGUUGAUAAAAGGAAAUUGUUGUUAACAACGAUAAUCUAAGUAGAACAUUUCAAUAUUAUGGUAAAAUGAGUAUUUUGAAUGAAAAUAUACUUGAAAGUAUUUAGAUGGGAACAACUCAUCAAAAUAAAUAGACGUUUCUAUUAUAACUUAUGAAAUGUGUCUCGGACAUGAAGUCCAAACAUUCGACAGGUGUAAAGCCAAGUGGAGUAUAUGUUAGCAUAAUAGUGAAAAAAUACAAAUCAUAAUAUAUAAAAUUGACUUGUAAGACAAACUUUCCCAAGACACUUGAUUUUGAUUAUGAAAAAUGAUUAAUUUGUGAUCUUAUCAAUUGAACAUACUUUGUAUAAUCAACAAAUUAUUAAUUAACCUCAUUUAACCAAUUUCCUUCAACACAUUUCAAAUCAAAUUAAUGUGUUGAGCACGCCCUUAACCCUUUUUCUUGAUUCAUUGCAUAGUCUAUUUCCAAGUACCAUAAUCAUCAACAUUUCAAUAUAUAAAGUCAUAACAUAAUGAAUCAUAGUUAGAAUUUUUUUUACCCUAUUAACCAAGUAUGGAACAAAAAUAAAAACCUAAUUUGUCAAGCUCAUUCAAUCAGCUUAUAUAUUAUAAGAAGAGCCUAAGUAUAAAUCCUAUACAUGAUUUCAAAUUCAACUAUUUAUAUUUGAGAUUCAAUUUAAAAUUCAUACUGAAAUUAUCAAAUUAACUCGUAAGCUACUCACGCUAAACAUUAAGGUACUCGAAUUCAAGUGGCUAGAUAUCAUAAACACUUUUAGCUUGUAAAACUAUUUCUAAGGGUCAGCCCAGAAUCAUGGUUGAACCCAAAAUCUGGUAACAAAAAUUUAAUUGAGCCAUCAGCCUAAAACAAAAAAGGCUUAAAAGGUUGGCACCCGAACAAUCAAAGAUAAACACCACCAUAUGCCACUCCCUGAAUCCGAUACAUACAAUAACACCCUUCACCACUUUUAUUCUUCUCCUUUUUUUUAACCUCAAUUUGGAUGGUCGCAUUUCUCUUUUUAGUGCUUUAUAGGGUUUGGGCUUUCAGAAUCCUCAGAGAUGCAAUUCAUGGAUCCCUCUAAGAAAUGCAAGCUUGAUGAAAAUGGUAUUAUUUCAACGGCAUCAGAACCUGACCCAAUCACCAAACUAACCCCACAAGAUGGCCGCAAGCUAAUCGAGCAAUUUAUCGUCGAUCAACUCCUUGACGUCCUCCAAGAUGCUGUUUGUUGUCACCUUGAUGUUCUUUCCGCCGUACACUCUAUUGCCGAUCAAGAUCCAUCUCAAAGGAAGCUUUUCAUCCGUGGUUGGGUUGGGAUACUACAACCCAACCCAACCCACAUUAGCAUACUACCAUGCGGUAACUUCUAGUGAUUUCUGUCUGUAACAUUAGACAGGUUAACAGUUAAAUCGUUCAACUGAAAGAUUUCUUUGAAGGAAGAGGUCAAUUGAUUUUUUUUGGAAUCAUUGUGUACUCAGUUGCAUUUAAGACGGGUAUCAUUCAUAAAGUAUAUAUCUACAUCAAGAAUGGUAGCCUCUUAUAUUAUAUUCAUGUAUUUAUUUUGCAUCUUUAAUUAUAAUAGGAUUUUUUUUGUUUAUUUAUAGUUUUAAUUAUAAUAUUUUUUAAAUAUGCCAAAGUAAAUUAUGUACCAAUUUUAAACUUCUCCUAGGUAAUUUAACGUAAGGGCAUUUAUGUUAUUUUACCACUUAUGAUAAAACUAACCUAAUUUUAGAUCUAAGUGUUUACCAACCUUCUUUUAGUCAAAUUAUGCAAGCCUAAAAUUUUUAGCUUAAUUUGAGUUUGUUUACUAUGUCUAAUUCAAGUUUUAUUAUUAAGAACUAAAUUGUAACUUAAACAAAUUAGAAUACCAAUUUAAAGAGACAAAAAUUCAAAGCCCCAAAACCCACACGGGCAUGUGGGUAAGUGACACAGGCGUGUGGAAACUGGAGCUAUCACACACGGGUGAGUGGGACUGAAAAAUAUGAAAUAAAUUAAUCCAUUUAAAUUUCCAACAACCAUGCUAUACUACCAAACCAAAUAAUGUUAGAAGCUUUGAAUAGGGGCGAAUCUUAAAAAAAAUAGAAGAAUUAGAAUUAAAUUAUAAAAUUUUGAGAAGUUGUCAUGUAUUAAUUUAUUAUUUUUUAAAGGGUCUUAAUAGAUUUUUUUUCCCCAUUUUGGUUUGGCCAAUACCCCUGUCUGCCUCUUUCAAUUUGCUUCAACCCUUAGCCCAAUAUUCGAUUUGUUGUGGAAGUUUGACGCAUAAAAAUUCCUUUUUUAGAGGUUUAAAUUAUAAAUUUUUAUUAACAAAAUAUAAAAGAAAAAAACAUGUGUAGACAAGCCAAGAAACCUUUGGGAUCAUACAGGUGAUUUUGAGAUGUUCAUGGUUAUUUUGGUGGAGAGGGUAAAAAAGAAACAAAUGAUUCAUUAUAUAUGAUAUAAUUAUGAAAUUCAAGCCAUAUAUUGUAUGUUUCAUCCAUACAAAUUUCUUGUAGCAUUAAAUGACUCGUAGGCUUGCUGAAUUUCUUUGAAAGGCCCAAAGGCAAUUUAACAUUCACAAAAUAAUCUCUAAAUAGUGUAAAGACAAAUCAAAUCCACAGUAGCAUUAGAGUUGAUUAAGCUAAGCAUUGGCAAAUAUUACUUUGAUUUUGCAUGCAAUAUUGGCAAAACCCCCUCUUACAUUAGAAAAACAACAUAAUCCAUGAAACAUUGAUAGCCCAAUACAAAUUUCAUCGAGAAAAAAGUCUCUUUGUUUUGUAGAACAUGAUAGUAAAGAUGUGGAGUUUCGUUCUUCUUAUUGGCCUCCUUUAGUUUUCCUUGAUCAACAACCACUAGCCAAAAACACAAUUAGAUUAGAUUAUGAAUGAUACUUUCAACUAUGACAAUAUUAAAUACAAACCACUCUAAAUAACUCUAAAUAAAUGGAAAGCAGCAAAUUACCAGACGAGGCAAGCUAGCUCAAUUAAGACCAUUGUGUUAUACUUGUCUCUGAAUUGAAAAAUUUAGAAGGAAAUAAAGAGAAAGACUUAGAAAAUACUUGAAAACAGAAAAAAAAAUUAUGUCAUUUAAAAUAAAAAAUUUCUAUUCAAGCCAUUUAAAAUUUGUAAGAUUUUUAAAAUUUUAAAAUGAUAAAGGUAAAAUUGUACUUUGGCACCCCAAAAAUGAUAAAACUUUGAUUUAAUUAUUUAAAAAUUAUAAAAAUAUAGGCUAUUAAAAUGGUGAAAUUAUAUUUUUACUAUAGUAAAAAUUACAAUUUAAUUUCACCCCUAAAAGGAUUUUCUGGCUUCGCACCUAAUAAAAUCUUUGGCAAAAGACUAAAAUAAAAUUAUACCAUGAAUGGAAAAAGAAACUAAUAAAAUCCAAUCUAACAAAGAAAAUAACUUGAUGUCCAAAAGCUACCAUAAACCGUAAUUCAUGGGAAGGCUUGUUGCUUAUUUUAUUGGUUUCCAUUUUGAAAGAAGUUUGAAUUUUGAAGAGAGCCUACUACGUGAAAGCAAAAGAAAAAAAAAUAGUUUAUAUGAUUAAAAUUCCAGAAUAGAUUAAAAAUGUUGAAUUAAAGAUAAAAUUAAGUGUGAAUUAAUAACCACAAGUGUACUCUUUACUCACCAUCUCUGUUAAAAAUGUUGGAUGUUGUUUAGCAACCUUUGUUUGAUUUUCUUCAGCUCAACCACAACAUCUUUCAUAUCUUUUCUUUCUUCUGGUAACUCAGCUGAACAAUUCAAAGCCAACUCCAUGAUAGAUGAAAUACAAUUUGCUUUAACAACAAUGUACUCAUCCUCUCUUCUUAAUAAAUCAACAUCUGCAAUUUCUAUCGCUCCUUUAGGCAAUGAUCUUUCCAUCCAAUGCCUUAUACUCUCUUCUUCAACAAAAACCUUAUCAGUUGGCUUUUUCUUUGUGAAAGUUUCUAUAAGGACGAUCCCAUAACUAUAGACGUCAGAUUUUAUAGAAACAAUUCCUGCUGAUCCAAAUUCUGCAUUUCAAGUAUAAUUAGAACAUCAUUCAUCCUCAAUUAUUUCUAAAACGCUUAUUCAAAUAUCUAUCCACAUACACGUGAAACAAGAAUAUAAAAUACAAAUUAGGAAAAUAAUCAUACAAAAAUAAAAAAAAGAAUUCACCUGGUGCCAUAUACCCAAUAGUUGCAAGAGUCAUGGUUUGCUUCAUUACUUCACCUUCUCCCAACAAUUUGGCAACGCCAAAAUCUCCAACAUGUGCAACCAUGUCUUCAUCUAGU